rnacentral:lncRNA from 1 species
CAUGGGUCCACCUAACAGAGUAGUACCUCAGUUGCACACUUUUGGGCGCUAGUGCUUUCAUUUUUAUUUUAUUUUUUUGGUUAAAAAAGAGAUACUUAAUCUAGUCUGUUUCGGCUCAUUAUUGAAGAGGUUCACGUCGCACGGCUCAAAAAAAUUCCAAGCACGUACUCCUUGGCCGUGAGACGCGGCUUCCCACACACACGUACCAGUAUACUAACCAACCGUAGCGUUGUGAAUUGCGAUGGUACACGCUGCGGGUUCACCACCAGCUGCCGGCGACCAACGACAACAUGGAGAUCACCAGCCACCAUCGGACGGAGCAUCGUGGCACCGCCACAUGGUACGGCCGGGCUGAGACGACGGGCACGAGCGGCGCCCGUGUGCUGCGGCGCUGGAAGCGGUUCCAGGAACAUGGCACCAUGCCAUCAGUACAUGCCAUGCAGUCUUUUGAUGUAGAUGCUGCUUUGCGUUGGUCAAGGAGGCCUUUUUAUUAACCCACAUGUGAUGCGCAAGAAUGGCAGCUCUGAAACACAUACACAGCCUAUGACCGGUCUCGGUUGAAGCCAUCUUAGCUAGCUAGGGCAUUUCUUGUAAGGGUUAAUCUAAUCUAACCCCAAGGCAAGGAUUAAAAAUUGCAUGCACACAUGCAUGGGGGAACUUCUUGAGUUCUUCUCACUUGGAUCAGUCUAGCAGUAAACCCAAGGAAGGGAUUAACAAUUGCCAUGCACACAUGGGGGUUGCAUUCCUUUGCAGCAUUAAACUAGAGCCGUCAGUCGGUCCAGGCUCCCCCACCGUGCAACUCCCAACAGCCACGCCACCAUGAUGCGCUAAUUCGAGCACUGUCUGAUGCCUUUUCCGCCGUCUGCAACCUGUUACCUCUGCUCCGAUCCUCUGCACUGGAGCAGAACACAGUACAGGUUACUGACCUUGCCGUUAGUGGUUGCACGCCAGCACUGCAGCACAGGUGUGGCUGUGGCUGGCCUCCUUGGCUCUUUUGGUUACAGGCAUGUGAUGUGAGCAAAGUCGAGCAUGCACACGCACGCUUUUUCAGCAUGCAAUUGCACUUGCAGCUGCCAUGAACACGCGCAGCUUUGCUAGUUCUAUCAACGUCUAACCAAUUGCUGGUGUGGAUGCAGCUGCAGUUGAUCCAAGCUCAACGCAAAGUUUGCAAUGAUUUUUUUGGCCUACAGUUGGACGCAUUUGAUUAUGAAUGAUAGCAGUGCUAAAAAUGAAUUUCAGAUCAAAUUUACGUGUGGUGGCAACCUGUCAAAUGAUUACUGAUGGGGAAACAAAAAAAAAUGACAGAUUUGAUUAUGCAUGAUGACACUGCUAAAUGAUGAAUUUUGAGCGCAAAUCAAGACCUAGCAGCUAAUUAAUGCCGGCACUGUCACACAGGUUCUACGCGGCCGAGGUGGUUGCCGCGCUGGAGUACAUCCACAUGGUGGACAUCGUGUACCGCGACCUCAAGCCCGAGAACGUCCUCGUCCGCGCCGACGGCCACAUCAUGCUCACCGACUUCGACCUCUCCCUCAAGUGCGACCCCACCGCGCCCACGCCCGCUCACGUCAUCUCCGACCCGCUCUCCUCCCUCGCCGGCCGCUCCGCCGCCGUGUCCACGUCCUGCACCAUCUCCUCCUGCAUCGUCCCCACCGUGUCCUGCUUCCAGCUCUUCCCCGGCCGCGGCCGCAGCCGCCGGCGCCGGCGCUGGCGCACCAAGAAGCCGUCGUCGUCCAACAGCGGAAACAUCAGCAGAUUCCCCUCCGGCGGCAGUGGUGGGCUCGAGCUGGAGUUUGUUGCCGAGCCAGUGGAGCUCCGGUCCAUGUCGUUCGUCGGCACGCACGAGUACCUGGCGCCCGAGAUCGUGUCCGGGGAAGGCCACGGCAGCUCCGUCGACUGGUGGACGCUGGGCGUCUUCAUCUUCGAGCUCCUCUACGGGGUGACCCCGUUCAAGGGCUACGACAAUGAGAUGACGCUGGCAAACAUCGUGGCGCGCGCGCUCGAGUUCCCCAAGGAGCCCUCGGUGUCGUCGGUCGCCAAGGACCUCGUCACCGCGCUACUCGCCAAGGACCCCGCCCGGCGGCUCGGCGCCACGGUUGGCGCGGCCGCGAUCAAGCGGCACCCGUUCUUCAGCGGCGUCAACUGGGCGCUGCUCCGGUGCGCCACGCCACCGUACGUGCCGCCGCCGUUCAGCUUGGGGAAUAAUGUCAAGGGUGGUGCGGCUGGUGGUGGCGGUGCCGGCAGCAGCGCCAACGAUGACGGCAUGUCGGACGACGACGACAGUUGUCCCGGCACGCCCGUGGAGUACUACUAGACAAGCCAAGGAGAAGCGUCCAUAUGUCGACCUGCGCGUGUGUGAAAAGAAGCUGCCUGCCCUGCCCGGCCUGAUGCCAUCGCCGGGACCCGAUCAGGCAGCUCUUGUCUGAGUCCGGCCGAGCCGGCGCGCGUGCACGUGGUGGGGGAUGGACCACGGCGCGAGCACGAGGCAGCCGGGUCGGGGGGGACACCGCGCGCUGUCGCCUCAAGUGGUUGCGAGCUGCCUGUCUCCGAGAGCUCUUGCGCCAUGGCAAGCAGGCGACAAUGCGCACGCUGUAUGAAUAACUUAAUGCCGUUCUUGUUGCAGUUUUUAGCACUAGUACAUGUCUUAACCUGGCUUCAGUUGUGGCAAUUGCCAGGUCGCAUUGGUUAGUGCCUGUCUCUGGAAAAUGUGUAGCUAGCUAGAGCUAAUACAUGCGGGGGUGUUGCUUGGAACGCAUAGGAAAUUCUUGUGAAAUCUCGUGUUCCAAGCAGGACCUUUUUGGAAUUGUAUCAUGCAUGUUCUUGAGUUUUUCACUUGUUGUGUUAUCAUAUACCAUCGUUAAUUACUUGCUAGUACCAUUAAGAACGUAGAAAAGCACAAGUCCAAUUCAUUCUUGGCAGAUGGCAAGGAGAUGUGCAGUUGAUGUAAGCAUGAGCGGCGAGUUGGAGAUGAGGUGGGGGAGGGACCUCGUCAGGGCAGGCGCGCGGCUAAUGAUACGAGGUCCGGGGCUUGGGCGGCAACCAGGGGACACGAGACGCGGAGACGAUGAUGGGAGCAGCAGUGGGCCUGGGAAGGAAUUUCUUUCACGCCGCGCUCGUGCGCCUCGCGCUGUAUGAUCACAUCACCCGCGGCCGGUUCACGGCCGGACGACGCCUACUUCUAGAGGCGAUGGGCGUGAAAGAGGGAGGAAGGGAAUGUAAAGCGGUAAAGACGCUGCUGCGCACAGAGAAAAGUUACUACCAUACCAGCUGGACUGUAUAGAAAGGCAAAGCCAGUGGUAAAAGGAGUAUAAAAGGCCUAAAGGAUACACAAACUGCAGUUGCAAUGAUCGUUCUACAGGACGUGCCAUCGAAUGCAUGCCAGUCUACGCUGACACAGAUGAAAUGCGGCAAAUCCAAAGAAGAUGCUGCUGCUUCACCUUCACUUCACCGGAUGAGAACACUGUGUGCUUGCAUCUUCCAUGUCCAAACAUAAGAUGAUUCUUUUUUUUUUUCGUUCACAAACAUUUAAAAACUCAAGCCACUUAUUAACUGAGAGAGAACGUUUGGUUUGGUGCUUGAGGAUCUUUUUUUUCCCUAAGAAGAAUAACACAGAAACUCCAAUGUCGAGAGAUUUAGCCCAACACGAUAAUAAUUUUAGGCCUGAUGCCCUUGUUGGGCUGGCCCUGCCUGGGGCAGACAAUAAUUUCAACUGGAAAUCAUCAGGCCUUUCUUCGGCCCGGCCCAAGAUAUGGAUUUCCUCUUGAUGGGCCCAAGCUGCAGGGCUAGUCAUGUACUCCAGUCAUCCCACGUCACUAGCAGCGUUCGGCAAUCAAGCUUUUCUGACAACCUGCCACACUGCAAAUCGAGGAAUUUCAUAAUCAACUCUCCCUCGAACUUCCCGCGCCCCGCUGACUUCCCUUCAGUCAAACCCAAGAUCCUGCCUGCUCCGUCGCCGGCACGCCCCCACGACCCACUCAGCCACUAUCCCCCACAGCGUUUGCAACGCAGCGAUCGAAUGCGUACGCCGGCGGGCGGCGGAUGGCUGCUGCAGCCGCGGGGCAGCAGCAGCAAGCUCACACAGCGGGCCAUCAACAACAUCAGGUUCACCCUGCUCUGCGCCUUCGUCACGUUCCUCGUCCUCCGCGGCACCGUCGGCGUCAACCGCCGCCUCGUCUACAUCGCCGGCUCCGACCGCGCGCCGCCCGGCGCAAAGGCCACAGAGGACAUCGAGCGCAUCCUCCGCGAGAUCCGCGCCGACUCCGACCCCGACCCCGAACCCAACGACGACGGCAACACAUCGCCGUCGACCCGGGCAACGCGGUACUACGACCGCGGCAGCGCGUGGUCGACGGCGAACUACAGUCUGGGGCCCCGGGUCACGCGGUGGAACGCCAGGCGCCGGCGGUGGCUGCACCUGAACCCGGGGUUCCCGUCCCGCGAUGCGCGCGGCAACCCGCGCGUCCUGCUCGUCACGGCCUCGCCGCCGGGGCCCUGCGACGACCCCGCCGGCGACCACUUCCUGCUCCGGGCGACUAAGAACAAGAUCGACUACUGCCGCCUCCACGGCAUCGAGCUCGCGCACAUCACUGCGCGCCUCGACGGCGAGCUCACGGGCGGCUGGGCCAAGCUCCCGCUGCUGCGCCGCCUCAUGCUCGCGCACCCGGAGGUGGAGUGGCUAUGGUGGGUGGACGGCGACGCGCUCGUCACCGACAUGGGGUUCGAGCUCCCACUCGCGCGCUACGAGGGCGCCCACCUCGUCGUCCACGGCAAUUCCUACCUCCUCUUCCAGCUCCGCUCCUGGGUCGCCGUCAGCACCGGCAGCUUCCUGAUCCGGAACUGCCAGUGGUCGCUGGAGCUGCUCGACGCCUGGGCCGUGAUGGGGUCCAGAGGCCGCGCCCGCAACGACGCCGGCAAGCUGCUGACGGCGACCCUCCAUGGACGGCCGGCGUUCGAGGCCGACGACCAGUCGGCGCUCAUCCACCUGCUGAUCACCGAGAAGGAGCGGUGGAUGGAGAAGGUGUACCUCGAGAACGAGUACUACCUGCACGGCCACUGGUCGGGGCUCGUCGAUCGGUACGAGCAGGCGAUGGAGAAGCACCACCCGGGUUACGGCGACGACCGGUGGCCGUUCGUCACGCACUUCGUCGGAUGCAAGCCUUGCGGCGGCGGCGUCGGCAGGUCAAUCAGGAGCGGCGGCAAUUCCAGUGACGAGUACCCGCUGGACCGGUGCGUCAGGGGAAUGGAACGCGCCUUCAACUUCGCCGAUAACCAGGUUCUCCGGCUGUACGGCUUCCGGCACGAGUCGCUGGCGAGCGCCGAGGUCAGGCGGGUGACGAACCGGUCGGCGAACCCGCUGGAGGCUAAGGAGGAGGCUAUCUCUUUCUUGAAGAAACCCAAGGACCCGGAUGUCAAGAGCCAUGAUGUACGCAGAAAUCGAAAGCGCAAAGGAAAGAGAGACUCUGUUCUUGAAAGAAUUCUGAAGAGGCUGGGAUGGACGCCUGAGAUUUGAUAAUUUUUUUAAUGUUCUUGUAUUUCAGUUUGCAGUAGCUAGAGCUAGCACACACAGCAACAAGAACAUACAGCAAGUGAUCUGCAGUUACUUGUUUGUUGUUUUAGUUCUGGGUUGAGUCAGGACUCAGGACAAAUGAAUUGGCGGAAGAGGUUCAAACAUUGCUACGUUCAGAGUCUUCAGUAAAUAGUACUAAUUGAAGUCACGCUGACUCUGAAAUCUCUGUCUAAAGUACUAAUUGAUCAGAUUUCCCAGCUUUGACAUAGCAUAGAUCUGCUGAUGAAAAUGAUAGCACUACCAAUUCUUCAGAUAAAAUAUUUGCGCAUUUGUUGUGCAAAGAGAACUGAAACGAAGCCACUCUGACGAGCAUUAGUGCUACAACUCAAAAUACUGUGUUUGAACCAUACGUUUCUUGCCUGUUUCAUUUUGACCUGAAUCCUAAACAAAACAACUAGUACCAGCGAAAUCUGAAGAAUUGUUGUGUAUUAGUGGCACAAUUCACAGUCGCAUUGUUUGAACCAUGCAUUUCUUGCCUAUUUCGUAUUGCUCUGAAUCCAACUAAAAACAUCGAACACACUUACUGCUUGCACUAGCUACUGCAAAACUGAAAGCCAAGAACAAACAAAGAACUCAGAAAAACUUGUAACUUUCAAGAACAUAGUCUCCCUCUCUCUCCAACGAGGCCUACUAGACGCGCUGGAACUUGGCGUCCAUCUUGAGCGCGGCCUCCUUGGCCUCGAGCGGGUUGGCCCUCGGGUCGGUGACCCUCCUGACCUUGGCGCUCACCAGCGACCGGUGCUGGAAGCCGUAGAGCCUGAGCACCUGGUUGUCGGCGAAGUUGAAGGCGCGCUCCAUCCCCCUCAGGCACCGCUCCAGCGGGUAGUCCUCGUACCUCCCGCAGGUCUUGCACCCGACGAAGUGCGUGAUGAACGGCCAGCGGUCGUCGCCGAGCCCCGGGUGGUGCUCCUCCAUCAUCUGCUCGUACCUGUCCACCAGCCCCGUCCAGAAGCCAUGGAGGUAGAACUCCGUCUCGAUUUGCACCUUCUCCAUCCACUUGUCCUUCUGGAUGAGCAGCAGGUGGAUCAGCACCGACUGGUCGUCGGCCUCGAACGGUGGCCGGCCGGACAGGCUCGCCGUCAGCAGCUUCCCGGCCUCGAUGCGGGACGGGCCUCUUGGGCCCAUGGGCACCCACGCGUCAAGCAGGUCCAGCGACCACUGGCAGUUGCGGAGCAGGAAGAUGCCGGCGUUGAGGGAGAUCCAGGAGCGCUUCUCGAAGAGGAGGUCCGGGUAGCCGUGGACGACGAGGUUGCGGCCCUCGUAGCGGGAGAACGGGAGCUCGAAGGCCAUGUCGGUGAAGAUGGCGUCGCUGUCCAUCCACCAGAUCCACUCCACCUCCGGGUGCGCCAGCAUGAGGCGGCGCACCAGCGGGAUCUUGGACCAGUACCCCGUCAGCUCCGGGUCCAGGUGCGCCAUGUUGUGCACGAUGUCCAUGCCGUGGAGCCGGCAGUAGUCGAUCUUGUUCUUGAUCGCCUUGAGGAGGUAGUGGUCGCCGGCGGGGUUGUCGCAGGGCCCCGGCGGCGAGCCGGUGACGAGCAGGACCUUCGGGUUGCCGCGCGCGUCGCGGGAAGGGAACUCCGGGUGCCGGGACAGCCACUCCUGGCGCUGGGAGUCCCAGUCGCUCACCUUGGGGCCCAGGCUGUACUCCUUCACCUUGAUCAGCGUCGCCGACGGCGAGAACGAGAAGUUGCCGAAGCCGCCGGCCGUCACGUUACUGGGGGACGACGAGGAGGAGGAGCCGCCGUCCCCGACGAAGACUACGACCUCGUCGGGCUCGGAGUCGGAGCGGAUCUCGGCGAGGAUGCGCUCGAUGUCCUCGACGACCUUGGCGUCGGCAGCGGCGCCGUCGGGGUCGCCGCUGUUGACGAGGAGGUUGAAGCCGGCGGUGCCGCGGAGGACAAGCACGGUGAUGAAGCCGCAGAGGAGCGUGAUCUUGAUGUUGUUCAUGGUCCGCUGCCGCUGCUUCUUGAUGCUGCUCGCACGCAUCCGCCCACCGCCGCCGGCCACCCCCAUGCUGCUACCUCGCGGAUGGAUCUCUCGAUCGUCGUUGGAAGCUGUGAGAGCUAGUGAUUGAUGGGGCUGUCGGGUGGAGUUAGAUGUAUAGGGAGGAGGGACAGGGUUUUGGACGAGCAGGAGCAGGCAGGAACGUUCGGUUCCAGGAGGUGGCACGUUUGUGUGCAGUGGAAGUCAGCGGGGGCGCGGGAACUACGAGGGAGGAGGUGAAUACGAAAUUGCUCGGAUUUUGCAGAGAGGUACGGCAGGCGAGAGCACGAUUCCCGUUCUGCAUUACUAUAUGCUCACCGUCCCGUAGGGAGAUGUCAGAAUGUGACUAUCGUGAGGUUCUGCAUGCUGUGCUCUUUGUUGACUAUAAUUGGAGAGUGUGACAGUGUGUGCUUCUUCAACCGAGGGCUGUGCAUGUAGCGAUAUUAUUUACUAUAGGGCUUCCUUUAAGAUUUUAGUAGUAACGCAAAUCUACCCUGGCUGUAAGAUACUAGAUAUAUAGGAGAUUAAUUGUUCUAAGGGGUAAAAAAGGGAGAUUCUUCACCAAAGCCCUAUUUCUGCAAAAAUAUAAUUCACUCAACUUUGCACACUUGCUGAAUUCUGCAGUAUAGGAAGCAAGAACAAACCAAGAGUCGGAUCUCUGCAUCACAGAACAAUAGUGUCAAUGCAAAAUUACUGUAACCAAUAGUUGCAGGGGAUGUCUCUUGUUAUUAUUAUGUGGUUUUUGAGCCCUGUUUUCCUUAAAAACUAUGGCAAAGAUCUUGCCAUCCUUUCGGAAUAAAAUAAUAAUUACAGUUGGCGUAGACUUCAUGCUCUAGGCCGGUGUGACAGGUCUACCAUUUCCAUUGCUUGCAUUCUGAUCUCAGCUGGAUAAUCAUUCACACACCCAAUCCUUGGACCAGCCCCAGUGCUCCAUUUCAUGGACAACUUGUGCCCAAGCUGGUAAGAUUUAGACUCGCUCUUGGAUUUUAUCCUCUCAAGAAUUGCCUUCUGCGGGACAUCAAUGGCAGCUUUUGGGCUACGCAAACCACCUGAUAAGGUUCUUUGGUAUGUUAGCUUGGCUUGUUCUUCAGGAGCAUCCUUGCCUUCAUCACCUUCCAUUGUGUUUGGAGAGAGAACCACUUGUGGGGUAUUGGCAGAAACGACAAUGUUCUGUGUAUCGUUAGGCGUUGGAUCGUCGCAGCAGUCAUCUUUGGUGAAUGGACGUGCCUGAAUGGUCAAAACUAGCUCCUUAUGAGAAAACCCAUCUAUGACAACAUAUGUAAAUCUGAUAUUGUGAUGACUAUAUUGGUCUACCUUGAUUUCUUUGAGAUCAACCCCACUCUCUUCAAGGAAUUUCAUGAAAUUGACGAGGUUCUCCAUGCUUGGCUUGUAAUGACCACUGUAGGUCACGAUGGACUUAUCCAAAAAUAAUAAAAAAAUAGAAAAACAUGAGAGCAGGACAAAUCAAAGUAUGGAAUAAUACUAUCUUUUGCUCUAGGCAGAAAUACAAGGGGUCAACAAAAUCCAUGGCCGUCGCAAUUAACUUCCAUGGUGGUUGUUUCAAGAUAAGUAACUAACUUGAUGGGUAGGACUAUAGUAGAUACAAAAGUAUACAUUUUGCUAUGCUAACUCCACAAGUCACAAACAUAUUUAUAAAUAAGAUCAAACUUUUGAUAUGUAUUGAACAUUUAUCCUUGAAAACAGAUGUAUCUCUGAAUUCUUGUUUUUAAAUUUGUAUAAUAGUGAAUUAAUUAAGGGAUCAUCAACUGUUGGACAAAAACAUAUAUAUUCGGCUUGGUCAUAAAUUUAGAAUUAAUGAACAACAUAAGCAAGAAUACUAAGGAUUUUUUUACAAAUAAAAACAAAGUGUUUUUUUACCAAGAAAGUAAAAAAAAGCACCACAUCAAACAGUGAUGUCACAGUGGGGCAUACAACAAUACCUUGAUCACUCCAUUUUCUGCUGUAAGUUUUCCAGCAGCUAUGAUAGCACCUCCUGCUAAAAAGCUAGAGUGCUGAAAUACACCUUUCUCCUUCUGGAUGAAUAAAUCAGGUUAUAGAAAUAUAUAUUGGCCUAAUCAUAAGCUAAAAGAAUUGCUAUAAUAUUGUUUCUAGAGCAUUGCAAGUAUGGAAGUCGUUGAAAAAGUAAACAAGGUACCUUGCCAGAAUAAAGUUUUCUUGCUGUGCUCAUUACAAAAAUCCACUCAGCUUCUUCAGGACCUUGGCUUGUAUCAAGUGGUUCUCCAGAUUGCUUAUGGAUAACCUUUCCCUCAUUAAUGAUGUAUUCAUAGAGCUCAUGCUCUCGCUGUAGAACAUAGGGAACUUAAUAGAACUUACUUCAUACAUAGUAGUAGUAUGUUUAGUAGAAACCGAAUGAAGAGCUUGUCUAACAAAGAAUUCCUUUUUUCCAAUUUAGCAGUGUGCCGUGUUUAAAGUCAAAUGCAUUUUUGCAUAGUCAUAACUAAUGAGAAAAAACAAAUAAGUAGCAUGAACAAAAGUAGGUCAGGUCAUGGCAGAUGAUAUUCACGUUUCAUUUAAAACAAUAAUUGAUAUUUGAGGCUAUGUAAAAAUACAGCAUAUCAACAAUUUUAUUAUUAAUAAAAAUAUUACAAAAAUAUGCAACACAUAUUUGAACAGGGAAAAAAUAUCUUUGAAAAGGUGAACUUAUCUUUACAUAACAACAAUAGUGGCAUUUAAUAAAAAAAAGCAUCAUAUAACUAAAUUGAGGUUUUAUGGGUAAAGUGUCAAGCCCUUAUACAAACUCUUCUCGCAAUAUUUUGAUACCGAUAUAUGGCACGAUUUAUGGAUAAAGAUAGCCUGAACAUAUAUUUCUUACAGGACCGAGGUAUUUUAUGCAUUGCUUCUUAAGCAGAGUUCUUGGACACUCAGGGAGAUCAAUAUAUUUUCCAUUCCCAACAUCAAGCCUGCAAAUGGAAGCGGACUUGCUAAAAUUGCCAUGCAAUCGAACUAACAUCUUAAAUUGCUCAAAAGUUUUUCAAUAUGCACAUAUAUAUUAUCAUAUGUUAUGCCAACUGCAUCAACUUGUUCUAUUACGAAAAUAUGCAAAUGCAGUAUGUUCUCACCAAUAGAAGAAGGGCUGGCUGGCUUGGCUUUGGCACCAAAAAUCAUAGUAGAAGUGCAGGUUGUGCCCAGACCGAUGUUGUGGAUCGAUCUACAAAGCAACCAGUGGAUAUAUUAUAUAUUAUUAUAGCGCUACCGUUGAGAGUGUUGAAUAUGCUGAAAGUGGCAUCUUUUAACCCACAUGCAGUUACAAUGAAAAAUCCUAAGAGUAAUUAAUAUUGAAUUAAAAGUAGUGGUAGUGGAUUGGUACUAGUUAUACUCACAGCCUCGAGCCAGUGCUGUGAAGCCAACUUGAGAGCCUUGCUAUCUCUAGAGAGACCUUGACCAACCUGGGUCAAUCACAUAAAUAUAUGACAAAGAGAGCGAUGUCGGAGAAGUCAAAACAAAAUGAGAUUUCCCAGCAUAAUGAACAUUUGUGAAGUAUAGCGAUUGAAACCUUAGAUGCUUUGAGGCUAACUCGAUUCCAAUGUGAUGCUACACUCUUAGGCUUGGGUUCAACGAAGGAGAUAGUGCUAUGGUUGAGCCGUGCAAAGUUCAGCGCUUGCCACCUUCAUUCAUCCAAACUCAAACCCUAUUAUUGUUUUAUCAAAACUUAUUUGGACACGCAUCAAGGAGAAUCAAUUUAGUUUUUCUUUGGGACCUUGCAUUCUCCAUGAACUCCAAAUAAUACAUAGUAUCAAGAACCAAAACAAGAUAAGUGGUAGGGAAAAGUUACAGGAAAAAAUAUCUUCCAAAGUAGCAAAUUAAAAUGGCCUACAUAAUUAAUCACUUAGAGCACCAAUGUACUAAAACACGUAAAAAUUUUAAACCAACUUAAGUUUAUAAUUGGAUUCAAGAAGACAAAGCUAUACUAUAUUCUAACCAAGGCUAGCUAAUUAUAAAAAUGAUGACCACAUGGAUUUUGGUUACCCUGGGAACCUUGCAAUGAUGUUGUAAAAUAUGGAUACAUAAGCUAGCAGGUAUCAAAGGAUCCAUAGUUGGGAUUAUAAAUCCCAAGUCUAGGCUAUAGAUUCUCUUUUUGUUGUCAACCACAUAAAACUCAAACACGUUAAAUAUCUUUGCAUCAUCAUCUUCAAUUUGGUCAUGUCCGAACAUGCAAAGUAUUUGUUAAAAUUGUAGUGAAUUUUUAAAUAAAUUGUCCUUUUUCUCAUAUUUUUGCUAUACCUUAAUAGAGAUGUUUUGCUGCUUUUUGAAAUUUACUCCCUCCGUCUUGAAAUAUAAGGAUUUUUAUUUGUUCUAAGUCAAAUUACUCUAAGUUUGAUCAUCUAACACAUUAAAUAAGUAAAUUAUAAAAAUAUAUUUCGUAAUGAAUCUAAUUAUGCUCAUUUGAUACGUUAAAUAUUAUUGCUCUUUUCUACAAUUUGGUAAGUUUGAUCAUCUAACACAUUAAAUAAGUAAAUUAUGAAAAUAUAUUUUGUAAUGAAUCUAAUUAUGCUCCUUCGACUACAAUUUGGUCAAAUUAACAUUAGUUUGACUUAUUAGAACAAACCAAAAUACCUUGCAAUUCAGAAUGGAGGGAGUAUAUAUUUUGUUAAAAUUACAAUAUUUUUUUAAUUCUAGGUUACUGCUAUGCUGUUGAAUAUGUUUACUCAAGCUUAUAAAAGGUGAGGGAAUUAGAGUUGGUGAAUUAGUGCUGCUAAUUGAAAUUGUGCACGUAUAUAUAUGUAUUUUACAAUAAGAUUCAAUCGAACAAACCUGGAGAAAUUCGCUUCAAAAAAACAAACCUGGAGAAAUCUCACCCAGGGAAACUAAGAAAGAGCAGAGGAGAGGAGUCGUCUAUAAAAAAGAAGAGGUAAAGCAGAGGAAGAGAGAAAGGAAAGGGCAAAAGUGGUGUGGGGUCUCGUUACCAGAGCUCUUCUACAACGACGGCGGAAUCGGCGAGCUUCCGCCUGGUCCGGUAGCCACGGUACGCCUUCUGCAGCUUGGUCGCCGCCGCGUCAUCCAUGCUGCCGCCGUUUCCCGCAACCGGGCACCUCGGAGAAUCCGCAGCGCCGAAGCCGGCCGGAGGGAAAGCCGCCUCCGUCUCCAGCUUCUGAUUUCUAUGAAGACCGAGCAAGCAGUUUUAGCUUGGUCGCGAGGCAGAGGAUGACUGCAGCUAGCCUUCACGAGUAGGCGCAGGAAAGCAUCCCAUUCCCGUUCGCCUUUAGACUAAGACUACUAUAAUCCUGGUAACAAGAAGUAUACCACGCAUUCUGCGCAUGCAAUUGUUAAUUCUCUUUUGAAGGAGCCCUCACCAGAAUUAACAAUAAUGGCAUAUGGUUCGUUAUCAAAAGAAGAAGAUGACCCCGACCGAGGCCAGUCGUAGGCUGUGUAGGUAUUUCAGAGCUGUCAUUCUUGCGCAUCAUCGUCUCCACGAGAGAGGAGCACUAGUGAUGGUCUGGUGUCAUGUUCCCGGAACGGUUCCUGCGCCGUAGCAGACGGGCGCCUCUCGUGCACGUCUUCCCAGCCGGGCGUACGUAGCAUGUGCCAUGAUGUGUUGAUGGUGGCGAAUUGGCGAUCUGUCCAUGUUGUUGGUCGCCGGCAGGUGAACCCGCUGCACGGGUGAUUCAUUGGGUUGCAUGAUCAGUGCUAUCCUUGUGGUAAGAUAUUAGACAUAGGAGAUUCAUUGCUUCAUCAAGAUUAAAAAAAGGAUAUUCCUUCACAAAAGCGCUAUUUGUGCAACAAUGUAAGUCAGACAAGAAACUGCUGAAUUCUAGCUAGGAAUUAAGCAAGAACAAACCAAGAGUCCGACCUUUUCACUUUUGCAAUACAGAAAUAUCAACGCAAAGCUACAGUAAAAACUCAUCCCUCGUGGAGGACUUGCUCCAAGGUAUUGCAGUAAAAAGAAUUUUUUCGCAAGCUGCAGGAUCGAAAAAAGACCAAAGGCCGGAUACCCAUGACUUGCUCUGAAACUAGCCACAUGCAAGGGGCCUUUUUUGUGAGAUUCAGUGUCACACCCCAAAAUUUUUAUUUUGGGCUGUGAAUAAACAAAAUCAAUAAAAUCAGUUUUUUUCUUAUUUAUAAAAUAUUCCAACAAUUAGUUAAUAGCACAACACUUAAUUAUAUGAAAUAAAUAGUUUCUAAAUUAAACAAAAUAGUCAAUAUAGGUUAUAUAUUUUUGUUUGGCUCACGGGUCAUGCCAAAUAGUUUGCAUCUGGGGUUUCUUGUUUGGAAAGUGUAUUUCAAAAUUCGAUAGAAGUUCAUUUCAACAUAAUUUGAGUUAGAUUAAAUCCUAAACACCAUUUGGACCGGCUCACUCUUUGUUUCUUCCUUCCUCUUCUUUUCUUUUUGCUUUUCGGAACCGAAACCGAACCAUUCAUUCUCUCCAACAGGACCGAGCUCAGAUUCAGCACAAACCGCCAGCCCGACAAGCUCCUUCUUCUCUCUUGCUCGGCGCGGCAACAGCCUGCAUGGAACCACUGCCCUCGCCGCAAACAGCAAGCAUCAGGUGGAUCCCGAACAUCUCUAGUGGUAUCAUCUAGGUUUCUGAACUCUCAAAAUGCAUUAUUGGAUUAUGAACUUAUCUUAGGGCGAUGUCAUCAUCUAGAUUCCCAAACUCUCAAAAUGUAUUUGAAGUCCCUGAACUUUUCUCAGGGUGUUAUCCAAGUCCCCAAUAAAGUCUCAAACUGCAUUUUCGGUCCGAAAUCUUGUCAGGUGCUAAGCAUGAGAGGAUGGUGGAGCAGGAGGCUAGUGACGAUGGUGUAGGAGUUGGAGGAUGACUAGGGGCUAAGAUCUGGCUGGUGCAUAGGCUCAGGCAUGGGUCUUGCAACCAGAAGGUGAGGUUUGUUGCAGUGUCGCCGAUGCUUGAUUGCUGGAGCUAGGACACAGUAGCCUGGGCAGGAGAGAAAACAUCACGGUGGCAGGAAGGGGCGAGAUCUAUCAUGAGAACUAGGAGUCCUAAUCUUUCCCUCCGUUUGGUUUAGUAAUGACGUUAUGAGUUUAAGGAUCUAAAAAGGUAUUUAGAGAGUUUAACGGCUCCGGAUGACAUUUCGGGAGAAAUGUGGAAUCUAGAAAUUUAUUUUAAGAAUUUAGAUAUCUAGAUGGUACCUUGGGAUAAGUUUAGCACCUUAAAAUAUAUUUUGAGUGUUUAGAGACCUAAAUAACACAGUAACAGUAAGACAGGUUCAGGAACCACCCAUGCAUUUUGCCAACCUCACUAAUAGCUCAUAUGUUAGAGUCUUAAUUAGACCACCCUUACAGAAAUUCUCGGACUUCGCGCAACUGCUUUACGUAGGAGCAGCUCUAAGUAUAAUAUAGUAAAACCAUAAAUGACGAUACAUAGGAACAACAAAAUGAAAUUAGUCACAAGCUUAGUGAUAACUUUAUCCUGCACGCACUGAGUGAAUCAUGGCAGAAAAAAGUCAUUAGAGAGAUGCUCCCUCUGCCUGAAAUCUAAGAUAUUGUGGUUAGCAUAAGUUUGAUCAAAUUUAUAAAAAAAAAUCUCAUCGUAGGCACACCGACGUAUAACAGCGCCUCAUUCAUGCACGCCACCAGCAUACAUCACAUCACAUUUUAUUGGUUAGUUAUACGCCGGCGUGCCUGCGAUGAGAUCCUUUUUUCUAUAAAUUUGGUCAAACGUAGGCUAACUAAAGUCUACAGCACGUACAACUGCCACAAAGUCUACAGCGUUCCACGUGCUCCAUCGACCGAUCGAUGAUUCAAAGUAUCUUAGUAUCACGCAUGGCGGUUUGAUGCAUGCGAUACAUGUACAGCGUACUAGUGCUAUUCUGUCAAGAGUUAGGCGCUAGGUCCAUGACUCCAGCGGCCAAUCCAGUCUCCAGGCGAUCACGGCCCCAUGCCCAGCCCAGGCCAGCCUUGCACUAGGUUUUGUUGCAAGUAGUCUCCAGGUCCACAAACUGGAAAUGCUAGCAGGUAGUCGUAAGCAUGAAACACUAGCGUGCAGGGUAUAGCCAGGAACUCAUUUUUUUUUCAUUGUUAGGGGAACCAGCAAUAGUAUUUUUUUUGAAUUUGGUUCAAUUCAAAAAAUUUCAGUGGAAAAUCGGAAACCAUAGGGAAUCCAAGCCCCUGCCCCCCUCCCUCCACCACUGAAAACUUGUGCAUCGUCGUCGUUUUAAUUUGGAGCCGAUGGAGAGAUCAGAUGUCAAGGAGGACACGCUCCAUGGGUGGAAACUUUGGCUUCAUCGGUGUACGAUAACCCCGGAGAGACACUUGCAACCUGACUGGCUUGCGUGCACACGCUGCUAGGCGGCUACGCUAGGCCAAUGCAGACACUAGCUUCUGCCGAGCGAUCACCCUGCAUGCCCGCUGGCCUAUAAAUACCAGGUAUCGGCAAACUUGAAGCAGGCACACAAACACACACGGUUGGGAUUUGGGAACACAGCUAGGUAGCGAUGGCAUCCAACAAGUCCUCCAUAGCUUCCCCUGCUCUCAUGUUCCUAGCCGUGGCAGCACUCAUAUUGGCCACUUCUGUGCGGGCCCAGACACCCGCUCCUACGCCGGCACCGACUCCAGCUCCAGCGCCGGUGCCGGCCCCUACACCUACGCCUACUCCAGCACCAACCCCGGCUCCGACGCCUGCACCGACGCCAGCACCCACUCCAGCUCCGACGCCUGCACCGACUCCAGCUCCGACGCCAGCUCCGACGCCAGCACCCACUCCAGCUCCGACGCCAGCACCUGUGCCCACGCCUGCCCCGGCACCAUCCCAAGGUCCUUGUCCUUCUGGCUUCCCUAACCUCGCCGCGCUUGUAUUAGCGAAGCCGGUGUACCUUAGACGCGGUAUCGUCCUGACUCUCUUCCCUAAGCCGGUCCCCCAAGGCACCAGCACCAAAGUAUGCGUGUGCUUUCCCUCUACUAACAUCACCAUCGUCGGCCUCGUCAAGCCCAACUUGGCUGGCCCCUACACAUGCGUGCGUGGGCAGAGCCUGAACGUACUUCCAUGAGAAUGCGUACGCACGACCCAAAAUGUGCCGCAUGUAUAUGCAUGCGAUCAUGUCCGCGUGCGUCCAAUUAACUACUCGUAUACGUACUAUAUACAUACAUACACUAUAGAAUAACGAGCUCAUCCUGCUGUAUGCGAAUGCAUGCGCCGUAUCUGCAUGCGGAUGAGAUUGAGAUCUACAGAUGCAUGUAACGUGUGUGAAAUGCAUGUUCGUGUAAUCAUGUUGUGUUUUGUACGUGUGCUCACCAAAUACAUAUAUUUAUUGGAAGAAUCUAUAUUGAUUAAAUGCUUUCAUUAUUACUUCUCCUGUCAAGUAUUUUUCACGCUACUACGUGUCCUGCAGUUGUUAUACAUGUUCGAAUUCGAUCAUAAGAUGAUAUGCAACAUAAAGGUCGAUGUAUCACUCAAUGAUAUGCAACAUAAAGAUCGAUGCACUUCGUGCUACUACUUAUUUAUCGCUGUUGACUUUUUACCACGAUGUUUGAUUAUUUGUCUUAUUCAAAAAUUUAAUGCAAAUAUACAAAAAGAUCAGUCAUGCUUACAAUAUCAUUGCUGAUAAUUAAUUACAAACUAAACAAACACUACGUACAUAUUUUUUGAAUAAGAUGAAUAGUCAAACACCAUGAUCAGAAGUCAACAUCGACAAAUAUUUCGAUACGGAGGAAAUACCAAGUAAGAAAAUAUUUGCAUCAGCCUUCUCGCAUAUGAAGUAUGCCUCCAUCUAAUAGAGGUAGCACCACACCGCUAUCUUGUCCACACGCAUUGGUCCUUUUAAUUAUGAUUGCUAACAUGUCUGCUAUAAUGUUAAAUAAAAUGGGGGAUAAAGGAUCUCCUUGUUGAAGAUUUUUUCCUUGUUACCAAUCCCGGUUCCAGCCAGACUCCAUUCAGAAAAUGAUUCCUGGGUCCUACUCGGGUUUGGAAAAAUAAGAACAUUAACAUUUAUUGCCACACUCCAACCAGAAACAAAAAAAAAUAGUAUCCAAGAUAUUCACUUGGAUGAGAACCCUUCUAUUUGAAGUGUUUGCAGUAGGAACGGCCAUCUCGCUUUAUCGUAAGCCCUUUCAAAAUCAAUUUUUAUAAAAUAACCCACUUUGUUUCCUUCAACGUAGCUCAUCAUGAACAUGGUCUCAUGCAAGAUGACGACUCCUUCAUAUACGUCCUUGCUUAAAAGUCGUUUGAGUUGGGAUAAUUAUAUGAUCCACAACUGAACUUGUUCUAAAACAGGCCGCUUUAGUGAAGAUUUUAAAAAAAUCAUUUUGCGCAGACAGUCGACCUAUAUUCCUGAAUUUGAUUUGCUUCUUGGAAUUUCAGGAUCAGCGCUAUAACUCCAAAGUUGAGGUUGAAGAGACACUAAUAGAGAACUCACCUUCCAUCCACCCCCUUUUGUCUCAGUUUAAAUUUGACCCGUGACUAAAGGUUCAUCAACCGGGACUAAAACUCAGCCACUGGCGGGGGGCUUACCAACGGGGACUAAAGAUCCCCUUUAGUCCCGGUUGUAAAGGCCAGUGGUCUGGAGGGGCCUUUUGUCCCAGUUGGAAACACCAACUGGGACUAAAGGGGGUCCUUCAGUCCGGGUUGGUGCUUCCAACUGGGACAAAAGGGUCCCUACCCUCAUUCCAUGCGCCCCCCCUCCACCUCCUCCUCUCUCUCUCACGCGCCUUAUCUCCUGCGCCCUCCCUCUGUGCCCCUGGCCUCCCAUUCUCAUGCGCCUUAUCUCUUGCGCCCUCCCACUCCCACCGUCGCCCCCCCUUCCCCUCCCUCCCGGCGCAGCCGCCCCCUCCCCUCCCUCUCCUGAAGCCGCCCCCUCCCCUUCCCCCUCUGCUCGCCCCUCAUUGGCACCAGUGAGGAGCGACAGUGGGGUGAGGUGCAGGGCAGCGCAAUAAGAGAUGAGUCAGGUGGCGAGGUGCGGCGGCGGCGAGCUUGGUGGCCAAGAGGAAGUCGGGUGUUGUGGUGUUUGAGUUCUUGCUUUGGCUUUGUAUCUUUUUUUUUGCAGGAUUACAUCCACACUAUGGUGGUGGCAGCGGGUGGAUGGGGGUGAGUGGCGGUGGGUGGAUGCAACGGCGAGUGGAUGCGUCGGGCGGCCGGAGGCGGCGCGGGCGCGGGGUGAGCGGAUCUUUUUUUAUUUUUUUAAAUGUUUUAGUCCCGGUUGGUAAAAACAACAGGACUACCUGGAACUAAAGAUCGCCCAUUUGUCUUAAAAAAUAAAUUUCGGAGCGAUUUUCGGUAUAUUUGUGCCCCACCAACUGGGACUUUUAUGUUUUCUAGUAGUGAGAGGUAAAGUUCCUAUAUGUAGUUCAUGAAACAUUUCCAGCAAGUCUUGUUUGACGAUAUCCCAGAACUUUUGAUAAUAAGCCGGGAAACCAUACGAGCCGUGCCAGGUGCUUUGUUAUAUUCCAUUUAAAAAUCUGCAUCUCGAAUCUCCUUUUCUCCUUUUCAAUGAAUGGAUCCGUGAAAAAUUCGUUUUUAGAUGCAGCUAGUCCAUUCCACAACAUCGCAGUGGAUUAACUUUUGCUUUCUCCUGGAGUAUCGUUGUACGCUGAGAGUUUCAUGCAAAAACAAAUAUUUAAUAGAUUGUGAUCUAUUUAGCGGCUAGCCUGCAAAAUUGCGUAAUAUAUCCUUCUUAUGCCAAAAUCCUUGACCUAAAAGUGAAACUAAAUUUCAACCAAACUAAUAGCUCAAAUGUGAGUAUGACCAAACUAUAUAAUAAUCGCUCGGAACGUACUUAAGAUCAGCUCUAAUUAUAGUAGAAAACAUAAAUGAUGAUACAUGAUGUGGUUAAGGUCUAACUCUAGAUAUAGGAACAACAAAAUGAAGCUAGUGUCAGUUUUAAUAAUAAUAUAACCUCGCACAGUGAGUGAAUAGUGAUAGCGAGAAAAAGAAUAUUGGAGAGAAAGGAGAGAAAAAAAAGACAGGAACCAGGUGCGUUUGAACGACACGGUAGGCACGGCGGCGGCGUACAGGUCACUCCUAAUGCACAGUUUCAUCACAUUGUUAUACAAGACUGCAAACUUGGUAACCGUGCCUGUCUGGUUUUAUGGGGAUGAAACUCCUCUCUUAUUUUAUGAAACUCCAUCCCCUCUCUCCUCAUAAAAAUCUUGCGAAGUCAGCAAAAUUAUUGGUGUGACAUACACUAGUAGAGAAUUGGCUUUCGAUGCACCCCAUUUUAUCCCGGUUUAAAGUUGGCUCUGGACAAAAGGUUCACCAACCGGGACUAAAGCUCGGUCACUGGUGGGGGGCUCACCAACCGGGACCUUUUAUCCCGGUUGCAAAGGCUAGUGUGAAAAAAAGAUCCUGAGAGGCAUUUUAUCCCGGUUGGUAACACCAACCGGGAUAAAAGGGUCGAGAGUCUUUUAUCCCGGUUUGUAAUACCAACCGGGAUAAAAGGGGGUCAUUUAUCCCGGUUGGUAUUUUAAACCGGGAUAAAAGGGUCCCGAAUGAGGUCACUGGAACAGGACUAAAUCCCUCGAACCCUUUUAUCCCGGUUUGUAAUACCAACCUGGAUAAAAGGGGGUCUUUUAUCCCGGUUGGUGUUUCCAACCGGGAUAAAAGGGUCCCCACGAGUUAAUACAAAAGGAUAGCAUCCCCUCCAUAGUCAGAUGUGGUGUGUAGGUGGGAUGGCAAGGAAGCUAUGCGCGAGGCUGGAGGUUGUGGGUUCGAAUCCCACGCAGAUAUUUCGUGUGGGGGGCUUCCUGGUAGCUCGGGAUUUUUUUUUUGCCGACCGUGGUGACCCGUUUUAUCUACCAACCGGGAUAAAAGGGGGUCUUUUGUCCCGGUUGAGUGACCCGGGAUAAAAGACCCCCCUUUUGUCCCGGAUGGAUUUUCGGGAGAUUUGCACCCUACCAAUCAGGACUAAAAGCCAAUUCUCUACUAGUGAUAGAAUAAUGCUAAUGAAACUUAUUAUGAAACUCCCACGGCCUAACAACAGCUCCCAUGCACGCACGUUAUCAGCUGUACAUCUCAUUUUGAUGUAUGCUGGUAAGGGUGCAGUACGACUGCUACAAAGUCUACAGGGUUCCACGUGCCCCAUCUACCGAUGAUGCAACGAGCCCCCAGGUGUGUGCAAGGCCUUGGUCAAACGAUCGAGGGAGCUAGAACUAGCUAAGGUAUGAUCAUGAUGCCAUGGUCGUGGAUGUGCACUCACUACGCUUACAGAGUACAGUGUACUAAUGCUAUUCUGUCAAGAGUUAGGCGCUAGCUUCAUGACUCCAAGAAGCAAUCAAGCAAUCACCAUGCCCGGCUGGCUAGUGAUAGAGAGAGCAGAUCGAUCUAGUUUUCAUUACACGACGCACGUGUUUGCGCUACUACUAGUAUAGAAAUUAAACCCCUUUAUUCACGCACUUUUCACUGGCCUUGCUCCGAGGGUACGGUGGUGAUCUCUGUUGAUAUAUGCAAAACGCACGCAAGGUUCUUGCUAUUCUAUGGUGUAUUCUUCUUGUUGCUACUCCAUCCUAGGAACUUGACCGCGCAGACCUGUUCCAUAUUUAGGACAAACUAAUAAUUACUUCAAAAAUCAACUAAAGUGCUUUGUCGUUAUAAAGUCAUAUAUGUAGGAACAGAGCUAGUAAAGCGGAGCUAGCCUUUGCCGUUGGGGCCAAGCGACCGCGAUAAAUUUUGUAAAACCAAUGAAAAGCAACUGAUCAUCAUUAUCUAUUAUCUUAAUACGAUAGCGUUAAAAGAAGGCACCACACGUUCACUGAGAGGACUUAGAAAUCAGCAUAUUAAUCGAAAAAAGAGAAAAAUAUACACCGUUAGCUUUUAUGAAGAUCUAAUGGUCUAGAUAAGCCAAAUAGUCAAUAUCUAAUUCGGAAUUAAAAUAUGAAGAAUAAGUAGUUUGAUUCCUAUAUACGGAGUGUCUGAUUUUUUAUGAUCUAAUGGACAAGAUUUUAACUAGAGAGUCCGUGUAGAAAUACAGCUAUAUAUUUGAUUUCUUUUCAUCUCAUCCAUAUCUCUUGCGCUCCAUUAUUGCUAGAAGUUUUAUUAGGAAGGGAUAAUUAAAGAUGGUAGAGCAACUUCAAGAGGCUGCUAAUCUUACCCCAAUAUCUUUUUUAGGAAAAAAGAGAGAAAAAAUGAACUCCAACAAUCCACCUAAACCUUCCCUAAUUUUUUAGCGACGCUAAAACAGCCUACCACCGCGUAUAUUUUAGCGUUGGCGUUCCUCCCCCAAUCCUGAUCCCCGCACGCCCGUGCGUCCCUUCCGAUGGGCUCAAUACGAUGACGUGGCCUGUGUUUGAAAUAUUGGGGGCUAUUUAUUAACGAUCUGCUGUGGACUGAUAUGUUUUUGGGGGAAAUUUUUGUUGGAGAACCCCCAAUAUAUAAUUUUGGGGAAGAAUUUUUUAGGAUACUCUUGGAGUUGCUCUAAGCCCUAGAAAUAAUAGCAAUAGCACACAAGAGUGCUUCCUUUUCCCAAUGAGUCCGUACGUAGUUUGCAGUGGAAGCACAAAAUUUUUCUCUCUAAUUCCCUAUUGUUUCAGCUGCUACAGAGCUUUGAGUGAGGUUUGCCUUAUGCAACGUACACGAUAGAUGGACUCCUGGUCCGUGAGGAGUUCGCGGAGUUCAUCCAGAAGCAGACUAUAGACUCCCUAUGCUCCACCAGCCUGAAGCUUGACAAAACACUGUUGGGCGCGCCCCUUGCUGGAGAUGGCGACCAAGCGGGUGACUGAGGGCGUCCCCAGCAUGGGCAAGGUGGUGAGCAAGCUAGCUGUCACCCUGAGCGUUAUGCUGGUGCAAAAAUUCAUCGAGGGCGUCAAGUGACUUGAAAGCCUAAUCCGCGUGACUCCAUGAUGGCCAAGCUGAAUUAAGUGUGAAGUGCUAAUGUAUGCAUGCCACCACAAAUAAACAAUAAUCUCUAAAUGGUGCAUUGUGUUUUAAUUUGAUGGACGAUGGCGUGAGCUCUCGAACUAGAAGCUCAAAAAUCGGAUCAAGCGAGAUGAAGAACCUGACUACCUGAGUAGUCUCUUGGACAUGGUCAAAUGUUACUCCAGCCAACGGCCGGUUCAACUAUAUUGUGGCUCGAUCGGCGACUUGGUAAGGAGCGAUGUGCAGCUCACCUAGGUAGCCGAUCAUGGUUCGCAUUUGUGUGUGUGGCCGCAACUAAGUAGGAUUGUACGAAGACAAUGCAAUGCGAACUCUUAGCAACUUAUUGAUGACCGCGUAGACCGCCUGUACUACCUCCCUCCAUAUUCGAGACAAACUAAUUACUUCUAAAAUCAACUAAAGUGCUAGCUUGUCAUCGUAAUAAACGUCAUAUAUUUAAGAACAUAGCUAGCAAGCGGAGCUAAGUAGCCUUUGCCGUUGGGGUCGAUUGACCCCAGUAAAACUCUGCAAAACCAAUGAAAAUCAAGCUACUGUUCACCAUUGUUACUGAGACCCCGAUAAAACUCUGCAAAACCAAUGGAAAUCAAGCUACUGUUCACCAUUGUUACUGACGACGACGACCCAGCGUGAAAGAGUGAUGACCCCGGUAGCGGGCUUCGCUCCUGUUAAUAGUACGUAAUCAUCUGGUGUAAAACUAGCACCUGUCAGCAUAGUCUUUUGUACCUGUUGCAAGUUGCAAGUGUCCAAGUCCACAAGCGUACGGUAACCAUUCGUGGGUACAUACAAGCAAGAAGCCGUAGGCAGGCAAUGCGCGCACUCUUGUGGAUCAUCGUCGUCGCCUAUGUUUCGUGGAGCCGAGGGAUCGGAGAAGCAGCAGCUAGCCAUUGUUGAAACGAUAGAUGAGCUAGAGGAAGCUGCCUAUGGUCGAUGAUGUGCAACCUGGAAUGUCAAGGAGGGCACGUUCCAUGGGUGGAAAACUUUGGCUUCUCAUUUGUGCGCCGCCCCACGAGCAGUACACGACUGACCUGCUGCUGCGUGCGUGCCCUAGGCGGCUAGGGCGCCAAUCCUGAAACUUCUGCUGCCGAGCAAUCGCCUGCCCUGCCCGCUGCCGCUGGGCGCUGGCCUAUAAGUAGGACGUGUGGCCGAUACGCUUGAAGGCAGAAACACAUACGGUUGGGAACAUACAAUAUCCAUCCGCAGGUAGUAGCUAGCGAUGGCAUCCGACAAGUCCAUAGCCGCUUCCCCUGCGCUCGUGUUCCUUGCCGUGGCAGCACUCAUGGUGGCCGCUUCCGUGCGCGCCCAGGCUCCGACGCCUGCGCCCACGCCGGCUCCAGCACCAACUCCGGCUCCGACUCCUGCUCCGGCACCAUCCCAGCCUGCGCCCACGCCGGCUCCAGCACCAACUCCGGCUCCGACUCCUGCUCCAGCACCAUCCCAGAGUCCUUGCCCUCCCGGCUUCUCCAACUCCACCGCGUUUAUUCUAGGGGUGAAGCAGUUCCUUAGACGCGGCAUCCUUCUGUUGGGGCCCUUCCUUGCGCCGGUCAUCCCAGGCACCAGCACCACAAAAUGCUUGUGCUAUUACUCUACCAACAUCACCACCAACGUCCAGCCCAUCGUGGGGAUCUUCCCGGUCCCGCCCAUCGUCAGGCCCAACGUCAUUGGGCCCAUCGCAUGCGUGCGUGGACCGGCCACCAUUAACUUCUAACUAAUUACUCGGAUAUUAUAUAUAAAUAUAUAAUACUAUGAAUAACGAGCUCAUCGUUUAUGUGUGUGCAUGCAUGCGUCGUGUCAGCAUGCAUGCGGAUGAGACUAAUUCGCACGUCACAGUACGCUGCGGUACUACAGGAGGAGAUGAGUUGAGUUGACCUAUACAGAUGUAACGGGGUGACAUUGUUCGUGUUGUGUUGUAAUAUGGCUAUCAGUUUGGCAGACCACUCUAAUCAUCAUUGAUAAUAAUAUUAAGUGGAUCUAUAUUGUUUUAAAAACAUUACUGCCCUCCGUUUCAAAUUACAGGUCGUUUUGAUUUUCUAGAUGCAUAGUUUUUGCUAUACACCUAGAUAUAGUAUAUGUGCAUAAUAGUAUUUACCAACUUAGAAAAGUUAAAAACGACCUACAAUUUGAAACGGAGGGAGUAUAAUGAGUAAACCCCUACGUCUAUAUCUACUAAAUAAUCUACCUCUACCAUUAUAAAAAUAAUCUAAUAAAGUAACCACCUAAUAUUAAUCUUAAUUAUCGACAUACUUCUGCCAUUAUGAAAGGUAAUAUAAUUUGACUCCAUAAAUUUACAACCAAAUAUCCACCUUUUUCAAUAAGAAAGAUCAUCUAAAGUGACCCCCUACAUUUGCAUAGAAAUUACCUAACUCAGUCAUUAUUGAAAAUAAACUAAAACAACCCCUUAGAUCUACAUGUAAAUUACCAAGAUAUGCUACUUAUGAAAAGAGUAUAAUAAAUUAAAGUAUCCCAACAUAUAUAUAUAUAUAUAUAUAUAUGCUUCAAAAUCACCGAUUUCUACCACUAAUAAUAUAUAAUAAAACAAACUUGAAGAAAGUAUACAUAUAUAUGUCUAUAUAUAUAUAUAUAUAUAUAUAAUACCAUAGUUUCAGUGGGAACCCAUUUGGUAGUCCUGGUGGGCCCAGGAUUACCAUGGGAUUUGACCAUUUUUCAAUUAGUACUUAGCCUAGCCCAAUACAAAUAGCCCGCACCUUGCUCACAGUUAGUUUUGACUUCAAUUUUUCAAUCAAUUCUCCACAGUUAUGUGAUCAUUGGUCUACUUGAAUGAUUUACAAUAAUUCUUAUGUAUCGGAUCUUGAAAGGCUACGUGAUAACUCAUAUGUUUACCAUUACAUUUUGUGUUAUGAUAAGUGAAUAUCAAUGUUUUAGUACUUUGCAAUAUUCCUUAUAGCAUACUUCUGUUACAAGGCCACAACCACAACUAAGUCUUUGUAUUUUUGAGAUUGUUUUCUUUAACAUGACAACCAUUGAUUUGUAAUAUACCAUUUAAUUUUCUCUUUUGAGUGCUUAAUUUGUCAUUUGUUGCUAUUAUAUUUUUAGUUAUGCAAGUUUCAAACUUAUAUUUUGAAUUUAAGAUAUUAUAGGAAUUUUUAAUAUAUUUGUAUUGUGAUUUUGAUUAUUUUAUACUUGUAUAUACCAUAUUUCUUGGAAAGGUAUUUCAAUUUGCAUGGCAAAUUAUACUCAUAUAUGAAAUUAUGUAUUGGUGUAUUGGCUGGCCAUGCCUAAAUUGAAAUCCUGGUCCGCCAGUGCAUAGUUUAACAAUCUUGGAAAAAGUUUCUUGAAUGAAUCACGUACCAGUGGCUCUAAGAAUGUAUUUUGGAUAAUACUAUUACUCUCUGAUAAUAUGUUAAUUGCUGCUUUAGACAAAUUUCUCAUGUUGGACGGAACAGUGUAACAUAUAUGUAUUAAUAGGUUAACUAUAAGCACUCAUUUUAAAAAUAAUGUGUACUACCACACUCAUAAUUCUUUGAUAGAGGAAAACCAACAUUUUGAGCACUACUAUGCUGCAGGCUAAAACGCCUGCUUAUUUUAUUGUAGUAACUGAAAAGUGCAGCCUUGGACCUAGAAUGAGGAAUAAUGUAGAGCCAGUCUAGGACUUCAGAAUUUUUAGAUUUUUUUUUCUAAUGCAUCUCGUGAGGAAUAACGUAGGGCUAGCCUUUAUGAUGUGCCCAUUCAUAGAUUACAUAAAUACUGUCAUAUCUGCUUCAAGCUGUCCGGGCUGUGAUAUACUGUCAUAUAAGAGAUUCUGCACAGAACCUAUUUCUGCAAUAGUUACAGUCCACAACUAGGCACACUUGAAAACUUUGCAGUGCAGUACAUCUGACUGUAACCACAGAACAGGUGAAUCGCAGCACGAGCAAACCAAGGAUAUGAGCUUUUCAGUGUAGAAAAAUUGACAAGGCAGAAUUACAGUAAAGAGACAGCUUAACCACAUGGCUUCAUGGUAGUUGCUUGACAUAAGCUCCUCUAACUUUCUAACUUAGCUGAGGCAGGGAGGCCUGCAUCGUAGCGAGCGGCGAUGUUGGUGAGGUUGCUUUUGUCGGGGACAAGCACGAAGGUAGCCUCCUUGAAGCCGAUGGUGUUGAUGCCCUUGGUGACAAGUCCACCAUUUCCAGAGCCUGCAUUCUGAGCUCCAUUGGGUAGUCCUUGACACAUCCAAUUCUUGGACCAGCCCCAGUGCUCCAUUUCAGGGACAGCCUGUGGCCAAGCUGAUAGGACUUGGACUCACCCUUGGACUUCAUCCUCUCAAGAAUCGCCUUCUGCAGGAUGCCAGUGGCUCUGGGACUUUGAAGGCCACCAGACAAGGUUCUUUGGUAGGUUGGUUUGGCUUGUUCUGCAGGAGCGUUCUCGCCUUCAUCGCCUUCUGUCAUGUUUGGAGAGGAAAUCACUUCUGGAGGAACUGAACCCAUGAAUUCAGCAGUAAGGUUCUGUGAACCAUCAGGCACCGGAUCUUCAUUGUAGUCUUCUUUGGUGGAUGAACGCACCUGAGUGGCCAAAACCAAGCACAUUAAAUGGAAUCAUCCGCAAUUUGGUGAGAGGAGCAUAUUUUAGCUUGUGAAUGGUUGAAAUGGUGUACCUCAACUUCUUUGAGAUCAACUCCAUUCUCUUCAAGGAAGUUCAUGAAAUUGCUUAGGUUCUCUGCGCUUGGUUUGUAGUGACCACUAUAGGCCCAGAUGGACUUAUCCAGAACAGAGCACAAAAAAUUAGCAGCCAAUAAGAAAGCACAGGAACAAGACAUAAUCAGAGUAUAAAAUAUUAGCAGGAUGAUAAAACAAUGAAAUGUAUGCAUGACACGCUCUUGAAAAAUUAGCCAGAUGAUAGAAUAAUGAAAGAACCCAUUAACUUGUCAUGGCUGAAUCAAGAUAAGUUGACAACUUGAUACUCCGAUGUGUACUAGAUAGAUGUAAAUUCAGAAACUACAUUUUCCCACUAUACUCCUCCAAAUUUCAGGGAAAAUAUUUUUUAUGAAUGGAUACGAGUUUAUAUUUUGUAUUUGUCCUCCAAAAAGUAUUUCAAAACAUUUAUCAAUGGUAGCUUAUGGAAUAGAAAAGAAUGAUUUGAAGGACCAUGCACGAUGAAUUCAUCAAUUCCAAGACACCAAGAGAGCUUUUUGGUCAAAGGUGCUUGAUUAAGGGAUAGGCAAUAACCCAGGCAGGAAUACAAAGAAAGCAAAAUACUAUGAUAAAAAUGCAUAAAAAGCUAACACUUAAUAGGGUAUGGUUGCUCAAAAAUACCUUGAUAAUUCCAUUUUCCGCUGUAAAUCUUCCAGCAGCUAUAGUAGUGCCUCCUGCUAAAAAGCUGGAAUGCUGGAAUACACCUCUCUCUUUCUGGAUGGAUAAAUCAGGAUACAGAAAUAGAUUUAGCGGUGCUAAACGUAAUGUGACAAAAUGAGACAUAAGACAUACUAUUGUUACAGCAGAAAUGCAAGUGCAAAACCCGUAUGAGUACAAAAGUUACCUUCCCAGCAUACAGUCUUUUUGCUGUGCUCAUAACAAAAAUCCAUUUAGUCCCUUUAGGACCUUGGCUUGUAUCAAGUGGUUCUCCAGACUGUUUGUGUAUAAUCUUUCCCUCAUUAAUGAUGUAUUCAUAGUUCUCACGCUCUUGCUGCAAGACAUUAGAUAAUUGUCAGAGCUUGUAACCCUUUGGGAGGUUUCAUUCCAAGAAAAUGUUAAGUUUGCUAAAAAGAAAUUCCUUUUGCUGUGCUUGACUAUGUAUACUAUUUUAAAGCCAAUGCACUUCUGUUAAUGGUCAUGAUUCACGGUUUAAGUGAAUAAUAGUACGGACAGAAGCAGGACAGUUCGUGCUUGAAUCUAUUCAUGUUUGGAAUCACAAUUCAGGCCUGAGGCUGCACCAAAUGCAGUUCAUAUAUGAAGCAAUUUGAUAGUAUAAGUUUCAAUUUGAGAAACAUAAUCUAGUACAAAGAUUGUAAUAUAUAUAUUUCUUAGAAAAGAUGAAUCGCAAAAGGCUUCAGAGACCAACAUAAAUUCUGCCGGUGAAGUCAGUCGAGCAAUCAUACAGCUCCUGACAGAUGCUUUGAGGAAGGUUAUAUGGCAUGAGUUCUAAACAAGGAUAGGCAGACAUUGUGGAACAUUUCUUACCGGACCAAGAUACUUAAUGCAUUGCUUCCUCAGCUUUGCUCUUGGACACUCUGGAAGGUCUAGCUCCUUUCCUUCUCCAACAUCAAGCCUGUAUGUGUCAACAACUCACUUAAAUUGUCAUGUAAUAAAACUGAACUGAAAUUCCUAGUAUAAACAGUGAUUCAACCUUAACUAAAAUAUCUGGUAUGAGCAGACAGUCAAAUAUGUCCAUCUCUCUCCCAUUUGUUAUGCAGAGUGCACUACUUUGUUCAAAUAAGAGAAUCUGCAAAUGUAACUAAGCAAAUUGCAGCAAUGUUCUUACCAGUAGAAGAAGGGCUGGCCGGCCUGGCUUUGACACCAGACAUCGUAGUAGAAGUGCAGGUUGUGCCCAUAUCUAUGCCGCGGGUCGAUCUGUACAAGAACAAAAUGAAUACUGCUAUAAACAGGCAUUGCAUCUAGUGUAUCACUCUAAGAAGAGGAGAUGUGCAUCACUUGUAUGACGUCAAUAGUGGACCUUUUAUGAUCAAUGUUCGCACAUGACUUUUUCUUUUUUAAACCGAGAAUGUUCACACAUGACUAAAACUGCUAGGUCAACUGAUACUUAAAGUAGCCUCUUCACGCACACAUGAGAGCACAGCAACAAAAUCUAAAAAAGCAAAUACUACUAAACUGACAAACAGUACUCUAGUGGGAUUUGUACGAUUUGUACUCACAGCCUCGAUCCAGUGCUGGAAAGCCAGCUUGAGAGCCUUGCCGUCUCUGGAUAAACCCUGACCCACCUGUUACAAGCAAGCAAAAUGAGCAUCAAAGGAAACAAAAAAAGAAAAACGUUUUCUGGUGAAGAAGACAGAGGACAUGAGGGACUUUUGUGCAUGUUUUCUCAGGUAGCAAUUGGGGGCACCUUGGAUGCAUUGAGGCUGACCCGGUUCCAGCGCGAGGCGGCUGUCUCCGGCUUGGGUUCGUCGAAGAAGGAGACGGUGCUGUGGCUGAGGCGCGCGAAGUCCAGCGCCUGCCACCUUCAUCCAUUCAUCCGACAGAAAUAAAAAUAAGAACCCUUCGUUUCAGUUAAAGCUUCCCCCCAAACAAAUCCUCAUCAGUUACCAUCGAUUUCAACAGCCGUUACCAUCAACAAGAACCAAACUAGGCAUUUCUCUGGGGGACACCAAAAUCGCUAAGAAAGGAGGCACCUUUUCAUGGAACAGUACAUCAAGAACCAGUGGGGGAAAAUUGUACUAGCAAUGAAGGUUGUUUCAAGAAAGGGACCGCUCUCCUUUAACAAAUCAAACGGCACGAAAUAGGAGCCGGUAGUCUCCCAGAAGAGAUGGAUAUGAGUAGAAGUACCAGAGCUCCUCGACGACGACGGCGGAGUCGGCGAGCUUCCGGCGUGUCCGGUAGCCACGGUAAGCCUUCUGCAGCUUCGUCGCGGCGCCAUCCUCGCCGCUCCCGCCGGCGCUUCCCUCCACCGGCGGCGACGGAGAUUCCAGUUUGUCCGACUGAAACCUUGGAGGAUCCGUAGAAUCCAACCCCAGCGGAGGCGGCGCCGCCUCCACCUCCAUUUCUUUGAGAUUUUAGGAGCGAGAACGGUUCUGCUUGUGCAGUCAGCACCUUCGCAAAGUGUCGAGAGCAGAGCAGGUGGGGAAUUUAAUCCGGGUUAGCACGCGAGGCGAUGGAAUAAUUAAAUGCGUUUAAUCUUGAGGAUUGAGAGAGAGAGAGAGAGAGAGAGAGAGAGAGAGAGAGAGAGAGAGAGAGAGAGAGGAGGGGGUCGUAUCGUAUCUCAUUCGCCGGGGUGGUACGGACCUGCGGAUACGACGACGACGAGUCGUUGGCGCCACCUACCGGCUGUCCGGCUCUGUGCUUUCUGUUCCUUGGCGGGUGGCGCCAUUACUGCGCGAGGCGUGGCUGGCCCACAUGUCAUGGAGUGAUUAGCAGCAGCGCCAUGAUGACCAAGGCGUACUUGCUAGGACGACUAGCUACUAGCUACUGGUGCUAAUGGAAGACUGACUCUGACUCGGUGAGGAAGCUGGCACACGGCUGUGUGGGCGGUGACGGCCUCGACACCUGUCGCUCUCCGGCGCCUCCGCGCCGGAUCGGGACCGGUCGCCGUCGUUGUCGUCGACGGGCUGCACGCCCCCGUACGCGCGCACUCUGUGCUUUUUGUGCCUGUCGUGGCUCCUCUCUGCUCUCCGUUGCAGAAUCUUGUGCUAGGCUGCUAGCAUAGCACACACAACUCAGCUGACAGAGGUACUCCGUACUAGGCACUGCACCAACUCAGCUGACGGAGGAAUUGGAUACGUGAUAGCAGUGUCACGUGAGAUGUUAUAAAACUAAUGCAGAACUUCUAAUUCGCGAGACGAAUCUAUUAAGCCUAAUUAAUUCAUAAUUAACAAAUGGUUAUUGUAUCACCACAUUUUCAAAUCAUGGACUAAUUAGAUUUAAUAGAUUCAUCUCGCCAAUUAGACUCCAUCUAUACAAUUAGUUUUGUAAUUAUUCUAUAUUUAAUACUAAACAUCCCAUCCAACAUCCCAUCCAACAGUUUCCCAUCCAACAGUUGACUCGCAAGCCCCGCAGGCCUUCGAGAAUGGAGCCUGCAAACCCGAUGCCGAUGGAACGCACGCCGAGGUCAACGUACGAGAACCAAGAUCGCAUCACGGCCGGGGCGUGUGCGUAUACGGAAGGGAAAUAAAGAGCUACCUGCUCCCCAGAGAACAGGUCGAUCAGUCCAAGCUGUGAUAGUAUAAUGUUCCGGACCCAUAAUAUUAUUAUUAACAUUCAGGCUGCAGGCAGGGCCCAGCUGCACGUCACGGCCAACGGCCAACGGUGAGAAAGUCAGAGCUGGUAUUCUUGUACAGUUCUGCACCCAAUCAUGUGUCUGCCAAACAUGCAUCACACCGUCGCAUCACGUCUCGCUUCAGCCUUCACUUAUCUCGGUUUUGCACAGGCAACCUCACAUGGUCUUCCUCUGAUUUCUCCGGACUAGCGGAUGCAGAUGAUGGCAUUUUGUUUGACCCUCCGACGCAGGGACGGGUUAGGAUAGGAUAGGGAGAUUAGGGAGCAGCUAAGUUAAUCGAUGGACAAAAUAUUAAAACAUAUAUUUAGCUCUUAAAAGAAACAAAUGGACCAUGAGGGCGGAGCCUACUGCCUCCAUCCCUGUUCCGACGUCCUGCAGUUGCGUUUUAUCCAUCGAUCUACGUGACAGGGACCGUGGUAUCCUGUCCAUGAGAUAACCCAUCUCUACGAUAUAGAUACAGAUAUGCAUUAAAAUGGCUAUUAGAGCAUCUCCAGCAGAACUAUUAUAUUGCAAGAGUUUGUAAAAAAAAGUGCUCGGAGAGACUUUUUUCCCCAAUAAUUAUUAGAACAACCCAAUAAUUCACCCCAACUUUUUUUUUUAAAAAAAGGAGAAGUUUAACUAUCAAAUACGGUAGAAGUUGUAACUAUCCCAAGUCUUCCGGUAACAAUGAAAUGGAUAUUGGGAUAUCCCCAUUAAUUAGUUAUUAGAAAAUAUUUAUUGCUCUUAGGACCCAAAAAUAGCGAGCUAGUAUAAAAAUCGCAAUAUCUAAUAAUUAAUUUUUCCCAUCUACGUACUACAAUUAAGAAAUACAGCGGUCGAUAUAUCACAAAAUUAGAUCAUUCCUGCACUAGCACGUGGCACGGUAGUACCCUACUUCCCUUGUGUUCAUUACUCUAUUAACCCAAUUGCUUGGUAACCACUACAUAAAGAUACACUGGUUGAUCCACAAAAUCAUAAGAAAAAACCAGAUAAAAAGGAAAAGAAAAGAGAGGUUAAAAAUAGGGAGCAAGGACCAGGGACGACGAAGCGAGGUGACGGUGGCAACACCAUCCGAGCGGUAGAGGCCAUCCGGCGGACAGAAUCAGCACGGGAGCGAGACUGCGAGCAUGGGCAGUGGUUAGGAAGGGUGGGGGUGGUCGAGUGGAGAUGUGGAGUCUGAUUGAUUUUAGCAAGUCAAAGUUUUGGCAAAUCAAUCUUUUAGCUACUAUUUAGUUUGCUUCUAAAAUUUGCCAACAUCUUUCAUUUAUUUUAUUGAAAUAUUGGCAAACUUAUUACUCAUCUUUUAGCUUGCCAAAAUUUUAGCACGCCCAAAUUUUGGCAUAUCAAUCAUGCUCGUGGUUUCAGGAGGCGGAGAGAACCACCGGUCCGGGAGCGAGACUACGGGCAUGGGCAGUGGUUAGGAAGGGUGGUCGGGUGGAGAGUGGAGUCUGAUUGAUUUUAGCAAGUCAAAGUUUUGGCAAAUCAACCUUUUAGCUACUAUUAUUUGGUUUGCUUCUAAAAUUUGCCAAUAUCUUUCAUUUAUUUUAUUGAAAUAUUGGCAAACCUUUUGCUCAUCUUUUAGCUUGCCAAAAUUUUAGCACGCCCAAAUUUUGGCAUAUCAAUCAUGCUCAUGGUUUCGGGAGGCGGAGAGAACCACCGGUACGGUGUUGAAGAUAUAAAGUUGCACGUGCAGUUCGCAUGUUGCCAUAACCAAUUUAGGGCAAGUACAUUAGUGUUAUCUAAUAGGGGGUCUCAUGCAUUGACACGUAAUCUUGAGAUGACUUAAUAAACAAUCUGUACCAUGUCUUUUUAAGUUAUCUUAUAGUAAUUAUAUUUUCUUAAUUUGUGCAUAGAAAAAGAAAGAAAUAUUGUGAGUUGCAUGCAACCACAAGUCGUACAAUAAUGGUUGAGUAGUCAUCUUAUAAUCCUAAAAUCUAACCUAUGAGGUGGUUAUUUCGUGAAACAAUAACCUCUUUCUCUUUCACCAUCCUCUCUCCUCCGCAUCAUUAAAAAUCUCACGUGGCAUUAUAUGAGACUGUAGUGUAGCAAUGUACAAUGAACUUCACAGGUCAAAUAAAAGAAUUUGAAGGCCUUCUUAUAACGUUGGGCUUUUCCCUUAUGGACGACGGCCCAAAGCGACACUACUAAUUGGAUGGAAGUACAGAUGAGGCCCAAAAGCACCAUUCUGCGUGAGCAACAGGCACAGCGCAUGGCGACUGCCGACAUGUGAACAACGCACGGCCGUAGUUCAGCAGAAAUGUGACUCUGCUAAAAGAAGGCAGAAAUGUGACUUGAGUCUUAAAAAAAAAAGAAAUGUGACUGUGAGAUUUAGAAAUGUACGAUUUGUGCAAAGACUAGGAUGCAAUGCCACUCGAUCCCCUGCACCUUUUCUUCGAAAGCAAAACAUGCAAUUAUUUGACCUCAAUCAUAGAGAAAUGAAUAGGCCAUUAGGACAAGGGGAGUAGUACGUACGAGGUAGCGUCGCAACUGGGAUUGCUUCGUUUUGUAGGCCGUCAUGCACAUGACUUAGACUGUGUUAGCAUAGAUUCUUUUCUUACAGAAACAGGUUUCCAGCCCCCCGGCUUAAUCGGGUGACGCGUGCACUAUUAUCAGUAUAUUACCACGACAUAUAAUGUACAGCUAAAGCAGCUGACGAUCGAGCUGACCCUGAAAACCUGCGAUGGAUGAAGGAAGCUUCACAUAGCUGGAAAGCAGUAGUCCACGGGUACGUGUCCCGGUAUAAAGUUCAGUACGUGCAAGCAUGGACGCGUAUACAAGCUAGGCAUCAUGUACACUUGGGAACGUCGCCAAAAUCCCGUCUUGAACUAUACGCAGUGCCCCGUGAAGUUAGCUGAUAUACGACCUUUCCAUCGCCUAUAAAUUUGGAGCAAUCUUGCAUGAAACCAUAUCCCAUCACAUUCGGCACCACUGCGGCUAGCUCCACAGCCACAGUGCAGUGUGCUUUUCUGUAGUCCAGAUGGCUAGGCUGGGGGCAUUGCUUCCUUUGGCCCUCGCGGCUGUCGUCCUCCUGCUCGCCGUCGCCGUGGACGCCGCCACGCCUGCCGCCAGGCCACCCAAGGCCCAGGGGCCGAAAGACCCGCAGCCACCGCGGAACGAGAAGCCCAAGCCGAAGCCGAUGAAGGUCAAGUGCAAGGACCGCAAGCUCUACCCUUACUGCUAUGGUAAACCCAUGGAGUGCCCCGCCGAGUGUUCCCAGUCGUGCUACGCCGACUGCAACUCCUGCAAAUCCGUCUGCGGUAAGCACGCUAGCUCCAUCUCCCUUGAUCUUGAUUGACGACGACGCAUCUAUUGAUCUUGUCCAUCUGUUCUGAUAUGCAGUGUGCAGCGUUCCGGGGGCCUGCGGCGACCCGCGGUUCAUCGGCGGCGACGGCAACGCCUUCUACUUCCACGGCCGGAGGGACGCCGACUUCUGCGUCGUCUCCGACCGGGACCUCCACAUCAACGCCCACUUCAUCGGCAAGCGCGGCGCCGACGGCAUGUCUCGGGACUUCACCUGGAUCCAGGCCAUCGCCGUGCUCUUCGACGGCCACCGCCUCUACGUCGGCGCCCGGAAGACCGCCGCCUGGGACGACGACGUCGACCGCAUGGAGCUCGCCCUCGACGGCGUGCCCGUGAGCCUCCCGCAGGAGGUGGACGCGACAUGGACGUCCAGCGCCGUGCCGAUGCUGUCGAUCACCCGCACCAAGGCGGCCAACGGCGUGCUCGUCGUGCUCGACGGCAAGUUCAAGAUAAGGGCCAACGCCGUGCCCAUCACCGAGGAGGAGUCGAGGGUGCACCGGUACGGCGUCACCACCGACGACUGCCUCGCGCACCUCGACCUGGCCUUCAAGUUCGACACGCUCACCGGCGACGUGCACGGCGUGGUCGGCCAGACCUACCGCUCCGACUACGUGAACGGGUUCGAUGUCAAGGCAUCCAUGCCCACCAUGGGAGGGGAGAGCAACUUCGCCACGUCCAGCCUCUUCGCGCCCGACUGCGCCGUGGCGCGUUAUCACGCACCAGCUGGUCACCGUGGUGAUGGCGUUGCAAUGGCGUGAGAGCUCGCUGGCGCCAUCACCUGUGCCAGUGUGGUGUGUGAGGAGUAACUGAAGGUGUACCUCUACUUAUUAUAUACUGCAAGCCCAAGAGCGGGGUAAACUACGAUGUUGUCGGAGUUGUACCAUGCAUGCAUGUUUGCAUGGUCGUGAAAUUCACAGUAAUAAACUUGCUAUUGGUUGAUGUGUUCAUGGAAAAUUAUAAUGUCAAUUAUAUUGGUGACUUAUAUUUUAAUGCAUCCUUUUUAAUUGAAUUUUUCCGUUGGCUGACCUAGAGUCUUUGUAUUCAGUAGUAGCGGUCGCUCAAGUUAAGGUUUGGAUUUUACUUAGAUCAAUAUAUCUUUGAACAGUGGUCGUUUUCAUUGGUCAGUGAGAUCCCAACUUCAAGUGCUAAAUCAAAGUUGUCUAUAAAUAGAGAAGAAGUGGUCCUGCGAUUGUAAGAUUCGGAUCAUAUUGAUUGGAAGCUGGAUCGUUCGUGUCAAGUCUCCACCAAAUGAGGAGAUAACCUCACCUCCGAUCGGGCACCCUACUUCCCAUCAGAAUCAGCGUCCAGAAGCUCCUUCCUAGAUUCAUCCUGCAGUAUGUUCGAGAAGAAUGUAACGAGGCAUCACAAACAACCAAUGCAACCAAAUCAUCCAAAGCAGUCAAGUAGUUAGCCGUUUAUAUGUAUCCACUUGGGGAAAUUAUUCUAGGUAGCCCCGCUGGUUGGUCCCCAAGAAUAUAUCCAUCUACUUGCAGUUUUCAUUGCUCCUCCUCGAUAUUGUACUGCAGUGCAGGCCUUACCUGCAACAGGAAUGGAUUAGGAGGAAGAAGCUAGUAAAUCGGAGCCUCCUAUCCUAUUUUUAUAUAUAUUUUGAUGAAGUAACAAAAUCAUAUAUACAGCAAGUUUAGGUGAAGAUGCAUGAAUUGAAAUCGGAGGGUGGUCGCCGGUCACGGGCCAGCAGUGAGCACUGAGCAGCGAUCAGGCGGUGACGAGUGGGUGAGAUGGCGAGUGGGCUGCAACUUCUUGGCUGCUGCCCAAAGCCCACUCACCAACCUCAGUCCAGUCAGAUGCUAUAGACUAUGUUGAUAAUACUCAUGCCGAGGAUGAAAUAACCAAAAUGAAACACAACAGAAUUCAUAUUGCUAGGUGAUAACACAUUAUACAACUGCUGCCAACGCAAUGUUCUAUGUCGCUAUAUAAAUUCAGCAUGGCAAUAAUAUACAUGACCAAAAGCAAAGCUAAGUUUAUCACUAGAACCAACGUAUACAUUAGCAACAUCACAUUGUCGAAACAAGUGACCAAGCGACCAUAAUAUCUAAUGUGCAGAAGCCAAGGCGGCGAAGAACGCCAUGGCUUGCACCACCCUUCUUAGCCUUACAAGACUUGUUCUUGUCCACCACAAUUUCCUCACCUCGCCCUGCCUUCACACAAACCUCCAACACAAACCUGGCCUGACUCGCAAGGAUAUAGUUGCCUCCACCGAAUGAACAAUAGAGCCAAGCUCAAACUCCAGCGAAGUCAAGUUGCGGUAAGGUACUGCUAGAAAGCUCAUGCUUUCAUCCUCAGAUUGAGUAGUGCCCUUAACUUUCAGGUCAACCUCAAAUGUCACAGGGUCCACCAAUACAACGGCACGGGUAGGAUCUGUCAGCUUCAAAUGUGGAUCCUAUCUGCAGUGCAGCACCAUUAAAUAAAUACUAGGGUAAAUGGAAGUGAAUUUCAAGAGGUUACCAGCAUAACAAACAAUACAGAACAUUACAAAUCAGUAUUGUAAACACGAAGUGCACAACAGAAAAGACGCCGUAAAAUUAUUAGUUUGGUGCAUCAUCGACAGACAAAAAAAAAACACAUUUUACCAUUGGGAGGACUAGUAUGAUUGCUUCGUCAGGUAGUGAAUAGGAAAGCAAGAAGCAACAAUCAAGGCAGCGAACAACUGGUAAUUAAGAAAUAAUUAUACAGACCUCUUGGGUAAGGAUUUGGCAGCUCUCUCUCGGGCAGUGAAAGAUCAUAUUGCGAUUGUGAUCAACUACAUCACGUACAGCAACCUUGCCAAACACAUGCAUGGAGUGGCCACUGUAAUCCUUCUCUUAACUUUGCGACUUUGAGUGAAUAGAUCUGCCGGGCCGCCCAAUCAAAAAGAAUAAAUGGGCCAAGCUUGGACCGCUCGGAUUUUUUCGGGUUGGCAAAAUGACACCACGUCCGGCCCUAUAAAGACCACGGGCUGAGCUUAGCCCAACGGGCUUGGGUCGAGCCGGGCCGCCCAAUCAAAAAAAUCGGGCUGAGCUUGAACCGCCCGGAUUUUUUCAGGCCGGCAAAAUGCACACCACGUCCGGCCCUAUAAAGGCCACAGGCCGAGCUUAGCCCGGCGGGCUUGGGCUGAGCCAUUGGGCCAGGUCGGGCCGAGCCACAUUUGCUCAGGUCUAGUGCACAGCAGUAAAUAAACGUAGCUAAUAAAAAGUGCUCAGGUCUUGCUGCUAUUCAGUACUAAUAGCUAACAACACAAAGCACUCUCAUAUCUAGUUAUCUGCUCCGUCCUCUGCUGGUGGCGCCCAAGACUAUCAAUCUAGUAUUCAGGUUCGUUGGCACUCAUAGCCUGCAUGCGGAUAUUGUGCUAUGUGCAAUGAUAAGAAUUGAAGCUAACGCCAUAAUAGAUUUUAAAAAUCAUUUCAUUUGGUCAGUUCCACUAAUAUCUUCAUGCAAUUGUCAUGCUAUCCUGAAUGUAUUAAUAUCUCUAUUUACACUUUGCUUUUGAAAAAAACAACUAUAUAUGUACUAGAUUGUCUUACCAUAUAACAGAGCACAUAAGGGUGAGUAUGCGUGUGUGUGUUAACUUCUUCCUCUACACAAUUUUCGCAAAAAUAUGAUAGAGAACUAGUGUUUAUUUUAGAGAUGAUUGAGGUGAAAGUAAAUUUGGUAUCCAUAAAUAUAUAUUAGCAGUGGAAUAUUAAAUUUAAUUAAGCAUUUAAUUUACAUAAGUAUGAAACUAAAAGUUUGUUGCAAAAUUUGAAAAUUAUAAAUAAUCAAUAUAUAGUUAUACCUUAUGUGCAUAAUGCAGACUUCAUAUUAUUUAAUAAGUAUCAAAAUGUGACACUGGCAGAAAAAUACUUCUAUCCAAUGCAAGGGCUCCUUUUCUCUCCAUCUGCCAAAACCCUCACAAGCCCACUCUCCAAUGGUAUGCUCAUUAGCGUCCGUCCGUCCGUCCGUAGUAGCAAUCUACUUGUAUGUACACCUGUAUGUACUCUCUGAUGCUCAAUGUAAGUUUGGGCUUUCCAAUUGCUAAGCAUGCUACACCUGUAUGAACUUGUGAUGCUGCAUCACGUGCCAUCGAUUCCAUUUAUCAUCCAUGAUGCUGCUGCUGAGCUAGCCAUUUCAAGGGAUGCACGUCUGGGUCGUGCUCAAGCCAUGGCACCUGUAUUGCUCGGACAGCAGCGUAUUCCAGUGACAGUACUUGCUAACCCUUUUACCACGGAUGCCACUAGGUCACCUCGCAUUAGCUACCAUGGCGUUCUGAUGCAUGACGUGGACAAUGUUACAUGCAAGGUGAUGCUCUUCUUCCGGGACACUGACUGGUACUUUGUCAGCUUUCAGCGUUGCGUGGUGGUUGUGUUGCCUAAUGACAGUCUACAAGAAAACUGGGGGGUGGAGAUUCUUCUUCAACGAUCUCGUCAAGGACAAGGAGGUUCCAGCAUUCUUGUAUAUCGUGAAGAUGGGCAUUGGAUUGUCUCACUCCGACAAAGGGUAAGGACGCAGUUUCAUUCAUCCAUCCAUAUUUAUUUGUUUUGGUCCCCAUGCUUGCUUUUUGAUGUUUUGGUAUAUUAUUUGCUGAAUUAGUAAUAUGCACUGUGCAAAGACUUUCCAGGCCCGAGGCUAUGGCUGACCUCUUCAACACGCUGGUCGGAUUUGAAGAUCAAGUAUACAUUCACAACAACGGGACAAUCGGAGAGGUGAGAGGAUUGACUCCAGCCUUGGAAGAUGACUUGAAGAUAGCCAUCAGCAGGAUCAUCAUUGUGUUCUGUGAGGCCAUGAGAUUGAGAUCCAUCUACCUCCUCACCCACGCCAGCCUUGGCGGCCAUGAGUACGCAACCCUCUUACCGUUCGCCUGUGGAACCUCUUGCGCUCAUGGGGGAAGUUGUCAGAUUACGUGCUGAGGAUGAGGAGGCAGGGUAGCAUGGACCUCAACAAUGAGAUGGAUCCACUCAAUGCCGACUUGUCAUCCCACGGGUUCCCAACAAUGACCCUCAGUGACUUGAUUGGGCCAAAUGGGGAAGAUCGAGGUAGUACGAAUCAUCAACCUAAAGAACCUGAGCAAUCGUUUAGCCAAGCGAGGAGCGAGGACCAACUUCCCCGAACCUAACUUUGUCAUGCCAGCCACUCCAGAAGCAGUAGGAUUAGGAGGAGGAAGAGGGAGAGGUAGGGGGAGAGGAGGAUGAAUGAAUGUGAUCUUAUCACCAUUUAUUUGUGUUAGUUUAACUUUUGAGCAGAGAACAUCGACUACUUCUGCUUAAUGCUUAUUAACCUCUCCUGGUUGAACUUAAGAAGAUUCAUUCAAACUAGAUUGCAUCUAAGUCAUAUUUUUGGAUAAAGCUUUCAUAUUUCGCUAGCAUCUUGCCCCUUCUGUGGUUGUCUAUGAUUCUGCUCUGCAUGAUCUCUUGAUGAAUAGCUUGAUGGGCCGCUGCCCUCUAUUGAGCGCUAGGCUAAACCUAACCCUAAGAAUGGCGUAUCCUAGUAGCCUACCUGUAUGCGGCAUGGAAACUAGAAAGAAAAUAAUUGAAGAACUUGGUGAUGAGCCCUAUGCAAUUUUAGCUGAUGAGUCCAGUGAUAUAUCACAUAAAGAACAACUAGCUCUUUCCUUGCGUUAUGUUGAUAAACUUGGAAGGCCUUGUGAACACUUUAUUGGAGUUGUUCAUGUAGAUGAUACUACCUCUUUGUCACUUAAGGAAGCUAUUGAGGGUUUACUUGUUAGUCAUGGAUUGACUAUGACUCAAAUUAGAAGUCAAGGUUAUGAUGGGACUAGCCAUAUGAAAGGAGAUAUUAAAGGGCUAAAAAUAUUGAUCAUGCAAGAAUCACCUUCUGCGUAUUAUAUUCAUUGCUUUGCACAUCAACUCCAACUAGUUCUUGUUGCUGUUGCCAAGAGAAAUACUGACUGUAAGAGUUUUUUUUGAUUAAGUAUCUAUCUUAUUGAAUAUUAUUGGAGUUUCUUGCAAGCGUCAUGGUAUGCUUUGAAAUGCUAGGCUUGAGAAUAUCAAGAAAGCACUGGAGUGUGGUGAGCUUGAAUCAGAGUGAUUAAAUCAAGAGAUGAGUUUGCCUAGGCCUGGUGAAACUUGAUGGGGUUCUCAUUACAAAACUAUAUGCGACAUCAUUACUACGUAUUCCUCAAUCCAUGAUAUGCUCAUUGAUCUUGGUGAUGAUAUUUAACAUAAGGAUGAUUGGACAAAGAUACAUUUUGUGUUGGAGCAUUUGAAACCUUUGAGUUCGUUUUCUUUGUGCACUUAACAUAUGUUAUUCUUGGAUACACAGAUUGAGUUAUCCGAGUGUUUGUAGAGAAGGGAUCAAGAUAUUCUUAAUGCGAUCCCCUUGUUAAUGUGGCAAAGAACAAAAUGCAACAAUUGAGGUCUGAUGGUUGGGACCACUUCCUUGAGAGGGUUAUUUCUUUUUGCAUUAAACAUAAUGUUGAAGUUCCUGCUAUGGAUGGUGAUUAUGUGCCGUAUGGAAAAUCAGCAAGGUAUGCCCAUGCCUGAAACCAAACAAAUGAUGACCAUUUUAGAAGAGAAGUAUAUAUUGGUGUCAUUUAUCAAAUUAGUCAAGAGAUUGAUAAUUGGUUUGAUAAGAUCAUUAUGGAGCUACUUUCUUGUAUGUCAACCUUCAGUCCUUCCAAUUCAUUUGCUUCGUUUGAUGCACAGAAGGUACGUAGAUUGGCUGAAUUUUAUUCUAAGGACUUCUCCAACAAUGAUUUGCUAAAACUUGAAUUGCAACUUGAUAAUUAUAUUGAUGACAUGCGACGAGAUGAUAGCCUCAAGGGUCUAGACAACAUCGUUGAUCUUUCAGUUAAGCUUGUUCAAAUACGGAGGCACAAAGUGUAUGAUAUGGUUUACUUGCUUCUCAAAUUGAUAUUGCUUUUACCAGUGGCAACAACGAGUGUUGAAAGGUUAUUUUUUACAAUGGUUAAAGUGAAAAUAAAGUCAAGGAAUAAGCUAGGUGAUAGUGUUUUGGACGAUUGUCUAGUCACAUUCAUUGAGCGGGAUAUUUUGUUCCAAGUGAAUGAAGAAGAUAUAAUCAAGAUAUUCACGUCAUUCAAAAAAUGGCGGGUAAACAAAGCAGACAAGUAAUAGUGUAAGUUUCUUUUAUGCUAUAUUUUGAACAAUUUAUAUUGUGAUUUGUUAUUGUUUCUAGCUUAAUCUUUGAAUUUACCGAAUUGUAAAUGGUUUCACUGAAUUGCAUAAGAUUUUUUUUCGACGUACCCUGUGGUAAAAUCCUAGGUCUGCCACUACCGGUCAUCCAUGAAUAGCAUGUCUUCGAGGAUGACUAGGUACCUCUGAUUGCUUAUUUUUUUUGAUCAAAUAUGAUGAGUCCACUUUCUGUCGCCUCUAUCAGCCUCAAGACAUCCAUAUUGCUUCCUUGUGGUCUGUAGUUUGUGUGGAAUUGAAUCAGCAAGCUCUGGAUGAUCGAACUUGUUGAGAUUGAAAGAUGCAUCAGCUUCACCCAAGCACGGCAUCUGAAAUAUUGACAAAUUUCAGGGUCAAAGUAGGCCUUCUUGAUUACGAAUGCUGUCCCAAGAUCGCUUCCUGUUCCCCACACCGAGAUCACUUCACUUGAAGGGGACCAUCCUCUUUGUUGAUCAGCUUGAUGAGAUCCACUUGGCUGCUCUCACAAGCUGGGUCUCUUGCAUGAAGGCUGCCCAGUGCUGUUGCGUUAGCCACUGCCUGUGGAUGCAUAUGCUCUGACGACUCAAAGCUCGAGUCACCGAUAUGGCUGUAGCGUAGGUUCCUGUGUUCCAUAGCCUUGAGCAGGUCUACGGUGGCAACUACAUCAUCCAGGGCCACCAGCGGCACUGCUGCCAGCAUGACCCGUUGUCCAGUUGGGCGACAGAAUCGAUGCAAUCCUCGACAUCUAAGGCCAUGUUGCGGACCUGCUUCACCAAUGUCCUCAUCAUAUCGAUCAUUUGUAGCACGCUCCGUGGUGACGAUGAGGAAGGAGUGCAUGAUCUCAAACUCAUCUGAGAUAACAAUCAGGCCCUGGUUCACGCUCUUCUGCAACUGUUUCUCCUCCUCAAUGGCCGAUUUGGCCAUGUUAAGUGUACCCUCUACUGCCGUCUUGGCCAAGCCAAGCACAAAGUCCGCCAUUGCUUCACUCUCUAAUCUCUAUGUUUGUCCUGCUCCAGUGGUUACGGUGUGUGUGUGUGGGGAACUUGAAAGGGUAAGCUGGCAUGGAACACUAUAUAACUAAUGCUAGAACUACUUCAUGUUCAAGGUGUGCAAAGAAUCAACAAAGUAAGCUGCACGAAAUUUCACAGGAACAGACAGACAAGAGUGGAUGGUGAAGAUAAGAAAAAAAAAUAUUCCUUGUCGAUGUUCGGAGAAUAGAAUAUAUGGACGCUGCAAAGAAUAUUUUACUUUCCGAUUUGUGAAAAAGACUAAAUAAACUCAUCUACAAAAAUUUCAAACAAACAGCGAGACGCACUAGCAACAAAGAACCGGCAUCCCGCGGAAAUAUUCUCAUGUAGGUCAAACCCAACCCACAUCCCUUUUGAACCAAACACGGGACGAUGUAGGUCGAACCUGUUCCGAUUCACAUCGAUCCGGUAACCAAAUUCACACUAAAAGCACGUAAGGUAACUUUAUUGGCCCAGCACACAAACUUCCUUCUUUCCAUAAGAUACUCUCUUCCUCCAACAAGAUUCCAGACUCUUUUCCUCAACAAGAGUCCUGCAGUUUCACUGGUACACAUCAGUGGCUGCCUUAAUCAUACAAUUGUUUGUGUAGCUUACAAUAAUUAAUAAGGUAUCAUCAAAACUGGAGUUGUUCAAUUCUUGCCCCUUCAGAUAUCAAGAUUAACAAAAAGUAAGACGGUGGGAUUCAGUUUUUAGUGCGACAGGAAUUGGUACCGGCAGCAAUCAGAUUAAAACAUCCAUAUUUAUGUUCAAAUACAAUGUGGAAAAGAAAAAAACAAAUCCAAACAACAGAUCUCCACCGAGCCAUAUAUAGGCAUUGCUCUGAAGCCACUAGGCACUAGCAAUGAAGACUGCAACGGUUGGCGCCCUGCAAUGCAUGCCCUUGCCAUAAGAUACUGAUGAUCAAGGGCCGGCUUAUAGCGCUUAUAUUAGAACAGAGAGAGUAUACAUGAAUCUUCAGUAUCUAACUCGUAGGUACAUAAAAGUAUAGAGCUCAAAUUAACACUAUGGGAUUAAUGAGCCCAAAGUCCAAGAUAAGGUAGUAGUACUAAAAGGCCCAUUUAAACCGGUUGGCCCAAAAUCUGGUAGCUACAGUACAAUUAUGGAUAUGACUUGAGUUAGUAUGGCCCAACGCGUUGCUAAUAAAAUAACCAGACCAGUGGAAGAUCCAGCCUUAGAGAGCCUAGGGGGCUCUUCUCCCUUUUUCUUCCUUGGCUUCCUCUUUCUCUCCCUUUCCUUCAUUCUCUUCCGUGUCUUCUUUCUUUCUCCAUAAAGAUGGUGUGUGUGGGUACCAACUAGGAUCAUGUCAGGUAUAUUGUUUAAUAUUGGCGAGCCAUGUCCGUUAUCGCAAUAUCAGUGGAAGUAUCAGGUUUAUGUUCGUCAGAAUGUUGGUGCAGUGGGUGACCCAGCUGUUGUAUCUUGCUGGACCUUCUACCUGGACUGAAAUGAGAAGGGGGUGAGCGGUAUCUUCUGAGUCUUUGCGGUCAUAAAGUCCACACGGGGACGACAACAACAUUUCUGGACAGCGUAACUGUGUGACAACUCGAAGCUAUUCGUCUAUGUUUUGCACUGCAACAAAUCAUCAUUGCAUCCCACUGUCAUUACCAAGCCAUGUCUUGAUGAUCCCACUGUUCUAUUAUUGAUGGACAGACAAUUGAAAACAGAUCAUACAAAGUAUAGUGAGCGGUCCCUUAUCUAGAUAUCUGAUAGUAUCUCGAUUUCACAAAAUUAACGCUCCACGGCUCACUAAAUAAGGGAGAAAGUAAAUAAAAUCUCUCCAACUUUGAUCUAAACAAUGUGAUGCAAACGAGCUUUGUGCACAAAGAAGAUCACACAGCACAUGUUCCAGCAACAACUUGUACCUGUGUUCCUGGAACAAGCACAUCAAUCGGAUUGCUUUGUUUAUCCGAGCUACCUGUUAAAGAGGUUGCUACUCUCUAGUAACUGUCAGGUUCAGAGAAAGACCUAAAGAUUGAAGUCAAUCUCUUUGCCAACUAACACGAUUUUUUUGGAAUCCCAACUUUGCCACCUACUGUAGCUCGUCUGGCACAUGGGUACAUUUCAGUUGUGUUCUUAUGUUGCUAUCUAUAUAGCCUAUAUGGUAAACAAACAACUAUCUAAUCACUUUUAAGGUACAAAAAGACAUGUUAUUCUUCCCAUGAGGCUAUGAUGAUCAGCAGCUUAGGGCAAAUACAAAUCUCACACUAGCAAGAACAAGGUGCAAUAGAGUGGGUUCUGGAUGAUUCGCAGAUGUUAGACAACUCUGAUGGGCCAUGUUCUUGCAUUUGAUGUUCUUGGAUGGUUGUAAAGUUGGAUGGAGAGAACGAAACAAAUCUCACCGUCGGAGCAUGCUUCAACUUUACAACCAUUCAAACUCUGAAAAGAUGGCUCCAUUGAUUGCCUCAAAGAGUUGUGAACAAGUAGCCAACAUGCCAAACCACAGAUCCUCCAACUUCAUCACUAAAGGAGGAGCUAGUAUCUCAUAUUUUUUUCCUCAAAUAACUGGACACAAAUGGUGAGAAGGUUCAGCAACUAACCAAUAUAAUGCUAUAGAAAUUACACGUCAUAGGCAUGUGUGUCGUUUUCAUUGGGCACCUUCUAUAACAACCGGUUGUUUGUUUGUGGAUUUUGGUCUACGAUGUGGCCCCAAAUCUCCUCCAGUUUGUAGCCAUUCUGGCAAUGUGAUGGUGAUUUCAUUGUGCACGUUGCAAAAUAAGCUGUCGAGUUGGCACCAACUAGGAUCUGGUAUGCUUUUUUUUUUUUUGCCAUGCUGCAUCAGUUGCGUUCCCUGAAUUGCAUCAACGACUAAUUAUGUUGGAACUUGGAAGCAUCUACACAAUCAAUAAUUGAGGUAUCACUGUAUCAGGUUUGCAUAGAUGACUCUUGUCAAUGACACAGAACUAAACUACAAACAAAAUUAUAUCGGCUACUGUAAAAGAGUUGAAAUAUAGAAAUUUUAGAAUGAUUGGGAAAAAUGAGAGCCGUCCAUCCCGAGAAAAUCUAAUACUCCCUCUGUUCCAAAAUGUAGGUCGUUUUGAUAUUUUUAGGUUCAUAGAUUUUGCUACGAAUCUAGAUAUAGUAUAUAUCUAAGUGCAUAGCGACAUCUACGAACCUACAAAAGCCAAAAUGACCUACAAUUUGAAACGGAGGGAGUAGUGGAAACAAAGGAAGUACAUUGAAGUACCUAAAGAAAAGUACCAAAUUGGUGGGAUCAUGUACAAAAAAUACUCCUUAAAUUUAAUUUUUAAUUUUUUUCCCGAUGAGACGGUGGAAACAAAGGAAGUUGAAAUACCAACAAGUACCAAUGGGUACUUUUAAACUAUUGUAAAAGAGUUGAAAUAUGGAAGUUGGGAAAGGGUAGGGAGGAUUCAAAGAAAAAGGACAGCUGCAAAUGGCGCUGGAGAUAAACUGGGAAACAGGACAUGGAGACUUCUAUGGAGAUAGCAUAAUGUAUGCAUUAUCUUAGGAAUCGGGUGUCAUUUUGCAGCACGUUUUAGUUCCUCUUUGCUGAUCCAACGGGAUGGAUCACUAAUUGUAUUCUUGUUCAUAGUAUAUGACUAUUCUUCGACUUGACAGUGUGAAAGAGAAUAUAGUGCACUUGAGAUCACCUAAAAAUUCAGCACCAUCUGAUUAGCAACAAGCAUCACAUUUACUGACUACUGAGAAAAGGAGACAAAUGCAGGAACCCAUCGUUUUCACCUCAUUAUCUCUGCAACAGCAAGCCCUGUUCUGCAAUACCGUCUAUGCACUAUGCAGUUCACUUGUCAGUGGUCUGAAGACAAAUCUGUAUGGGCAUACACAAAGAGACAAUCGACACCAGACCCUGCAGGUUCGCAGUUGCUUCUAGUGUGCAAGCUGAAACUGUAGUGUGGACCCUACGUUGGAUCUGGCAAUGAAAUUAGCAGGGGCCGCGAGCAGAAAUAACACAGGGACCAUUGUUUUCCCUGUCCAUGUACAGUUUCCUUGGUUAUACGAUCAAUCUGGUGAGCCAAUUGUGGCUACUGCACUGAUUUUUCGUCAGGAUUUCAUUGUGGUCUGAAACUCUGAAUCUGCUGCUCCAAGAAAUAUGAAUGAAAAUCUCUGCAGCUGAAGGUAACUAAUGUAGGCUUAAUCCUAGAUGAUUUGAAAUAAUGUAGGAUGAAAACAGAGGUCCAGAAAGAAAAAAAAGAACUGAAUCACGGGAUGGAAUAUGCAAGCCGCAAGGUCCGUAUGCAAAAUUCUGAAGAUGAAAGGCCAGUGGACUCAUCAAACAGUGGUGAUAACAUUAUGGAUUUCGCAGUUAGCUUUCUGUUGCAGCAUCAGAAAAGGAACAAAGCACACAUUAAAUGGAUCACUGGCCGGUGGAACUUCUGAAUGGAACUUUCGAUUCAACUUGCUAUUUCACUCCCUCUACUUUUGUCUAUGUACACUUCAUCUCCUUUUUCCUGAAAAAACUCUACCUAAUCUCUAUCUUUUUUCUUUUUCUGAAACCACGAAUCUCUAUUUUCUAACUCUCCUAAUCCUCACUGGGAGCCCGCCACUGAUGGACGCGGUGAGCCCCGACACGAACUUUGGCGCGCAGGCGCCGCUGCCACUCUCCCCGACGACCUCGACGUCGAACCCUCUCACCACCGCCACGGCGACCGCCUUCAUCUCGGUGAUGGCAAGCUCCUUGCCGAGGCACACACGGAGGCCCGCCUGGAACACCGGGUACUUGUACAGGCUCUCCGGCACGAAGGACCCUCCAGCGCCGGUGAGCCACCGGUCUGGCCGGAACACGCCGUGGUCGGCCCCCCAGAUACGCGGCAUGCGGCCCAUGGAGUAGGGGUGGUACAUGACGCGCGCGCCGCCGGACACGUAGGUGCCGUCGGGGAGCACGUCGGCGGCGGCGCAGAACUUGGAGUCGAACUGCACCGGCGGGAACAGGCGCAUGUUCUCGUACAGCACGGCGUGGGUGUAGUGCAGGCUCUUGAGGUGCUCGUAGGUCACCGGCGUCGAGUCGUCGCCACCGGCCUCGGCGCGCAUGGCGGCGGCCACAGCGGGGUUCUUGGAUAGGAGCAUGAAGAGCGUGGUGAGCGCGGAGGACACCGUGUCGCGCCCGGCGAGGAGGAAGCUGACCACGAUGUCACGGAGGUACUUGUCGUCCACGGCGUGCGCGUCGCCGGCCGAGGCCAUGAACCGGGACAGGAGAUCAUGGCUGUUGGCGAAGCCCAGCUUCCGGCGCUCCCGGAUCAUCGCCGCCGCGAGCUCGUUGACGAGCUUGAUGGCCUUCUUGAGCUCCCUCUCGGACCCGACGUUGAGCAUGCGCUUCACCUUCCACAGCAGCGGCGACGCCGCCGCGCCGCGCAUGGCGCAGAGCCGCGUCGCGGCGUCGAACGCGUUGGCGAGCUUGGACACGGGCAUUUCCCGCUCGAGGCAGCCCGGGUCGAGGCCGAAGGAGAUCUUGCAGAUGGUGUCGAAGGCGAAGCGCCGGAACACGUCCUGCAGGUCGACGACGGCGCCGCUGUCGGCGGCGUCGGUGAGGACUGGCAUGAGGCGGGCCUCCACCUCCUGGGCGAUGAUCUUGUAGGCGUAGGAGCGGACGGCGACGCUGCCGAGCUCGAGGCUGGCCAUCUUGCGCUGGUGGCGCCAGGCGUGGCCGUCGACGUUGAAGAUGCCGCCGCCGAGGAGGUCGCCAAGGAGCGCGGCGAAGGUCUUGCCCUUGGGGAAGUUGUCGAAGUUGGUCUUGAGCAUGUACUCGACGUUGGCCGGGUUGGCGGUGACGGUGCAGCCGAGGACGUGGACGUGGAUGGUGCCGGUGGCCGACUCCCGGAGCUGGUGGGCGUACCAGUCGCCGAGGUUGGUGAAGUCUCUCGCCCACGACCCGGUGAGGUAGGCUCGGCAGACAUGGCAGCUGCACCAUGGCCACCGGCGCACGAGCAGGAGCACCAUGGCCAGCGCCACCAAGCAGAGGGAGAAGGCUGAGAAGGCCAUGCCCGCGCACUGCGCUGCCCAUGGCAAGUCCAUGGCUCUUGUUUCUAGCUAGAAUUAGCUAGCGGAACAGGCCUGGAUCAGCAGAUCGGCAGGAGCGAGAGAGAAAGGAGAGGAAAAUGUGAGUUUGUGCGGCGGAAGACCCAGGAGGCUUUGUCUAUAUAUAACGUGGGUGGACCGGGAAUUCAGCACAUGCCGCACGUGCGCUUUGGCUUUAAGAAACGUUUGUCUAAACCUUUUCCCUUUCCCGCGUAGUACACACAGCUCAUGUCCCCGUCAUUGCGCAACAGCUGAUGACAGUUGGGUCCACAUCGCCAAGGAGAGGGCAGGGGGGGGGGGGGGGGGGGGGGGGAAGGAGAGGAGCUUGCCACCCAAGAGCGCAGUAUCUUAGAGCCUUUUAAUAACAACUCCAAAGUGAUUUUAGGGAGAGCUUAGUCAAACAGUACUUUGUAUGAGUGAUCUGAUUCUCUGAACUAAAUCAAGAUGCUAGGAACUUGGAAAAAAAAACUAGCUUUUCCUUAUUCACUUCUCGUCCAGAAUAAUUUCCAAUAUAAAGGUUAUCCUCAAGAACCAUUUUCAACCAAAAACUUAAUUCUCAUAAAGAAACACUUUUAAAAGAGCUCUACUGAAGAGGUCCUUAGCACAAGGUUGUCUUUGGAACUAAAUCUUGAAAAAAUGUUGUAUCAAAUGCUUAGGUGUUUGAAAAUUCAUACUUUGGGCUUGUGGGGAUUGUAACCUUAUUCAGUUGGAUUUUUCUUGAAAUGGAAAUGUUAGUGAAGGAGAAGAAAAUCAGAAUGGCGUAGCGAGUCAGUUGCACUAAUUACUACCUCUGUCCCACAUAAUAUAGCUACUUCUAGCCAUUCAAAUAUUGCUAUAUUUUGGGAUGGAGGGAGUACCUAGCAACUGUCAGUGAAUUGCAUGCUCUUAUUUUUUUCUCUCUCUUGAUUCAACUACCACAACUUUCUCUCAUGUUGCUUCCACUACAAGUGAAAAGUACAUGAAAAAUAUUUAUUUUAGUGAAAAUAAUUUUGUUUUACAAUUAAGGAGGGAAACGCUAAAAACAAAGUAAAUGUGGACGAGAAACAAAUACACAGGUGCAGUAUCUAGAUCAAAGAGGGUUACGUACUAAGCUAGAGGCUAGCAAGAUAAGGUUACCUGUCAAACCGGGCCGGUAAAUGGUCCAGUCAAUUCAUCAUCGGGUUAAACAUGCAUCAACAAGCUAUUUGACCGUGAAUAAAGCUAGAAAGCAACAAACAAACUCGUGGGAUGAUUGGAUUGCCAUGUAAAUAUUGACCUUUUUAAACUUUUCAUAGAAAAAAUAGGACUGGAGGGCCUACGCCACUUUAGUCCCUAUAUAUCUUGUUCAUAUUCUUUUGAGAAUCCAUUGUUCCAAAGUGAGACACAAAAUACACCAUGUCGAAAAUUAUACCUAGAAAAUAAAGCCUAAGAUUACACUAGUAGAGAAUUGGGCUUUAGUCCCGGUUGGUAGGGUCCAAAUAUCUCGAAAAUGCAUCCGGGAUAAACCAACCGGGACAAAAGGGGGGGUCUUUUAUCCCGGGUCACUCAACCGGGACAAAAGACCCCCUUUUAUCCCGGUUGGUAAUGGGUCACGCACGGCCGGCGCUGCAAAAAAAAAAAAUUCCCGAGCUCCCAGGAGGCCCCCCCACAAGUCACGCGAAAUAUGCGCGUGCGCGGUUCGUGGGAUUCGAACCCACAACCUCCAGCCUCGCGCGUAGCUUCCUUGCCAUCCCACCUACACACCACAUCUGACUAUGUAGGGGAUGCUAUCCUUUUGUAUUAACUCGUGGGGGACCCUUUUAUCCCGGUUGGAAACACCAACCGGGAUAAAAGACCCCCUUUUAUCCCGGUUGGUGUUUCCAACCGGGAUAAAAGGGUUCGAGGAUUUAAUCCCCUUCCAGCCACCUUCCAGUCACCUCGUUGGGGGACCCUUUUAUCCCGGUUUGAAACACCAACCGGGAUAAAUGACCCCCUUUUAUCCCGGUUGGUAUUACAAACCGGGAUAAAAGGCUCUUGACCCUUUUAUCUCGGUUGGUGUUACCAACCGGGAUAAAAGACUUUUAUCCCGGUUGAUGUUUCAAACCGGGAUAAAGGCCUCUCAGAGUCUUUUUUUCCCACUAGCCUUUGCAACCGGGAUAAAAGGUCCCGGUUGGUGAGCCCCUCACCAGUGACCGAGUUUUAGUCCCGGUUGGUGAACCUUUUGUCCCGGACCAACUUUAAACCGGGACAAAAGGGGGCGUAUGGAAAGCCAAUUCUCUACUAGUGUUAGAAUCAAUGUCAUUAGCAUUGAGAUAUAUACUAGGCAGGGCCCUGUUUGUUCGAAGCUGGAAAUUAAAAGGAUAAAAGUGGGCAAAACAUUGAUAAAUUGGGAGAUGGUUUGCUGGCUCGAGCUCGUACAUUUUUAGGCUUAGUAUAAAAACAAAUAAAUAGUAUAACUAAUAAGAUGCAUUUAAGUUUCCCGCAACUGAAUAGCAUUACCAGGCAUUAGUCUAGUCUUAUUAGCGCGCAUUGUAUCAUGGUGCAUAUAAUUUCUUUUUGUGGCAUGUCACAGUUAGAAAGAGAGAAGAAAAGUUGUACUUGGUGGUGAUACUGAUACACUUUGCCCUUGAUAUCCAAGACUAGAAAACCAUACUCGCAUUCUGUAUUUCUGUGUCUACUCUAAAAUAGAACAAUGGCCUAGCUAGGAAAUAAUACAAUGCAAUCCUAGCAGAAUAUGUUAGCCUUUAAUCAUAACAACAUGAUCAUAUAAUGCAUCGGUAAUAGCCUUGGCGAGGAACAAAUACACACUGCAAUGUUAGUUGAAAGUACCUAACGCGACUGCUACUAGCUAGGUAGUUAGUACUUGAUCGGAUUGGUAUGGUGUACGUACUGCUAGUUGAGAUGAUUAAUUGUUGUCUCCGAGAAUCAUAUGUAUCACACGCAUGCUGCAGCUUGCACUUAAUUUAGAGCUGCAAGUUGGUUUAGGUAGUAAUCAAGCAAGUCGGCAGGCAUGCUUGGUCGUGCUGGCGCCAAAAAAAAAAUCCGUACCCCUGAUCCCCGACAGCUGGCGUCCAUGGUUCUUGGACUUGUUUUUUCCCGCGCGUGCUGCGCAAGUGCGCAGCUGGGGUCGUCUUCGAACCACGUACUACACUUCUACUUGAUUCGUUUAUUUCUCGAACCACGUACUGCGUGAAGUGGCCAGCUUCCAAACAUACUCCCUCCGUCCAUUUACUCUCUUGCGCGAUGACCAAGGGAGGGUUGAAGGAGGACCGAUUAUCAUUUAAUCGCGGCUUUGUACUAAAUGCACCGUGGGCUGUUGGGUUUCCAAGUAACCUCUCCGCUAACGCCGUUACCACGCGUCCGCGGCCAGCACGCGCGCUUGCCAUCCGCGGCCCUUCCGUUUUCCGUUUUGCCGCGUGAAAAUUGCCGAGAUCAUCUCCUUAGGGCAUGUACAACUCACGGACAGGUGUUCGUCUCUAAGCGUCUCGAAUCUAUCAUACAGAUAGGUAUAAAGACAGGUCAUACAACCCACCGAUGGGGGAUCCGUCUCUAUACUGUUUAAUACUUUGCAUGUAGCUAGGUACAUAUGGAGAAGAUUUGGGAGAGAGAGCACCUUCUCCCGCGCGCAAAUCACACCUGCGCGUGCGAGCGCCCGGGAUCCGCGCAACGACGAGUCGAGGAGGCGGUACAACGCUGCUGGAGCCAUCUCUUUCGCGAGGUGACGCCGGCUCCGUCUCUACGCUCUCACGGGGUGUUUUCUGUAAAAACUACGCUGAAGGGACGGGGUGAAGGGACCCGUUGUACAUGCCCUUAUUUGCCGCUGUCAUCCUUGAGUCCGCCCAGAUGAAAAAAUUGCCGAGAUCACCUCCAAAAUUAGCCGCGCUCGCUUCAAAAUUUCGAAGCUAAAUUCUGUUGCCGCCUAUGCUCUGGGAUGGUCUAUAUAAGUCUCCAUGGAAGUCAACCCUUGAGCAUGCAGUUCCAGCAAACUCUUUCCUCUCUCUUUCUCUCUAAUUCAUGUUGUACUAGUUCAUCAACAAUGCCUGGACUAGGGAUCGACUUAAAUGAAGCACCACCUGAAUCAGCAUUAAACCAUCCAAUAGAUUGGGAUGACGUAGUCGAUUGGGAUGGCCCUGCCCAUGAACUCGAUUAUGCCAUGGUUUGGGAUGAUGGAAAUCAAGGUGCAGAUUUAAUAAUGAUCCUUGAUUUGUCAUUUGUUUCUUCUGUUCGUCAUCUCAUCUUUUUGUGUGUUUCAUGUCAUAGGUGAUGAAGAUGGAGGAUUACCAGCGCCACCCACAGGAGUGCAAGCACCUGGUACAGUAGAUGGAGAUGGUCAAGGAGCAGAUGGAGAUCAAGAUGCUGCUGCAGUAGAUAGCGUGCAAGCAGAGGGUCUUUCAAAUGGUGAUUUUCAGUUUCUUGUAUUAAUCAGUGAUUUGUUGGUUGGAUCGGGUUCAGUUUUCUUAGUCAGGUUCAAGAUCAGUUUAGUCUAGUUUUUUAGUUUUAUUUGUUGUCGGAUAGAGCGUCAAGUGUUUUUUAUCCAUGCUGAAUGAUCAGUCUUUGUCUUUUAAACCAAUGUACAAUGUCGUGUACAUCGAUGAAAAGUAGUUCUAUAGGACUCGUAGGAACAAAAAUAUUACCUUACAAAUGAUGAAGAAAGACCACAAUGAACAGUUAAAAGCAAAAAUUUUAUUGAGGAGGUGAUGUUCCUAGCUAUGGUUAUGAGGUCUAAAUUUGAUGACAAUGGUCAAUGCAUUUUUGAUGGUAAACUAGGUAUUUUUCCCUUUGUGAAAGUAGAGCCAGCAAAGAGAUGGAGCCCAAACAGGGACGCAGGUACUAAAAAUUGCAAUUUUUUUUGCAUAUCCUGCAUGAAUUAUAAGUCUUAUUAACAAUGUUUACAUCUGUAGAUACCCUUGUAACAAAAGCCAUGACGUCGGUAACAAAAGAAGUUAGCCGAGAUUUCCUUGUGAACAAGGUUCUACCCGCAAUCAAAGCAAAGUGGUCUGCAGAAGAGAAAGGAUUGCCCAUAUACAUACAACAAGACAAUGCUAAGACUCACAUUGAUGUGAAUGGCCCUACAUUUGUUCAGGCUGCUCAAGCAGAUGGUUGGGGCAUUAGGCUCACAUGCCAACCUCCCAAUUCUCCUGACCUUAGUGUAUUGGAUCUCGGUUUUUUUGCAGCAAUUCAGGCACUGUUUGAAAAGGGAACACCAAACAACAUUAACAACAUUAUGGCAAAGGUUGAUAAGGCGUAUCAGGACUAUCCUGUGCAAAGGGCCAAUCGUAUUUUUCUAACCCAGCAGGUUGCAUGAUGGAGAUCAUGAAGCACAAUGGAGGCCAGCACUACAACAUCCCUCACAUGAAGAAGAAAACUCUAGAGUUGCAAGGACAUCUUCCAACUACUCUGAGUUGCCCUUUGCAACUUCACAAUCAAGCCAUGGAGUUCGUCUCUAGUUAGAAUUAGAAGUCAUGUAUGAUGUUUUUUUGUUGCUUUGGUUCGAGUAAUGGAAACUGCAAACAAUAUUAUCCCUUAUUUUUCAAAUGCAAUUCAUCUUGAACAUGAAUAUUUUCAUCCAUUAGCUAACAGAACUUACAGUACUGCUAAACUCAACACAAAAAUUGCUCCAACUAAUACUAGGACUAGUACAAGGAAGGAAAAAUAAUCUUAAACAUGGACAUCUUAGUUUCUUCAAGCUUCUCAGCGUCCAGACCUCUAUCUGGAGUCUUUGGCAAUCCAUUAGAAACAUUACAGUACCCACGACCAAUCCAAAGGUAGGUUGUUGCAGCAUCAUUGACGUCCUCCUCAUGGCGUCCAUACAAGAGAGGCAAUAAUAAAGGAAACAUCAAACUAGAGGCUUCAUGAUUCACCUUGUCGGAUUGAAACUUGUUAACAUCAGUUGAAGCCAGCUUCACUAGGGCAUACACGGUGUCAGGUUCGUCGAUUUCGGCAAUGUCCAUCUAGGAGUCCGGCACCUCAGUCUCACCUACAAAAGUAUCCAUCAUGAACUACACCUCGCUGUCGCCCAUGGGGUCUUCAUCUUCGUUGGUAGAAUCUGGUGCCGAGUUGACACCACGCACGUAAUGGAUCUCAUCAUCGUCGUCCUGGUGAUCCAUCGCAUGCAGCAGCGUGGCAGCAUGGCGGCGUGGAGCUACUCAGCAUCGCGGCGGCAUGGAUCGACUCGGCGGCGCGGAGGCGUGGUGGGCUGGACACUUUCACGAAGGCUAACGGGAGGGAACGGAGGCGGUAUUUGAAGCAAUGAGAGGAUGGCGCCGCAUCAAUUGCCGUGUUUCGUACAAGGAACCAUGAGCGCCUAGGGACGAGGUCCGUAGCUUAAACGAUGCCGACUCUUGGAAAACUUUUUUUUCCUCAGAUGAUAAAUGGACGGAGGGAGUAUAUUGAAUUUUAGUGGAUAUUCGAGAAGUUAGAUUUUAGGAUUCUCAAAAUCCCAGAAGCUCAGCUUGAGUAGAAGUCUAUUUAAUUUGGAUCGGAUCAUAUUCUGAGAAUCCAGAAGCAAGAAACUGCUGACUAGCUUCCAAACAAAUUAAAUUGAAUUCCUGUGGAGAUUCUAGGAGCUAGAUUUUAGGAUUCUCAAAAUCACAGAAAGUAGAGUGGGACAGCUUCCAGUAGCUACCUCACUCUAAGCUUCUGGGAUUUUGCGCUCCUUGAUCCAUUUGUGUCCUCCUUGACCUGAUCCCACUCGAAACUGUCCAGUCUAUCUAGCUGUGCAAUCACGUUGGAUUGUGCCCGCAGCUGCUCUGAUCUUGCGAUGAUCUCGCGCGUGCAGGCUUCGGAUCGGUUGGCCGUGUGAUCCGAUUCUCUGACACCUUAUAUAUACGUGCACCAUCCAUGACGACGACGCAGGACGCAAGCGACCACAAUCGGCACUGGUGGGCUCGGGCCGGCCACGUCGCCGGUCGAUGCAGCUGUGCUCCCGGCGGCCGCUUCCGUCAAAUCGGUCGAUCCGAUCAUCUUGUCGUCAAUUGUAUUCUCCCAUGGGAAUCACGUGAAGAAAGGUGAAAUGUACGGUAACUUACUAACAAAGGUAAUAUGACUUGCGAGCUUUGCGGUGAUAUAAGGUUCCGUUUGGUUGUUGAGAAGCUCCAAAAUUCAUGUCACAUCGAAUGUCUAGAUACUACUAGAAGUAUUAAAUAUAGACUAAUUACAAAACUAAUUGCACAGAUGGAGGCUAAUUUGCGAGAUGAAUCUAUUAAGCUUAAUUAGUCCAUGAUUUGACAAUGUGGUUGUUGGGGGGUAAAUAUUAACGGCCUCCUUAAAACUCCUCAAACAGCGGUCAUAAGGGCCCGGGCCCACCUGUAGCGACAGUGAUCUCCGCCGACCCAACGUGGACAAGGAGAAUUCCACUCCGCCUCGCCCGACCCCUGGUCCCGGGGUCGGACACGCCCGACCCCUCGCCGCAAGGCUCCGCCUCGCCCGACCUACGGUCCUAGGGUUGGACACGCCCGACCCGCCGCAAGGCUCCGCCUCGCCCGACCCUGGGCGCAGGGGGUCGGACUCAUCCAGGCCCACAAGACAAGGAUCCACCUUGGGCGCAGAUCAGCGGACGAGGGCGCAGAUCUCGUGGGCUCCCACCAACCUUGCCAUUAAUGCGAGGCGGCUCUGGCGUGCAGAAAGGCGCCCGCACUCCUCGACGUGGCUCGCCACCGUACUCAGGCGGUACACUGUAGCCACGACCGCACAGGCUACAGCGGCACCGUCCUAGUCCGCGGCCUUCCCUGUUCGCCAUAGGGUGCUCUUUACCCGUACCUCCCGGCAGAGGAGGGAGCGCCGCCCGGUUCUGCGCUCGGUCCGGCGGCAGAGACAUAACGACCACGCCUCUCGGACAGCACGCAGGACUACAGAGGUCGGCCGUCUCCCACGACAUGCACAGUUGCGGCGACCGGACAUCAUCAUCAUGCUUGGCCACGGCGGUCGGACAACGUGCGCAUCACGCACACACGGCGACGGCGGGCAACCAGAGGAUCCUCAACAGGAUCCAACGACAGCCGCCCCUCUCCGGCGGCCACGCUGGUAGGAGAUGAAGGCCGGAAGGGAAGGCGGCGACCCCGGGGACUCGGUCCUUCGACCAGUACUCUGCGUUACCUUACACACUUAUCUCUUUUACUUCUCCUUACGCCUGACUCAUCUGUAACUCCAGUGUCCUCCUUGCGCCAUAAAAGAAGGCCCAGGGGGCCCGAAACAAGGAGGACUCUCAAGCCAACUGAACUCACACCCUCUCCUCACGAGCAUCAGUGCACACCCAAGAGACUUGGGACCAGUUCCCUCUCUCGCCUGUUUGUAACCCCUACUACAGACUCCGCGUGAGUAACACGAGCAGCACCCCAUACUGGACGUAGGGCUAUUCCUGCCCGAACCAGUCUAACCUCGUGUCCUCUCACGCAGCCAUCCGAGCCUUACGCGCAUAAAACAAAUUUAUUUGCCGUAGUCUUGAUCUGCUAAUCUCGACAACGACAGUGGUGCUACAGUAAACAUGUGCUAAUGAUGGAUUAAUUAGGCUUAAUAGAUUCGUCUCGGGAAUUAGCCUCCAUCUGUGUAAUUAGUUUUAUAAUUAGCUCAUGUUUAGUCCUCCUAAUUAGCUUCCGAAUAUUCGAUGUGACAUUAAUUUUAGUCCGGACUAAAGAUCCAAACACCCCCUAAGGCUCGACUGAAUCUUCGUGUUACUUCUGCUGGUGCUGAUACAAUGCUUUUUUAAUUCUUAGGUCAAAGCGGAGACAAUGUUAGUUUUAGGGGGUGUUUCAAUGCUUUUUUAAUUCUUAGGUCAAAGUUGAGACAAUGUUAGUUUUAGGGGGUGUUUGGAUACUAGGUGCUAAACUUUAGUAAAGUCAUAACGGAUGUUCGGAUGCUAAUUAAGAGGACUAAACAUGAGCUAAUUAUAAAACUAAUUGCAGAACCCGUGGGCUAAUUCGUGAGACAAAUCUAUUAAGCCUAAUUAAUCCAUCAUUAGUAAAUGGUUACUGUAGCACCACAUUGUCAAAUCAUGGACUAAUUAGGCUUAAUAGAUUCGUCUCGCGAAUUAAACUCCAUCUAUACAAUUAGUUUUGUAAUUAAUCUAUGUUUAAUACUCUAAUUAGUAUCCAAACAUUCAUAGGAUAGGUGCUAAAUUUUAGGGUUGGUAUCAAACACCCGUAGCAAACCAAGCUGGCGGCGAGCAUCAUGCUAGCUGCUUGCGUACAAGAUGAUGACGUACGUAUCUUACGUGGACACGCAUCUACUUUCUGCACUAAUUGUCGGUAGGCCAUUCAUCGCCUGAUCGAGAAGAUGAUUCGGUUUUUUGGACACGUGGCGUGUGACCCCACCCUCUCUAAUUAAAAUAGGUCUAUAAAUUGAUGUGUGUAGAUCCGUAUGGGUGCAGCGUGUGCUAUCACUUGGACAGCGAGGCGGGACAGAUCGAUCGCGAUGCGGCUGGCUAGUGCUCUGCUAGCUGUGUGCUGUCAAGCUGAUUGGGACUGGCGAACUGCCGUGUCCCUUCAGUUCCCGUCCCUGCCACACGUACGUACGCCGCCGUGGCCGCGGAUCAGCGGCAAGAAUUCCGCACGCUUUAAUUUCCCACGACCACCAUGCAUGCAUGGGAGGCGUCCGUAGUCCGUACACCUCUUGGAGCCGAUCUUUAUCUCUUUGGGGCCGGCACCAGGCGUGCUUUGUGGAAUCUGUACGAUCCACCGCCAUUGCAUCAUUCAUGCCACGCCGGCGCUAAGCCAAUGGCGACCUUUGUUUUUUUGGAGCCAAACGAAUGGUAACUUUGAUUAAACUUUCAUUUCCUUUAGGUUUUUCCAUGACGAUGGCAUCACCGACCAAACUUAAAAAUGAUCUGUGUGGUACGGCGUGGGGCACUGCCUAUGGGAAUGGGUAUAAUCUAUCUAUGUACUGACUUUUGUGACCAUUUAUUUUAUUUAUUCCUGAAUAAAGGUCAAAGUGAGGUUGCACUAAAGGAGUGUACUAUAAGACCCUUGAAUCAUUUCUUAAACUCAAUUCGAAAGAGGAAAACGUGCCUGCAAAUACAAGCAAUAACUUUUCUAGAUGAUCAGUUGGUGAUCGGGGCAAUGCUCAGUAACAUUCCAAGGCCUGCUCUUCAUAUAUAUUAGAGGGCACACCUUUGUGUUCAACUGAAUAUUCCACCGAAAGCUAUAGCACCAUCACAAUUCUGUAAACUAGUCCAACAAACCGUGCAUCCGCGCACGGGCUAAUACUUUUAGAUGACAUAUAGGUUAUUAUUUAGAUUAGGGAGAGCCAUCAAAAAUAUUUUCUAUUUUUUGCUUUCUUUUAUGUGUUAUUUUCUUAAUGCUUAUGAUAUCAUAUAAUUUAAAUAGUACAUAAUACAUUAAUGAGCAUUGGUUGUUAUGAUUGGGUAGUGAGACCAAUACAUUUUUUAUAGUGCAUACUAUGCUUUAAAAUUGGUAAUAAGUACAAUGACAAUAAAAAAAAAGGAAAAUCACUAUGUUUCAUGCCGUCUCCUCGGUACUUCCCAAUGUAGCAGAUAUUAAUCAAAUUUGAGUAUAUGAGCAUGUGGGAGGCCCAUCUUUUGCAACUCAACCAUGUAGAUAUCUACAUUGAAAAUGGAUAUUGUUAGCUCACCUAUAAAUGAAUAAUUAGCAACAUACUUGAAUAUGAGAUGUUCAUAUUUACCUGUAAUAGGUUCCCAACAUUGUAGUCCAUGUUUUAUGUCUCUCGUCAAUUUCUUCAUGUUAUCUUGAAACACUGUACUGUUGAUGUCAGGCAAUGGUCUUUGACCUUCUCCUUCCUCAACGACGUUACACAUAAAUGACACAAAUAGUUUAGGGUGUUGAACAUAAUAACAUGUCAUCAUAGCAUCUUGGUGGUUUUGUCCCUGUAAACAGCACGCCUUUGUAAAGGAGACGAUAAUAUUAUCCUCUUUCCAACAUGUCCAUCUCUUGUGUCUUCUUCUAUGAAUGUUUUUUUCUUGGUAAAAGGUUCCUCAGUGUCUACCUCUUCAUUCAGUAGUUAUUGUGUAGCCUUUGUAUGAGUUGUCUUCUACUUCCUUCAAAUAAUCAAAAAGAAAAUAAAUUUAGGUCAGAAUUUGUUUCAUCGAUACAGUAAACUUAUCAAAUAGUAAGGAUUCAAAAGAAAAAGUGCAAUAAAAUACUUAGUAAUAAUGAAAAUGUGUUACCUCUUUGACACUUUGCAUGUUAAUUGUUGAACUGCUCUUUUCUGUUGGAAAAAUAUCUUUGGAACACUAUAAUCAGGUCAAAAACUUGUCAAGUUGUACUCGGUCAUUCUGAACUGAAAAACAUUGUUUGUCCACAUAUCUGUUGAUUCAUUAAUUACCAUUUGUGCUUCCUUGUCAAAAAGUACACAAGAUGCAACUGCUGUUGGAUCACUUAUUGUAAAGUACUAAAUAAUUUACCGUGCUAUAAGUUUAGCUCUCUUGUCACAUUUAUUGCAAUAGUAGUGAUCAAAUUUCGUUUCAAGUUGCUUCUUACAAUGCCUCUACUACAUGAGAUGUAGUACAAACCAAAAUGUUGCAUUAGUUUCAUUUAUUGUUGCUUCAACGGUAAUUACUUUAUCCUGUAAGUAGAAAAAAUACCAUCAGUGUGUGUAAGUCUUUAAACAGGAUAGUCUAUAAUGAACAAACUAAUGCAUACCUGAUUUGAUGUGUCAAACAAUAUCGAAUUCAAUUCUUCUAAAGUUCUUCUGUUGUACUGCAUAAGGUCUUCCAAUGUCCCUUUUAGAUGGUCUUCCAAUACCAUCAGUAUGUUUUAAAGUUCUUCUAAAUCCCUCUUAUAAUAUUAUCAAUUGAACUAACGCUUUUUUCAUAAUUCAUGUUAGAGUGCAGGCUACAUAGCUUAAAAUAGAAAAAUAAAUAUCUAAAUUUGUUUUAAUAUUUUAUUUUCUUAGGAGGUUAGUUUGUUGAAUGAAAAAUAUUGAAUAGCUCAUAUCAAAUGAUGACUUACUGUCAAAUUUCCUCACAGUUGUAGAUGUUAUUAUGAUGACAUGGGAUUUUAUCUUAUCAUCAACCUCCUCAAAUUUGUCUCCCCAAAAUCUAACUUUAACUUCAUGGUCACUGCAAAUUUAAAAUUUUGUAUUUAACUAUCUGACUGCAAAUUAAAUUGUUUGGAGGGGCACUAUAGAAGAUAUUUUGAUAUUUUGAGUUCAACAAAAGUUCUGUAGCAUGCAUGUAAACAUUGAAAGUUUUGUAGUUGUUUUGGAUGAGAGAAAAGUGAAUUAACUUCCUACUCGAUCAAGAGCACAAUAUCAUGGAUUUUGAUCAAACAAAAUGGUUUAGUAGGCGUAACACAUGCCAUGAAAAAUUAAUCUAGUUGUAGAAGGGAAAUUAAACAAAUUAAUGUCUUUCUCACGUGAGAUUUGAAUGGUCUAAAAGGUUCCCUGGCCGUAGCACUUGAACCUUCAAUAGGAAUAACAGUUCAGAGGCAAUUUGAUCGUACCUUUCUAUUGAAUAGCAGCAGGGUCUAGUUCUGUUGAUGAAAGUAGCAGCAGACCCUAGUUGAUGAAGCAGUACACAAAACAAAAGAGUUGUUCGGCAAAGACGGCAUCUCUCUUUUUAUAUACACGCAAGAGUAUCUAAUUUAGUUGUAUUAGCUAACAACCCUUUAGGAUAGAUUGUUUUAUGAUUUAAAUAUGGGAGAGAGAUUGAAGGCAAGAGAUUACGCUAAAUUUGAUCGGCAGGCAUCUCUAUAUGCACAUACGUAUCUAGUUUGUUUGUUGGUUGUAUUACAUAAUUAAGGAUUCUUUAACGAUAUACUCUUUUUAUGGUUUAAAUAUGGGAGAGAAAUUAGGGGCAAGAGAUUAAUUGUGUCACAUGUGACCGGCAGGACAGGGUAGUUAGACAAUUUUUUAUUUUAUUUCAAGCAAAGAGAUUUAUUAUGUAAGAUGUGACCGGCAGAUCGUUUAGAUUAAUUUUUUCUACAGUGGAUAUGUGAGUAAUUUAGACAUAGAUAUAGGAGUUAUUUUGUUAAUUCUUUAUAAUGGUAUAUGUGGGUAAUUUUAGAAACAGAGUACAUCUAACGGCUAUUAAAAUCUUACUAGUAAAGCAAGAUGUUUUGCUUUUUUUUAGAAUUUAUAGGAUUUCUCAAGAAUGUCCACCUAGAAAUCCUAAGUGGCUUCACCUGGAAGCUUCAAAAGGAACCUCGAAUUAGUAAAAGGAAGAUUAGUUACGGGUUUACGCCGCAUAUUUUACGCAUGACGGUACGGUCAAACGGAAUCGAUACAGUAAAUCUGUGUCACUGCAUGGGCACCAAAAUCCGAUCCUUUUCGUUUUCGUCCCGCCGAUCCAUUCAACGGGUCUCAAGGUCAUCAGUGUCCCGCGCCGCCAGGCAGUGGAGAGAUGUGUGCCGGCGCCGCAGAACGCACACAACAGGCGGCGGCGAAUGGUGGAAGGCAUGCCGUUGUCGCCUUGUCGGCCACGCUGCACCACACGUACCACGACGUUCGGUGGUCGACAUGUGGAUUAACGGUCCUACUAAUCUCGUGCACAUGCAUGAUGGUUACUGCAAGUAUGGGCCUGCUAGCUUUAUUUGGCUGCUUGAUGGGACACUUGUCGCACGCUCACAUAUCUUGCAUGGGAGACUGCAGGAACGCACCAUUAUUGCGAAAAAAAAGGCUCAGCAUGGGCGGAAGUCAAAUUGUCAAGUUUGAUAAAUUAUCAAAUUUAUAAGGAAGAGUAUCGAUAUUUAUAACAUUAAAUAGGUAUGCUAUGAAAAUAUAUUUUAUAAUAAAUUUAAUGAAAAUUUGUUAGACAUCAAAAGUUGUUGGAGCCCAAAAGUGGCAGUGGUACCGAUCAGGCUUGUAGCCGAUCUGGUGCAUGUCCACCGGUCCGGUGGCCCCGACCGGUCAGCCCGAGUCUGAAAUAAUUUUUGGAGUCCAGGGCGAAUCGGAGAUGAAGCGGGAUUUUCUUGCGGGAAAAGACCUCCCGCCCUAUAAAUAUAAAGGGCCCUGACCGAUUGAGGGCAACCAACCCAAUCGUUAAAAAAGACCUCCCGCCCUGUAAAUAUAAAGGGCCCUGACAGAUUGAGGGUAACCAACCCAAUCGUCAAACACAUUUACCUACUUUUUACCUCCAAACCCUAGCUUUCCAACCCCCUUGCUUUCCUCCUUCGUCUCGACAGCAUUUGAGGACGUUCUGAGUGGCCUGACCGAUCUCAGAGCAACCCUAGGCCCGCCAUCUCCGACGGGGUCCCUCAUGAGGUGGUGAACGUAGGCUUUCGCGGUGCCCCUACGAGGAUCGGUCUGACCGGACCCCCUAACCGAUCUGACCGGCCAGGUGCAGAAGCCUCACGAGGUGAUCUUUUGAUUUGCGUGCGAACCAGCGUGAUCGUGUGUUGGCCGGAAAAGGCGCCAACAAAAGUAUUGAUAUAUUUUUAUAUAAAUUUGGUCGAACAUAAGAUGAUUUGACUUAGGACAAAACUCUAUACGGAACCGGAGGAGUAGGUGGUUGAGUAUUAGUUUUUUUUUUGACCUCGUAUCUUUCUCCUUUCUUGCAUCAUGAGGCAUUGUUCCAACUUUCCCAGUGCUAGCCACAAUUAUUUCUUUUUUAAAAGACUGCAGGAACGCACCAUUCACAAAACAGGGGCGACCUCAGUCAGCAUGGGACGGCGGCACGCUUGAUGCAAGCGCUCACGUAACCCUCGUAACUGAGGGUUUUUUUUUAACCUUGUCUCUUUCUCCUUGUUGGAGUAGAAACUACGUGCUCUGCAUAUGUGCUUUAGCCUUUAGUCAAAGGAUGUUCUUUCUUGCGUCGUGUUGCUUUGCUCCAACUUUCUAAGUAGUAGUAGCAGCUACAAUUAUUUCUUUUUAAAAGACAGAGCCGUGUCAAUUUUAAUGCCGCAGCUGAGAUGCUGGUAGCACUCAAGCACAUCCCUUGCAUUUGAUGUUCUCUUCCGGCGCAAAUUCAGAAUACAACCCAAAACUGGAUUAUGAUUGCUUCCGCCUGAAACAAUUUGUGACGGCAUGAAUUUAGCAUUGUGCCCACUUCAUGCUGGUGAUGAGGAAAAAGUCAGGAGGAAUACGAAAACCUGCUCAUUUAGACGGCACCGAAAACUGAGAAAUGAGAGCCCCUUUUUAUGCUUUCCACUCAGGCUGCUUGACCUUUAAAGUACAUGUACAGACAUGCUUGGAUUAUUGGAAAGCCAGUGCUGGUAAUUCUAUUCCGAUAAAAUAUUCGCACCAUGAAAAAAAAUGUAGUAUGUCCAGCAUGGAAGCAGUUGAGUAUAUACGACAGUAUCUUAGUAAGUCGAUAGGGAGAGGUUAGGAUAAAUGGGCACAUGUGGAUGUGCAAGUGCGGCCGCUUUAGCUAGGUUGCCGGGCCGCAUUUGAGCUACAAAACAAGCACAUUUUGCAGGCCUUAUCUGCAAACAACUGCAGCUCUAUCUUGCUGUUACAAGGGCAAAAAGGAUUGACGCCUAUAUAUACACGAGAUUAAUUGUAAAUGGUUGGAAAGAUCAAACAUCUGCAUCAAACCUUAUUUCUAAUGUACCACUGUUUGAAAUGAUGGCCUUCCUGCCUGAAAGAGUUGUUGUGAACAAGUAGCUAACCAACCAACAAGUCAUAGUCCCACACUAGCUAGCAGAAGAGGUAGCAUCUAGUCAAUGUAAUUGGAAUAAGCACCGCUGCCAUGGCUGAUUUCUUAUCCAAAUUCGUGGACUGCGAGCCACUAUAUUGCGGCCCCAAAUUUCAUAUCGAUUAAUUCUUGCCGUACCGGCAACGGCAAGGUUAUGUUAUUACGCACGUUGUAAAUCUGACAUGAUGCGAGAUGGUCGGUGGUAUCAGCGUCAACUGGAUAGGGACAAAGUGUAUUCAAGUGGUGCUCCAUUCUGUCUCCCUAAUUCCGUCAGUGACUUAUUGUACUGGGCAAAGAUUACAUUACUACAAAGUUAGUAAUGCAAGCAUCAAGCUUACAUAGGUGAUGACGAAGGUGUCAGUGCUAUAAGACGCAGUGGUCAGGACACGAAAAUGAAAGUAACAAGUACUUUAGUAAUGCACAUCAUUUUUUUUUACGCGAACAGCAGACUGCACAUCAAUUUUAAUUGGGUGCAUCUUAGGUAAAAGUGAAACUCUACAGAUUUGUUAAAAACUUUGCUAAGGAGUCGCCACAAAUUGUUAAAUACUCAAAGCUGUAGGUGAUGUUAUGUUGUCAUCAAUCCAUGCAUUGAAAUUUGAGCAUGCUGUUUGUGAGAUUAAACUAUAAACACAUUUCUAGGCCUUUUUUGUCUAUGCAAUCGCAAUGCUAUUGCAGCUGAUGUUUAUCUUACAAUCAAGAUUAACUUCGCUCUUGAGAUUUUGCAUUGAUUUAGAACAUAACAUCACCUAAUUUGUGGUUUAUAAUUCCUCAAUUUUUUUAGUUAGGUUUAAUUUUUGACAAAUUUGUAAAGUUGCAAUUUAUUGGCUGUUUUUCAACAUUGGUUCAAUUAUAUGAGAAUCGAGCACUGGAAUAUAGUCAAUAAUACGAACAAGCUAUUGGCUAUAUUUCAAAACAUGUUACGGUCAUAAAUAAUAAUGACAUAUGAAAAUAAGUCAAUCUAAAUAUAUCUAAGGGACCGGUGACAAAAAUAGCCUUUUACAUUAAUCAUCCUGUUGGGUAUGUUAGUAAUUUUUCAUUUAAUUUAAUCCAGAAACAAAAAUAUAUAACAUGAUAGUAAACAUAGAUAGAUUAAUCAUGUUGCAGAUACUAAUUAAACUAGACACGUGCCUAAAAAAAGUAAACUAUGCAUGCUAAGAAAAUACUAGCACAUAUACCUCAUUAUUUGCACAAACCAGAGGAAUCCCUAACACUAUACUCUGUUCGGCUGGCUGCUUUGCAGCUGGCUGCUGCUGCUCGCAAGCAGCUGUAGCAGCACGCACCAGCAGCCGCCAUGCACUAGCCGAACAACGCCACAUACAUACAUACAUACAUACAUACAUACAUACAUAUAUACAUACAUACAUACAUACAUACAUACAUACAUACAUACAUACAUACAUACAUACAUACAUACAUACAUAUAUAGCAGCAGGGUUGAAGAGAAUAGUAGUUGCCAAAGUUAUGUUUUGCAAAAUCUACUACAGCACGUACGCUAGCUUGAUUACAUUAUUAAUUAUCCCCCUUUAAGAAAUUUCCAAGGAAAAAAUUGAAGGACCGUACAUAUAUAUUGAUCGAUCUGCAUGCAGAAGCCGGGGAAUAGUCGCGGCACAUAUUUUGCUCGUGGUCGAAUGGCAGAAGAGAAGAAAUUUGAUAUCUCUCUAGACUGCAGAAAGCAAACCAAAGAAUUUGUGUGUACGCUAUCCUAUCCACCACCACCAGGACUAAGCAAACACUCCCACAAGAAUGAAAACAACCUUCCUCGCAAAAAAGAAAAAAAGAAACAAAAAAUGAAUGCAAACAACCUGCGCAGGACAGGACCCUUUUUCCGCGUACCUGCACGGAUGCGUCGUCGGCAUUUUCGUCCCCGGCGCCCCGCGCGUGGCGCCACCGGUGGAUCCAAACGCGUCGCCGUCAGAAAAUCUCACGACCGGCCACCUAAUUAAGCAAGGUAAUACAGAGAUCGUCCAAGCAAAAUCGCAGAAAACUCCUGGAAACCGGGCUCUGGUUUGGGUCGCCAGUAAACACAAUACGUGACGGCCGCCGUACGUCCUUUCGGUCUCGUGGGCUGCUUCGCAUGAUCUUCGUUCCUGCAGUGUCCCACGUCCUGCUGUUCAUUUGGACGUCGGCCGCCGACCAGAGAGGCCUAUUAUUCCUGCCACCUUUUGCUUUCCAGUCGUCAGCAGGCUGCUAGGUUUUUGUAGCACAAAUGCAUGGGUUCAUAUGUAUGCAGAGUAGGGGAACAGAACGAUUACCUCAAUUCAUCAUAAGAUGUUCAAAGACAAGGAUAAAAGCAUGCUCAUAGAAGAGCACAUGUGCGCCGGUGCAAGUGCGGCAGCUUUGGCGCUUUCGGAGUCGGAGCUACAACUCGCUGCGCGGUUCAUACGAGGCUCUGCAAAUGGUUCGGGAAGCACAUUUUGAAGCAUGUUGGGCUUAAUUCUCUAUCUGUCUUGCAACUCAGCCCAACUAGGCCCGCAAGACCGCCAUCACCUUCCCUGAUUUCCCUUCUGCCGCCUCACUCCAGUCCUCAGUCACAUUCAGGGUUCGCGCACGGAUCCCUGACGCCGUUCGCCCGUGUUCUUCUGCCCCCCAAAUCAACAGAUCAGCGCCGCGGAAUCUAGCAGCCCGUUCGGUUGGCUGCGGCUGGGCUUUUUGCGGCUGGACUUUUCAGCCCAGCCGUUCGGAUGGCUGCGGCUUCUAGCAUCCACGGAAGCUGUUGGAAGGGAUAACGACGCGCCUCCAGUGCCUCCCUCUCGCCCCCUUCGUCGCUUGCUCCCCUCCGUCCCUCGCUCCGGAUCCGCCGCCGCCGCUCCCUCCGCUCCCCCGCUCCGUCCCCUCCGCCCGGUCUGCGCCGCCGGCGGGCCCUCGGCUCGGCCGCUCCGUCGCGCUCGCCCGCGCGACGCCGCCGUCCGUCCUGCUUCUCCUCGCCCCCUCCGUCCGGCGCGGCCCGUCCGGAUCCGCCGCCGGUGCAGCUUCCGCUCCGCCGCUCCCUCGCUGCCGCGCGCUCCCCGCCGCCGGUGAGGCGUGGAGUGGCCCUCUCCCUCCCUCCCAUCCGGCCGGGCGACGGCGCCGUUCCUCCCGCUGGACGUCCCCUCCGUCCCUCGGUCCGGAUCCGCCGCCGCCCGUCCCUCCGGAUCCGCCGCCGCAGCUCCGAGCCGGCGCACGCGCUGCCGCCGCCGGUGGGCCGUCGGGUGGAAGGACCGUCUCCCGCGCCGUCGCCCCCUGCAUCCCCUUCGCUCACAUGUAUGGAUGCUACCCCAUCCGUAUGCCGCUAGUGAAUGAAUGAAUGCUUUCACCUCACAUUUCUGGAUGUGAUUCCUGUUAGGCAUGAAACCUGAACACCUCAACCUUGAAUUAUACCGCCGUUGAUUUCAUCGGGUUGCAUUGUUUGAUAAUAGUCUGAAACAUUCAAGUGGACACUGAAUUGGUUCAUUAUUUUUCUGUGUGUUAGAAGGGGACUAAGACAAUCACUGUGAAGCGAAGACAAGUCAUAGGUUGAUAGAUUGUGUCCCUCUCGCCAAAUGCCUAUUUAUCAUGGUUAAUGUGUUAUGCUAAUCCUGCGUUCCUUACUUUCAUUUGAUAAUUCUGGGUUUGUACUCAAUAGUUAGCAAGUAGUGUCCUAAUUACUACUAAGGCUGGUGUCAAUCUCGAUUCAAUUUUUGCACCCAGCAGCAAAAAUGUGUAAAAUGCUUCCUGUUUUUAGACAUGCUGCUGGGCAACUGACUUGUUUGAGUAGGGUUUGAUUUUUCUAUGGGAUACUCAGCAUCAUGCAGAAUCUUUCUCAUGAUUGCUGAAGUUUUGAGCUUUCUUCAGCGGGCAUGCUCAAUCUGAGCUCAUGACUGUUCUGCGUUGCAACUUUUUGCAAACCAUUGCUGUUUCUGCGCAACCAAAUAUGAAGACAUUUCACUACAUAUAAGAUCUAGUCAAGUACAUACCUUAAUGCUUAUUGUUGCCCAUUGUGAUAAAAGGAAGGCCUCAAACUAGGAUUGAGGUUAUUUCAUGGGUUAUUCCUUACAGCAAGGGUAUCUGAAACUGAAAUAUCAGGUUAUAGCUUGAUUGGUUGAUUUAAUUUCUCCCCUGGUUUUGGAGGCAUACUUUCUUCUCCCUGUUUCCCUGUUACAUACUAGACUACUUCAUAGUUAGCUGACAUAAGUAGCAAUGGAAAGUUUAAGCGAACGUGGGUGGAAUUAUGCGUUUUCUCAUGAUAUUUGGACCUUUAUUUCCUUUUCAAGUAUGCAAGUAUUUUUUUAGAUAUACUGUGAGAAGUUUGCUGAAAGUGUACAAAAUAUAAGUAUAAAUGCAGUAUGAAUUGACAAUGUCUUAGAGACUUAGUUGGAGUAGACAUUAGCCCUUUGACUGCACCAUGAUUGUCAGCUAAACUAAAAAGGUCCUGAUAACAUGCACUUCCUGAUUUUUACUUGGAUCUUAGAGGCAAGUCUCGUGAAUAGCAAUUUUUUGCCACUGAUAGUCGAAGAUGCAAGCUGAAUGUCACAUUGUGCUGACCUUGUGAUUUCUUUUUGUCACCUUUCAGGCUUCAGGAGGAAGGGUGCAAGGAACACAACACUGAGGCAGAUUCAAGGGUGCCCACACUGGCAUCGUCAUCGACUGGUUCCUGCUCUCCCCCUCCCCCCCGUGUGCCCGUACAAUUUCCGCCACAAACGCCCCAAAGCACCUGCUAAGGCAAGUAACAAUUUCUUUAUUUUACAUUGCUUAGUUGUGUACGUAGGUCGUAGUUGUCCAUAGAUCGGUGCCAUAUAAUUGCAGCUCCUGUGUGCUCAGAUGAAUAACUGUGCCAGCUGGGAUGAGCCCACGACAAAAAUUUUGCUGGACUUGUGCAUUGAACAGAAGAACCAGCUCAACUGGAGCGAUAGAUGCCUCACUAAGUUGGGAUGGAGGAAUGUGCACUCCAGGUUCAGGGCAGAAACUGGAUUGCAAUUGGGAACGAAGCAGCUGCAGAACAAGCUCAACAACUUGAGGAGGCAAUUCUUCGGCUGGCAGGCAUUGCAAACCUCAUCUGGUUUAGGGCGCGACACACAAACUGGUGGUGUGUCUGCUGAUGCCACGUAUUGGGAGCAGUACCAACAGGUACGGACUUUGCGACGGCCCUAAGUUACUGAUCGUCUUACUUGUACUGUUUUGUUUGCGAUGCUGAUAUUUUACUUUGAUGGGACAUUGCAGGACACCCAGGCGAGGGUCCCAGUCGAGUUCUGUGAAGCCUCCACCUUUCCUCAACGAGUUGUUUGAGUUGUAUGGCCACGAACCCCAAGAUAGGGGCACCUUGCUGACGGCCGGAGGUAUUCGUGAGGACACACCUAGCAUGGGGACUGAGGGCAAUUUCGUGGACUUGGAGCAGGACCCCGCCCCUGCUAGUAGUGCUCGUGUCAGUGCUCGUGCCAUGUCAAAAAGGCCGGUCCGAGAGUUCUCUGUGGACAGUCCCACCAAAAAAAGAAGUGACAACUUGGAGCAGUACAUUAGGGAACUAUCUGAGAGUGUGGCCAAGCAGAGCCUGCUACGUGCGCCGAGUAUCCAUGACCAAAUCUCGCGUUGUAUUGAGAUCCUAAAAGAAGAUGGUAUAGAGCAGGGGUCGGAGCUUCACAACCAGGCUAUGUUUUCAUUUGGGCAGAGCGCGGAGUGUCGGUCCACGUUCAUGGGGUUGUGCACAAAAGAUGCCCGAUUGAGUUGGAUCAAUUUCUACUGGAACAUGAUGCACAAGAAGUGAUGGUGCCCUGCUUAUUUGUUAGCUUAGUUGCACUUGUGUUGUGUUGAACAUUAUUGUUAGCUUCUGUAACUAGUAGUGAUCGUUGAACCUUUCUAUGUGCGCCGAGUUGAACAUUUUUAAGUUAAUGAUCGUUGAACCUUUCUCUAGUAUUUUAGUGGUUGUUUCUGUUCAGGUGUAUCUGACUGUUGACCAUUUCUAUUAGUUAGUUGUAUCUGUUCAGUUGUACGUAUAAGUUUUGUUGCUAAGUUACUUUGAAGUUAAAUUACGUUCAAUUUUUUUGCAAACUAGUUGUACCUCCUCUCAGUAUACAGAACGUUGUUCACCUUGUCUUAUAAGCUGUGUUUUCAUUUUCGACAGGUACUUGAAGUAUGAGUGGUGCAGAGGAACACAACAGUGACACCAGCAGCGACAGCAGCUCUGUGUUCGAUAUGAAAUGUUUAGGAGGAGCUGCAGCCGCAUAUGCGGAGCUUCGCAGCAUUCAUCGUGCUAGACGGAACCCGCCAGUUGAGCUGCCACGCCUGACGGGUCGGCAAUGGGUGGAGCUGAACCUCCGGGACAGGAGGCGGUGCUUCGAUAAUUUUCGUAUGUAUCCCGACACGUUCCUUCAGUUGCAUGACAUGUUGGUUAGCAGUCAUGGGUUGAAAACGUCGCAAGGGGUAGAAUCUAUUGAGGCGUUAGCUAUGUUUGUGUGGGUGUGUGCGACACAGCAGGCUUGCCGUCAGAUUAGAGAAAGGUUUGACCAGAGUUUGGACACAGUUAGUAGGAAGAUGGCGCAUGUGGCAAAUGUAAUGUAUUCGUUUGCCCAGCAAGUCAUCGCUCCAAAGGAUAAAGAGUACUCUACGGUCAAUCACAAGCUGACCCAAUAUGCACCGUUCUUUGAUGGGUGCAUAGGUGCUUUAGACGGCACGCACAUUCCAGUACUUGUCGGGCGUGAGUCCCGUGUGGAUUUCCUAAACAGAAAAGGAUGGACGAGCUUCAACGUGUUAGCCAUAUGCGAUAUGGACAUGCGAUUCACGUACGUAGGAGCUGGGAUGGCAGGCUCGUGUCACGACAUGGCGGUUUUGCGUGACUGUAUGUCGGCAAGCACGUACCCACAUCCACCUGCAGGUAUGUGACUUCUAAGUGUGCACAUGUAGCUAGACUUGGAAAAUGUGGUGCAGUACUGUUGAUUGUUUGUGAUUACCUGCAGGCCGCUAUUAUUUGGUCGACUCGGGCUACGCAGUUCGCGAAGGGUAUCUGGGGCCGUAUAGAAAUACGAGGUAUCACCUGGAGGAGUUUAGCAGAAGGGCGGCGGACACAUUGGAGGAGAAAUUCAAUUUUCACCAUUCUAGUCUUCGCAAUGUGGUGGAACGCGCAUUUGGUGUCCUGAAAUCGAGGUGGCACAUUCUGCGGGAAGUUCCACUAUAUUCAAGAGAACGCCAAACGAAGAUUGUUAUUGCUUGUUUUGCACUGCAUAAUUAUUUGCUGGACCUUGCCAAUGACAGUUCUGCAGGAUCGUCCAGGGCGCGAGAACCGGACUAUGCGGUGUCCGAAUGGGUGGCAGCUAAUGCUACACCUGAUAUGGGCAGUGUCCGAGAUUGGAUUGCGGCGGGAAUCUCGUUGAUGUAGACGCGGGAUGUAUGUUGUGUACGUUCAUGUUGUAAUUUGUAUGUACGAAAUUGUAAUAUGUUGUGUGUACGAUCGUACCCUCGAGUGUGUUUGUUAUGUUUGCCGGCCACCAUUUAAAUGGUGUAGUUGCAUUUACCGCUACAAAUUUUAUUUUCGAACGUAGCAGCGCAUCCGUAGGGAAACCACUUUGGAAAUUGCUAAGGAUAAGCUGUCACCGCUCCCUCGCUACUAUCGGUACAGGAACAAUUUAUUUUCGGUUUUUUUAACAACCUUAUAUUUUUUAAGUAUCAACAAUUCCCUUAUGAUUUGUAGUCCCACACGUUGUAAUUGUUUCAUUCUCUAAAAAAGAGUAGGCAAAUGAGACUUGAUUAAUUGGUUUGCUGCAUAAAUUGCUUUUGUAACCGGACUAAGUUUAACCUUAACCGUCAUGUGGGCCAAACGGCCCGUUACCAGGCAAACCCGGCGGGCCAAACGGCCGUUAACAGGCACACCCGGCGGCAGCAGCAGCAGCUGCAGCGCUGCAGCAGCCGCAGCGGCAGCCAGCAGCCGCAGCCGCUAUAAGCGCUGCCAAACGCGGUCAAGGUCGGGGCAUCCGGCGGACAAGGACAGGCCACGAGGCGCUGGCGGGCGCAUUCCCCGGCGACAGUCAUGGCACGUAUGUGGUACCACAAUUAUUUACUAUAAGUUAUCAUAAUUAUUUAGCAUCAAAAUAUUUUUUUAAAUUAUGGUACAAUCGAUUUAUAGUAAAUUAUAACAUAUAGGAAUGGACAUAUCAAUUCCAGUAAGUCGACUACAUUGUUGUCUGAAACCAUUCAAGUUAUUGUAAUUAUUCUAGUGUGUUGGAUGGACUGACCACAGAAUAAAGCUAUUCUAUGACCGGUCAAGAAGUAUACUCUAUGUAUGUAUGUAUGCACACACUUAUUAAGCCUUGAUCCGAAUGAAUCACUGAAGAUAUUAGAAAGAGACAGCCACGACGUCCUGAAGCAGCCAGAAGCCAUGAGGAGGUUCCGUAAUAGCGCCAACUUUAUAGAAUUGCACAACGGUACUGGCCUCCAGAUCAAACAAAGGAGUCAAGGAACAAUAUAAUAUAUGAGAUAAAGCACCCAUAGCAGUACUGAAGCAAUGGGAUUGCAAUUGGGAGCUGAUGUCCGUCUACCAACCUUUUACUACAAGUUAAGCGUCGGCAAAUAAAUGGGCGUUGGGGAGGUAACAAGCUCAAGGGAUCAUACGAAUGAAUAAAAAUCAUAAACUGGAGUCCAUCACACAAGCAGCAACAUUGAAACAGACGAGCCUAAGGAAGGCUGCUAAUGGUCUGAGAACCGCUCCAAAAUCAAACCAUAAAUAAAAGAAAAUCCACACCAACCAACCCAUUACUCUUAUAUAUCUAAACCAAACUAACUCAAUAGUGUAAAAAAUCACAAACCAAACCAAAUUGCAUGUCUCAAACUGGUUCUAAGCCACUUAAAACCUAUUUUCUAUAUGUAUCAUAUGGUUAGCUUUCGAUGUUGGUCCACAUGUAGAUCUAGUAGAUUACCAAUUUGCAUGAAGUAGCUAACUAUCAUUUUAAGACAUCUUUAAUAAAUUUCAGUUAAAUUUGCUAAAAUUUUAAGGUGUGUACGCGAGGUUUUAGUUUUAGGAUCCACCUUUUAACGUGAGGCUCACAUGUAGAUUUAGGCACACUGAUCUGCAUGAAGUAGCUGACUGUCUGAGACAUCUUCAACAAAUUUCAUUCAAAAAAUUUAAAGUGUGAACAUGAGGCAGCAAGAAUUGGGGAAGCGGAGCUUGCUAAUAAGAUGAAAAAAGAAACUGAAAACCAAAGCAACAUCCUUGAUUAUAUUUCUGCCGUUGCAAACAAAGUACUGCGUUGGAAGGUCUAUUGUAGAGCUUCUGGCCGACAAAAAUAUACACAUAAUACGAUUUCAUUGCGACGGAUAAAAGUAGAUUGGGCCUCCUAUGGAUGCUGCAAAAGCUACCAGAGCUCUCUAUGACACCUGGAGCAAGAGACCUAUAGCUGCGAGUCAGAUUCAAACGCACUUGCCUCGUGUUCGUUGUAUAUUGCAAGACUCAUGGAUAUACUACAGAACCGAUCCGUAUUAUAAAUUGUUUGAUUGAUGUGCCGUGAGUUUGGUCUCGAAUCUUAUUUCUUUAUAGAGAUGGCAUUAGGUAAAGUAGGCCGUCAGCUCAUGCUCCUACGAUAGUAUUUCAAAAGAGAUGCUCACAUUAUGGCUAGGAAAAAAAUCCUAUAAAUUCUCGCAAAAAUUAUAAUGGCUCUGUUUAUAUCCGCUUAUUUCCCGCUUAUCGGUGGAAAUAAGCCAUAAGCCCACCCAAACGCUUUGAUUAUUUCCCUUUUGCUACGUAAGCCGCUUAGUGCACAAGCUGGGAAACAACUGGCGUCCGGCUUAUCCUGUACGCGGGCCGGGAGACGCUUCUCCAAUAAGCGAACAUAUUUUCCCCCCCGCUACCCUCACCCACCGACGCCUCCAGCCGUCCGCCCCCGCGCCUCCCGCGACCGCCGCCGGCUCCCGUCCGCCGCCAGUUCCCGUCCACCGCCGCCGCCCCUGCAGCCGACGCCGCGGCCGCAAAUCCCAUCACCGGGUGCCGUCCGCCGGGCUUGGCCCCCGCCGCCGGGCUUAGCCCCCGCUGCCGGGCUUGGCCCCUGGCGGCUUGGCCCCCGCCGCCGGGCUUGCUUGGCCCCUGCCGCCUUCCUCCUUUGCCCGCCUUCCUCCGCACCCUCACGGAGCACCAGGACUCCAUUGCAGGUUGGUCGCCGCACUUGCCGCCAAGACAAUUGCUACUCUAGUCUUGCUGCUCUUUGUUCAUUGUUUGUUCUUGCAGUAUUAUUGAAGUGCAAAAUCGGGGGAUUACUGUUGCUUUGGUUCUUGCAUUGUCAUCACUUGCUCUUAAUGCCGCACCCUUUGCUUGUUUAUGAAUAAAGCAAGUUCAUGUGUUAGAAGCUGCUUUAACUAGUUAUAUGAAAUUCGUAGUGAUUAAAUCUUAUUUCAUUGUACUAACUCUUUCAAGACACAACGGUAUUAGUUGUUAUUACUCCAUUAGAGAGGCCUCAUUCAUUGCUCUUGCUCUUCUGUUCAAUUUAUGUUCAGUAUUACAAUAAAAUUUCUCCAAUUGGUAAAGUCAGUUCCUUUUCACUGUGUUUAUGCUAAUCGAUGCAUACUUGUGGCUUUGUCUCUCUGUUCUGCUUUGCUACCGUACUGGUACUGUCUUAGGAAUGGUAAUACUACACAUUACUAUAGUAGUAAGAAUUUAGUUUAUCAUGCGUUAUUUUCUAUCAUUAACUGUACAGGAUACUACAGGAUAUAUUGUAAAGUAUUUGCUAUUCACAUGGGAUACUACAUAAUACUUGCAAAGUAUCUUGAUAGUGGAAUUGUAAUGAUCAUCCCCUUGAGUGGUCUAAUGUGUGUAGGGCCAGUACAGGCACUGCAUUGUUUCCUUCUGUGUAGGUACUUGAAGAUAGGUCGAAAGUGCCAAUGCAUUAAUUUGAUGUCUUAUAGGAAGUUGACAAUAGGCGGUUCGAAUGAAGUCAUUAAUUUAUUUUAUGUUCUGAUGAUUCAACAUAAUUACAUGGAGAACCAAGCCACUGUUAAUUUUUCUACGUAGAUUAUUUAUGAACAAUGUGGUCUUUGUCAGUAAACAAGCUUGUAGAUUUGUAUUUAAUUCUACAAUACUGUAAUCAAAUUUUAGAUGGGAAAGUCGUCAAAGAUUGUGGCAAAAUGGGAUUCAUUUGCCGCGAAAGCUUUCAAUGACAUUUGUGUGGAAGAAGUACUUGCUUUCAAUCGACCGCAGCAAUGUUUGAAUGCAGUGGGAUAUGCAAACUUUAUUAAAAAGUUUUAUGAGCAUACCAAGAGGCCAUACGGUGAGAGUCAAAUGAAGAAUAGGUGGGAUAUAUUAAAAAAUGUAUACCCAAUGGAAGACUUUGAACUUGAGAGCAACCGGAUUGGGAAGAGAUCCUAUUACUGGUUGUAUUGUGGUUGACGAUGAAUGGUGGGAAGAACAAAAUAAGGUGAGCCCACUAACAAUCCUACUAGAGAUAUAGUUCACAUACACGUUGUUUGUUUUUUUUUGAAUAGAAGGUAUAAUAGCAUGCUGUUUUGGUGAUAUUUUACAGGCUAUGCUAGGUUGUAUCCGGUUCAGAACAGCCCCGCUUGAAUAUGAGGAUCAGAUGUGAAUCAUGUUUGAAUCUGUCAUUGUUACAAAUGAAACUUCAUAUGUUCCAAGUGGUGAUGGAAACGUUGAUGUUGAUGAACAUGAUGUUGUUGAUGAUGGGGGCAACAGUGAUAGGGAGGCACAUAAGGCCCCAUCCAGUUCUGAGUGGAGGGCUCCAAAAAGGUCAGCUCCUAGUUCCCCUAAAGGAAAGAAGAAGAAGACUUUUAGAGACCAGUACAUGAAGCGUUUGGUCGAUGCAUAUGAGUUGAAAGCUCAAAGUAGUAAACAUUCAGCUACUUCACAAGUUGUUGAUCACGUUAGAGAUGAGAUUGGAAGUAUGUUGGAGCAAGUCAUUAAGGAUGGGGCUGAGGAGGGGAGUGAUGAACACUUCUAUGCCACACAACUUCUUCAAAAAAAGGAGAACCGUGAUGUGUUCAUUACAUUGAAGACACCAAAUGGGAGGUUGAAUUGGCUGAGGAGGGCUUGGGAGAUAAGGAAGAAGCACUAGGGUGUUGCAUUAGUGUGCCAUUUCUCUUAUGUUGUGUGAGACAUAAAUUCAAUUUUCUAAGUAUGCUGUGUGAGACUAUGAACCUUCUAUUAGUUGUGUUGUAACAAUAAAAAUUUAUCUGAUGACUUGGUUAGUGCUUUUUGACAGGCUUGCAUUUGUUUUGAUGAGUACCUCUAGUGCAACUAGUGAAUGUGAAGGCAACAGUGAUUAUGUUCAUACCAUGGAUGUUGAUGAAUCUGAUGAUACUAAUGAUGAUUACAUAGUGGCAAUGCUUGAUUUGGACUACAUGGCAUCAUCUGGUAUGAACAAGAAGAAGAUUACUACUACGAUAGUAAGGAUGACUGGAAUACAGUGGGUUGAGUUGCAACUACAAGAUCCAGUGGAGUGCUUUAACAUGUUCAGAAUGAGGAGGUCAGUUUUCUUAAGCCUUCAUGACACUUUGGUGCAAGAUUAUGGAUUGAGAUCAAGUAGAUAAUUUUGUAGCAAGGAAGCACUAGGAAUGUUUCUAUGGGCUUGUGGUGCACCUCAAUCUUUUAGGCAAUGCAAGAAUAAUUUCCAUCGCUCAUUAGAAACUGUGAGUAGAAAAUUUGAAGAGGUUCUUGAAUCUAUCAUGAGAUUAGCUGUUGACAUGGUGAGGCCUAAGGAUCCACAAUUUUCUACUAUUCAUCCUAAACUACAAGAAGCAAGGUUUUGGCCUCAUUUCAAAGAUUGCAUAGGAUCAAUAGAUGGUACCCAUAUACCCGUAACUGUGCCAUUAGCUGAUCAACCGAAAUACAUUGGUCGGUAUGGGUAUCCUUCACAAAAUGUCAUGGCGGUAUGUGACUUUGAUAUGCGGUUCACAUUUGCUGUCACUGGUUGGCCUGGUUCUGUCCAUGAUACUCGUGUAUUAUUGGACACGCUUCUCACAUACAAGGAUCAAUUUCCACAUCCUCCCGAUGGUAAGAACGAGUUAUGUUGCAAUUUAUUUUUCAGGGAAUAUUUUCUCAUUGUGAUAUAACAUAUAAAUAUAACAUGCAGGUAAGUACUAUCUUGUUGACUCUGGAUAUCCUAAUAGAAAAGGAUUUCUUGCACCCUACAAGGGAUAGAGGUAUCAUGUUUCUGAAUGGUAGCAUGGUCAGCAUCCGGUAGGAUUGAAAGAAGUGUUUAAUCAUGCACAUUCAUCCCUUAGAAAUGUGAUUGAGCGAUCAUUUGGAGUUCUAAAGAUGAAGUGGCACAUUCUCUUAAAUUUGCCCAGUUAUCCGGUUAACAAGUAGUCGAAAAUUAUAGUUGCUUGUAUGGCCCUUCACAAUUUCAUCAGAGAUAGUGCCGUAUAUGACGUGCAUUUUGAAGAGGAUUUUGAGGAAGAUGAUGGUAAUCCAACCCAACCUAGCACAGAUGGUGGUGGUGGUGCUUUAGGAGAUGACAUUGAUAUGGGUGCAUUGCGUGAUGCUAUUGCUGUCGUUAUGGUUUCGUGAUUCGUUGUUGUACCCAUGAUGGAUGUUUCCAUACUAGACCGAUCUAUCAUAUGAAUUUCAUAUUAUUGUAAUGUAAUUUCUAUUUAACGAACUCCAAAGGCAUUAGAAUUAUUAUCUUCUCCUCAGAUUCACAAUAAAAAUGAGCUAUUAUCAGCCUUAUGGGCAUUCAGGUUAAUUUACCAAUUAGGACAGACAAUCGACACAAAAUAAUCAGGAUUGCCAAACACCCUGCUUAUUCAGACAGCAGGCUUAUCAGAUAAGCUUGCUUGCCAGAUAAGCGAGUUCCAGAAAAGCAUAUAUAAACAGGGCCAAUAUCUAUCUAUCAAUUCGAUAGGCUCUAAUCCUUAUUGAUUAUAGUAGCUAUUAGAUCUAUUAUAUUAUAAAAACAUUUACCCUCCUCUACAAUUACAAAACUAAUAUAACUAAUAAGCUAAAUAAAAAUAUCUCAAAGUACACCAACAAUAUACGAUUCUAAAGCACUUUAUUUUUCUCGUUAUUAAUAUAUAAAACAAUAACUUAAUACAUAUAUGUGUGUCACUAUGUGCUACCAAUGAUCUCUAUGACCCUCUAAAAGAGAAAUGUAUAGCUGAAAAUCAGAUUCAAACACACUUGCCUACAGGAUCGAGGAGGUACACUGCUAAGACUCGAUCGAUACUACAUAUCUGAACAGUAUUAUAAAUUGCUUGACGUGACAUAUACUUGCAGUGAGUUUGUCUCAGAUCUUAUUUCCUUACAGAGACGACAUUUGGUUAGAGACGCAUUAGCUAAGCCAGCACCUAAGCCCAUAAGGCCGUAUAAUUUUGAGAGACAUAAACAUUUCAAAACUACGUAAUUUAAAAACAUCUUACUACUACUAAUUGAAAAUUUCUUUAGAUUCUCCACUUUAAUUGUCACCCGACGAGAUAGGAAAAAAAUAUAAAUGCUAAAAGUUCACAUAAAAUAAAAUUAUAUAUGCUCAUAAAUUCGGUACACUCUAAUCACCAUAGCCAUUGGAUCUAUUACAUCUUUAAAAGAAUUAUUCCUAUAGCUACAUAUGCCAUUAUGAAAAAUAUAUAGUACCCCUAAAUUUUAUCUAAAUUACUCACGUCUGCUAUUAUGAGAAAAAAAUUUAAAGGAACCCUAAAUAUUCAUCACCCACUUAUGCCCAACACGUCCUGGGAGCUAGGAUGGAGCGCGGCAACGCCUCAAUUGGGAGGAGGCUGGUGAGCACUUCUAGAAAACUGGUGCAGGGGGAGGGAACAAGAGCAGGAUGCGCACGGGAAUCGAGAAAUUAUGGGCAACUUCUUAUGGGGUGUUUAGGAGGAGGGGGCUAAAUUUUAGCCCCCGUCACAUCGAAUGUUUGGACACUAAUUAGAAAUAUUAAACUUAGAUUAAUUAUAAAACUAAUUACACAACCCCUAGGCUAAAUCGUGAGACGAAUCUAUUAAGUCUAAUUAGUUCAUGAUUUGACAAUGUGGUGCUACAGUAACCAUUCACUAAUGAUGGAUUAAUUAGGCUUAAUAGAUUCGUCUCGCGAUUUAGCCUAGGGGUUCUGCAAUUAGUUUUAUAAUUAGCUUAUGUUUAGUCCUCCUAAUUAGUAUCCGAACAUCCGAUGUGACAGGGCUAAAGUUUAGCCCUCUCCUCCCAAACACCCAAUAUAUGCCCAAAUAGCACUACAAGAAACACAUGUUCUGUUAUAGAUGAACUACCAUAUUCUAAAGCAAGUUAAUUGCGUACUAUACGUGAAACAUCCAAAAUGGAGCUAGCAUAGGACUAUGAACAUAGAGAGAACAUUUCCAACAGUUCUACCUUAUCAUUUUUUUCAUCAUUAGUUGCUUUAGUUUCAUUGUUGCGCAUGUCCAUUUGACAUUCUUAAUUUGAGUAUCCAACCAAAUCACUUCAUUGACUAAUUAUCAGUUAAAUUAAGGCUAUGAAGUUUGAUACUGAGCUAACUCUAGUGUCUGAUUUUUGUUCCAGCGAUAGAAAACUCAAUCUUUUGUCUAUCUAGUAUUUGGUGCUUGUUAGGUCGCUUGCCUAUCUAAAAUUUAUCUAGCACUUCUGUUCAUUUAUAAAACCUUAUGUAUGUUUCUUGGAGUCCAACAAUUGAAAGCUGUCGUGUACUUAUAUUUUUUAAUGUAGUUAAUGGACGGUGGAGGAAUCUUUAAAGGUUCAAAGAAGUGUUACUGUGUCUCUGGAGGGCUGCAUGGUGUUGGCUUGUUGGUCGAGAAAAUAGUCACAACCAUGGCUUUAGUCUUGAUUUUGGCCCAACCAGUCCGUGCUGAUAUGUUUGACGUUUUCAUGUAUGUGUAUUAUGCCUUUAUUUGAUAACAUAGUUAGCAAGUAUUAUAAGAGUUGCCUUGUUUGUUGGUAUUAGCCAUUAGGGAUACUAUCAGAAUACAUGUCCUUUGCUACGAUGAAUUUUUGUUCUUUUGAAAAUCGCGACCCCCAACCUGUGACGCUGGUAGUUUAUCUAAGAUGUUAAAUUAGUUUUGAGGAAAUAUUGAAUCUAAUUAGAAAGAAAGGUUUCUUGUUCCAAUUUUGUUUGGAAAAAUAACCAUCAGUUUGCAAAUUAGAAAUGUGGAAGCCUAUAUAUUAUUUUGCAAAUUAGAAAUGUGGAAGCCUAUAUAUCAUUUUGCAAAUUGGAAAUGUGGAAGAAGACGUCGGUUCCAAAUUUUAAAUAUAUAUCUGGCCCCAAAGAGCACUGCUUGUUUUAUUUGGACACGCGGUAAAAUUGGACAGAGGAUUGGGUCACUAUAGGAGAGGUAUUUUUUUAACUUUGUAUCUAAAAUCCGUUAUUGGGAGUAUUUUUUAGGCACACUUGGAGAUACUCUUUGACUAUAGGUGCAGAUUCCACUCCAUGACCCCCCAUACAUAUGUAUGUCGUGAACUUUGCUAAUUAUGGACUUUAGGUCGUGAUGGCACUUUCAAAAGAUGUUGGAGCCUUGGAGGCAUCACUAAUAACUCGUCUUGACAAGGAUAGUAUCAUGCGUAAUAACUAGAUGCCACCUAGCUAUUAUAUGUUAUCAUCUCACUCGAUCUGUUCAUGUUUUUAAAAGUUGAUUUGCAUCUGGUUUAGUACCCAGCAUUGGGUAUGUAUCUGUUCCCAUUGAUGAGUUGAAGGCAUGGAUCAGCGUUGAACAAAACGAGCAUUGGCUGUAUGUAUCGGUUCCCAUUGAAUCAGCGUCGGCAGAUAAAUGUGCGGUGGCAAGGUUCCUAGCUCCAGGCAUCGAAUGAAUGAAUAAAACAUAAACUGGAGUCCAUUUCACAAGCGUAGCAACAUUGGAAGCCGUUGGAACAGACAGGGAAUGCAUUCGAUCAUGUCCUCGGCAACAUGCAUUUCCUGCUGUGUUUACUCUACGGAUGAAAAGAAUGUAUAUUGGAGGUGAUGGAUAUGCACAAGUAUACAGCCGGCCAGAUGGAAUAUAUCAUAUAUGUGCCAAUACGAUUCAGGAGGACAGAGGUGGGGAUUCCUCCUCAAUCUCGUCCUUUGUCUGUCCCUCCGUCCUCCAAGCUCGCUUCCUCAAUCUCGUCCUUGAUCUGUCUUCCAACCACCAGCGUGAAUUGAUCGAUUUUGUAAAUGACGCAAAGUGGCUCAAUAUAACGGAGUAGUGCGUGGACAAAAAAAUGUUAAAUAAUCAUAUAAAAUAGAUCCAAUUGUAGACAAUGUGACAUGCCUGCCUAUUAAAUGGAUUGCCCAACAAGGCAGAAGGGGCAGUUUCCUCUGCUCGUGUAGUAUUAGCCAAAGCAAGCUUGUUCGCAGUCAGAAAACGCCAAUGUCAUUUGCACGGAACUCCCCAUCUACAUCUACAUGAUCAUACAAGUUGCAGUACAUACAACCUAACAGUAAAUAAAUACACGCCAAAACAGUAAUUUGGAUGAAAAUUCUGAACUUGAGAUGGAGACACAUAGUACCGUAUAAGGUGAAGUUGCUAUCCUUUUUGUCCCGCAGUACAAGGGCGGGGCACUUUGCUGCUGGAUCAAUGUGGAACCGCUUAGCAAUAUCAGAACUUAAAGUCAGGUAAACUCCGACACCAUUUUCGAUCUUGGAUGCAAUAGCAACAAGCUCAUCAUAGUAAGAAUCCUAUAGUAUUUGGGGGAAAAAACAGUUCCAGGAAUUAAAAUAGCCGCCUAAGGUGCAAACAUGCAAGUUCAUUAUGUACCAUUGUAGCUCUCUCUCAGUCUAGAGACCUGGGUUCGAGCCCUGCAUCUUCUUAGGGCACUCGCAAUGGGUGACGUUAGUCUCUCUGCAAACCUCCAUGUAGGAAAGAGGAACGAGGAGAGAGAAUGGCGAGAGCCGCUAGCAUGCACUCUAGUGCUGAGCGGGCCCACCACGUGCUCAUCCUUUCUCCUCUCUUUCUUCCUUUGCCUCGCGGUCGUCGGAGAGCGCUGGGGUGGAGGCAGAUCAUGGCAGCGAGGCGGAACGGGGGCCUAGCAUGGGCGACUUCCGGCGGAUGAAGGCAGUCCUCCUCAAAUUUCAGGUCUCAUAUUACCCCCGAGAAGUCUAUCCUACUUGUCCAGACCUUCCCAUGCCGACUCUACAACACCACCCCACGCCCUCCUCGUGUAUGGGACCAAACCAAGAGGGUGUUGAGAUAAUGAAAUCAAUAUUUUAAGCAAUGAAUAGUGUAAAAAUAUCUCAGCUAGCUCUAGGUGAAGAGCUAAGUUCGCAUAUCUGCUGAUGCUCUUCUCUUGCACUGCACCAGCCUCGAGGUGUCCUCUUGUCUAAAUUACUUUUAUUUUUCUUUCCCAUAAACUAGCAGCUAUCUUAAAUUGUUGGAGACGUCCACGCAAUACCCCACGCAAUACUUGGACAGAGCAUGCGCCAGUUGCGAUUCGCCUCUCUUUCUUUUGCUCCUGUUCCUCCUGAUGAUGCAGCUACUUUUUGUAAACAACCUGCUACUGCUGCGGCUGCUUUUUUCAAAUAACUUGUAUCUGUUUCCCUGCAACCUGUGCGCUCCUCUGCCUUGCUCAAGGUAUAUAUCCUGCUGCUCCAGCUCCUGCUCUGCUAGUUCGCGUAACCAUGUCUCGCAACGUACCACAUCUACACAGCAAUGGAUCAUACUGACAACAGUAGAAGAGUGGCAUUAUUACAUAGUAGCAGUAGUGCAGUACAACAUAAAUUUGAGCGGCAACAGUAGACGAGUGGCAUUAUUACAGGCUGAUUGCAGUACUCAAGCAAUGAAACAGACAAGCCAGUAAGGUAAACAGGAUGCACGUCCUCAGCAACAUGCAAUUCUUCUGUUUUUAUUCUACGGAUGAAAGAAACAUUAUAAGAUACAGCCGGCUGGAUGGAGUUUAUAUGUAAAUAGGAUUGAGGAAUCACGACUGCUAUGGGAUUUCCAAUAAUAUUUCAACAUAGUCCUCGUUCUGUUCAUCAGUCUCGUCCUUAUCGGUCUGUCCUCCGCGUCGUCGCUUCUUGUUCACAGACAAAAAAUCGGCAAUGGCAUAUGCACGGAACGGCCCAUCUACAUGACACAUAUACCAUUAUUACAUGCAACCCAGCAGUAAAUACAUGCCAAAAAGUUGAGGAAAAUUCUGAACUUGAGAUGAAGAACACACGUACCAUAUAUGGUGAAUAACUUCUCCUCCUGUUUCUUCAGCAGCACUAGACACGGGCGCUUUGCUGCUGGGUCAAUGUUGAAUAGCUUAGCAGCAUCAACACUUGUAGUCUGGUAAAAGCUGAGAUCAUCUUCCAGCUUUGAAGCAGCGGCAAGCUUAUCGUUGUAAGGACCCUGUCACAUUUGGGGGGAAAAAUAAUUCCAAGAAUUAAAAUAGACUUCGAUGUCUAAACAUACAAGUUCACCAUCUACUAGUUCUUGCUCAUCCUAGGUCGUCUUCAUCGUCCUUCACCCCAUGGAAAGUUACUAUAAUAACAUAUCCAAAAAUGAGUGUGGUUUCGUUCGGGAUCUUACUAUUACUAAUUGGAGGCUCCUUUUGAAACCUCCAGGUGAAGCCACCUAGGACUCCAGGUGAAGCCACCUAGGAUUCCUAGGUGGACACUCUAGAAAAAGAGAAAUCCUAGAAAUUCGCACAAAAAAGCAAAACACCCGACCAUCAAUCCAUAGAUUCAAAUCAUCAUAGCCAUUGGAUCUAUUAUGUUUUCUAAAAAAAUUACCCACCUAUGCCAUUAUGAAAAUAGCAUAAAAUAACCCCCUAAAUCUAUAUAUAAAUUACCCACCUCUGCCAUUAUAUAAAAUAAACUAAAGUAACCCCCUAAUCUUCAUCAAAAUUACCCACUUAUGCCAUUAUAAACAAUAUUUAAAAUAACCCCCUAAUUUGCAACUAAAUUGCCUACCACUAUUACUUAAAAAACUUAAAGUAACCCCUUAAAUUUGCAUCUAUAUUACCUACACAUGCCAUUUAUUAAAAAUAACAUGAGGUAACUCUACGUUUGAAUCAAAUAACCUUAAUUAAAAAUAUAUAGCAAUAUAUUAUUCUAAAUCGUUUAUAUUUUGCACUAUUGGUAUACGAUAUAAAAUUAAGGAUACGAUAUAAAAUUAAGGUCUACACGCAUGAGGUGUGUCACCAUUUAUAAGGAUAUAAAGUGAUGAGAAUAUAGAUUUCUAUGCUAAAAUUGUAUCUCAAACUUAAGGUUCAUUAAACAAAUUUAAGCGCAUACCUACGAUGCAAAGUGAAAAAUUAAAGAUUAUAAAUGUGGAUGAAAAUAUUAUAGAGUAAUUACUAACUAAAAUCUAUCACAAUUGGAUGAAUAUUUAACAAACGAGAGCUAGCUUAUGGUAAUAGUUUUUUAGCAAUGUAGUCUCAUUUUUUUCCAUUGGAGGCUCCGCGUUAGUUCCCACGAGACAAGCUAGAAAAAAGAGACAAAUUAUCAUAAAAAUUAAAAAUGUCAAACACUAUUAUAUUUUCUAAAAAGUUACCCACCACUAUUAUUGUGAAAAUAUUCAAAAACGAGCUCUAAACGUAUAUUUCAAUUAUUGAGCUUAGCUAUUAUAAAAAAUAAUCUAAAGUAACUCCAUAACCUUCAUCCAAUUUACUAAUACACAUCAUUAUAAAGUAUAACUUAAAAUAUCAUUCUAAAAUUUUAUUUAUCUAUGUUAUCCACGUAUGUCGUUAUUAAAAAUAACCUAAAGUAAACACCUAAAUCUUAAUCUAAUUAUGUUCAUGUGCAUCAGAAAUAUCAAAAAGUAAAUUAAUAUAUGAUUUUAAAUUACCUAUUUAUGUCAUUAUUAAUAUAAAAAUACUAAGUUAAAGUAUAUACACAUGAUGAGUGCCACCAUUUAGACCAUUUAUACAUGUAUGUGAGGAAUCGAUGAAAAAUAUUGAUUUGUAUGCUAAACAUAAUGUAUGGAGGAUUGGAGGUGUGAUACAAAAUAGAAAAAAUAUGAAUAUGGAUGAAAAAGUGCAUUGAGUAAUUAUUAAUUAAAAACCAAUCACAACUGAACAAAGAUAGGUACAUAUCUAUAUAAGUAUUAUGUUGAAAUAUUAAAAAAUAAGAGAGUAGUAGGUAAACAAUUUUGAUUAUUAGCUAGGAGUUUAAUUUCUAAAUAAUUUUUAAAUACAAUAGCUUCUAAAAAUAUUAGCCCAUGCGGGAGCACGGGUUGAUGGACUAGUGCACUUAAUUAGUAUAGCAUGCAUCAUCAUUUUUUUUAACUGAAUACUAAGUGGAUUUGAAAAGGGAAAGGUUGAGCAGGAAUUUCACACAACAAAGAAAGGAAGUAGUAUUUGGCUGCAUUGCAUUAGGGAUCGGAGUAGGGUUUGCAGAUGACAGGCGAUGGCAUUACCGAAGAGGCGAAGAAUAUUAAGUAAUAAUGCAAAGAAGAGAGAGUAAGGGAUGGUACGUAUAGGGAAUCGAGGAAGGCGAUGACGGCUUGGUCAUCCUCGGCGAGUAUUCUCUUAGCGUCAUCGAUGGUGAUGAUGUUCUGCGGGCCCUUCGGAACUUUGGUAGUGCUGGUACUGUUCCAUUCUUUCCACUCGCGGAUGUCAAGGUGGUAGAGCAAGGCCCAGAGAUGGGUGAUGAACUCACCACCACGCUGGAGGUGCCGCAUGUGCGCCUCAACAUUGCCAUAAGGCGCGGCGUAGACCAACAUCCGGACCCACAUAAGCGCCAGCGUCUCCCAGUGGUCCGGGCGACUUAUACCUUCAACAAGCGGAGGAUCAUCACUGAGAAGCCGCUUUGCUAGAUCCACGCCAUCCAAAAUAUAAGGAUCCUCGGGGUACUGGUCUAUCCAUUUAGCUUUUCCUUGGGAUAUUGAAUAAGAUGCUUGAUCUGUCCAACUUUUAGGGUCUGACAGUGCCUCGAGGAAUGCAUCCUUCUCCUUGUCCAGAGAUAUGCUUGCCGACUUCGCAAAGUCAUUGUAGGCGCGCUUCGUCGCCAGGGCCGGCCCAGGAAGUAACUCUGGCGCUGACACCACUAAGUAAGCGCAAUACUUGGAUAGAGCAUUGGCCACGCGCCGAUUCCGAUUCUCCUCCCUUUCUCCUCUUCCUCCUCCUCCUGCAUCUUUUUUGAAACAUCCUGCUAUUGCUGCAGCUGCUUUUUUCAAAUUACUGGUAGCAGUUUCCCUGCAGCCUAUGCGCUCCUCCGCCUUGCUCAAGGCAUCUUGCUUCUCCAGCUCCUGCUCUACUAGUUCGCAGUACCAUGUCGCAAUGUGCCACUGCAUUAUAUACUUCGUAUAUUUGUAACCAUGCGAAUUCCAGUAAUCCUGAGGUGUAUUUGUGCCAUCAUCGCGGAAGGGAAGGUCUAUGCUAAUUGGAUGCUUUUUACGAAAGGAUAACCAAUUCGUAUCUACUCUGUCGGUCUUGAUCUGAUGAAGAAAAUCAAUAACGUAACCCUUCACAUCAUCGUCCAACCUGACGGUGGUUCUUUUGUUGGUGUCGCUGCCCAACAAGUCCCAGAGAACCUCCCCGAUGUAGUCCAAUCCGAGCACCUUGACCAAGCGAUGAGAGCAUUUCUGGUAAAGAUGGCGAACCAUGGAUGUUAAGCUGCUAAGUAACUUGUUCUCAGUCCUGCUUCUCCCUUCACCCUCUUUUUUCGCGGUUAAUCUCCCUUCAGGUAGUAGUGAAUACUGGCCGAUCUUUUCUUGCCACAGGUACUUGUCAAACCAAUUACUGCUGGUAGCCACAAAAGCUUUCAAUCCCAUCCACCGUCGCAACCAGUAUGGCGUCUCGUUUUCUCUGAACCCAUCUAUACUGUUUCUAUCCGCGGUGAAUACUUGGUUCCUGGCAUACGCGCAGGCAAUAGCCACCCUUGCCCAGUUUGAUGUCCAGCACCUAAUCAAGUGCAUCAACUGCAACAGAGCCAGGGACACCAAUAUGACAAAAGUGACAACAAGAUCUGCAGUCGUGGUGCCCACAACGUUGAUGCAACCACCAGGACCAGAAGCAAUAUGACGGCUACUCAAUGUCCCAGGAAUGGCAGCUGCUACCCCCACAAAACAUAUCCCAAUAAAUGAAGCCAAUGCCCAUAAACUAGCAGUUUUCGCCUGGUAGUAGUGAAGGAAUGGAUUACCAGUGAAGAAGACAUCGAACAGAAGAGCCAACUCAAUCUCAAUCACCUUCAAGGCCCAGUUGCAGUCAAUGUUCUUCAGGUUUUGCGGAUCUUUCACAGGAUAGCUCAACCCAAGAAAAUGCCGUUGCAACCUAUGAGACAGAAACAUGGCAACGCACACAUCGUAACAGGGCUGUAGCCACUCAUACUUGUUUCUCCUUAAUACCACUUCUAUUAGAUCCAAAGUGACACCACCCCUCCCAUUAAUGUAAAUUCCAAAAUCGACGAUCAUAUUAGAUCGUUCAAUUGGAUGUAUGUCGGGAUUAUUUUUUAAAACAUAUGUUUGCUCCGGACCUUUAUGCAUAGUUUGAACCAUGUUUCGCAUUCUGCUUUGUUGCAUAAGAGCCAGUGACCUAUGAAAUCCCUUGAUGAAAGUGAUGGCAGCUAGCCCGCCGAUGGCCGUGUUACCAACAACACUGGAGAUGGUUGAGAUACUCAUCAGCAAGACAUAUCCACAAUUGAGGAAAAUCCCAAAUACCACCUUUGAGAGCGGGCCCUUGUAGUCAAGACCGUUGUACGCGGUGACUGGAUCAAUGCAGCCAAAAAGGGUGAACAAAGACACUGUCCAUAUGGGAUACAUCUCGCUCUUCACCGACGAAGAUUGCAUUAGACCAAUGCUGUAGGUCCCAAGAGACAGAGAUAAUACAUGUGCAGCAAAAAAGCCCUUUUGGACUAUCCAGCGAUUGGACCAGCGACGGCAUGACCCAAAAGCAGCAAGGAAGAAAGUGAUGAGAAUGGCCACAACUGCCAAUGCCUGGAUACGGAGUACUGUCCCCCUUGGGCUGUUCCACAGUUCUCUUAGAUGAUGCAUGGAGGUUACUGACGUUGUAUUCCCCAAGUGCUGCACCAUAUUUCCCAUGCGGCGAUAAUCCACCUAAAUAGGACAACACGCGUGCUAUAAGGAAGGGUGAUAACAUAUAUAGAUAACCACAAAAAUCUUUUAUAUAUGGUCAAUUGGCCAUGCAUGUCUGCCUGCACGGAUGAGCCGACAGGGAUAGAUUUUUCUAUAUAGUAAUGCACUAACAUGUGUUGUAUGUUUUGCUAAUUAAUUGUGCAAACUCACGGGGACCUCUAUUUUGACCUCUCUUCAUACUUCCAGCAAGCAACUCAAUAUUAAGAUAUAUAAGGAAGGGUGAUAACAUAUAUAGAGGGUUUCAGGAAUAUAACAUGAGAAAAAGCAGACUUAUUAUUAGCGCCACUAGUCCAUCACCACGUGCUCUUGCAUGGUUUAAUAAUUUCAAGAGGAAUGAGUAGUAGAAAUUCAUAAAAAAAAAUUAAGAUCCAUAGACAAUAACAAAAAUUGUCUCCCUUGUGUGUGUGCUCUCUCUCACUUGUUAAAUAUUGUAACUCAAUAUUUAUAUAGAUAUGUACUUACUUACACGUUAUGGUAGACUAUAGUUAAUAAUUGAUCUAUACACUUUUCAUCCACAUUUAUAGUUAUUUUCACUAUCAAUCGCACACCUCCAUAUGUGUUUAAGUGAACCCUUAGUUUGAGCACUGUGUUUAAAUGGAAAUAGGUGUUCUCCUCGCUCUCUCCGUACAUAUGUACAUGGUUUAUAUGGUUACACACAUCUUUGUCACACCCUAAAAUUUCCAUGCUGAGUUGAGAAUAGAUAACACCAAAUAAAAUAAAGGGUUUUCUAGUUUCUUUAGAACUUUCCAACCUUUAGUUGUUUAUUACUAUCAACUAGGAUAGAGAAAAUAAAAUUUUCAAAUCAACAGUUGCAGGGUGUUGCAUUCAUGUUGCCUCUGCAUGGUAUUUAUGUUUGAAAAAUUGAUUUCAAAAUUCAAAUAAGAUGAAUGAUACCACUAAUUACAAAAGGCUAUUUUUUAGAAAUGAUUUUCAAAAAUAGAUUUUAAUUUAUUUUCCAAAUUAAUUUAUGACAUCACACAACCUUUUUUGAAUUAAUUUGUAUUCGAAAUGUCAAAUUUGCAUUUUAACUCCCCAAACUUCAAAAGCUUAUAGGGAUUCUAAGGACUGGUUCUUGAAGCCUGUAAUCCAGCUUAACAACACAACAUCAUUAUGGCUCUGGACCUGAAUAAUUCAUUAGCUUCCCAAUUAUGUACAUUAAUUGUCAGAGAGGUUGCACGUGGCAAGCAAUGUACAAGAAGGGGGCCUAAAUUGACAAAUCCGUAGUAGGUGUACAGAUUGAGAACCACACCUUUUUAAAAGUCUUUAAGUGUAACCUUGGCUGAUCACUCGCCAAUGUGAAGUGAAAUGGGAUCAUGCCUCAUGGAUAAUGAUGUGCGACCUUUUCAUAUUGUAAAAUUAAUAUAUCAAAUGUGCUCACGGUCAAGAGCUUCUUAUACUUCUUGUCAGAAGCGGUGCUUAGGUUGGUUGGUUUGGUAGUAGUUUGCACAUAUGGAUUUCUAAGGGUUAAUUAUGGAUUAGGUGGUGAUAAAAUCCAGUAUUUAGAGCUAAGGAUUUUGGAUAAAAAAUAGGAAAUGUUGCUUAAGCAUGUGUUAAACACAAAAGCCCUUCUAAUCUUAUCUUCAUGUCGUUUUUUUACCAAACUUGCGAAGUACAAUUCAUUAUACUCACUCUUUGUUUGUCUCACUGCCACCUGCUCCAUAGACCUCAGCAAUUAUGUAAAAUUCACGAAAGAUGACAACUUCGAUCCAGAUGCUCUGUUCUAGGCUGGUGUACUCGCAGUCUACUGCAUGUGGAGAUAGAGACCCGUUCCGCUAAAUACUAUAAUAUACCCAUGUACAUUUCUUUGGGACACAUGGGUUAUUUUGUAAUGAAGUUUAGCAUUUACGUAAUACUAUAAUAUAAUAGCAAAGGUGGGUAAUUUAGAUAUAGAUUUAGGAUGAUAGAGGUACAGAUUCAACGGAAUUUAGUUCAUUUCAGUAAUUUAUUUGAGAGCUUUUCUUUUUUGAAAACGUGAUAAAUCUAAUGACUACGAUCAUAUAUAGAGCUGAGUCUAUAAGAGAUUGGUGGCUGGAUUUUCUUUUUGAGAAUUUUUAGACGCAUCCUCGUGAGAAUUAAUAAUAUAAAACUCCGAAUGAACUUCGGAAUGGUAAUAGUAAGGUUGGACAGUGCGUUGGUCACAACAGCACUGUCCGAUUCCACAACUAACGGUUUUUUUUGGAUCUGCGCAAUUGGAUCAUGGAAUUCAGGUUGAACGAAAUCUCGACCGUAACCAGAACCCAAAUGAAUAAUAAUAAAAAAGAUAUUAUUGGUACUAAAAAAGGACUUAGCUUGUUAAAGAGAAAAGAUAGCUCCAUGCGUGCUGCCAACAACUCAGGAAGAUUUAUUUCAAACAAAGUGGUGCGUUUUAGGGUCCAUUGCAGGGCUUCUUCCCUCAGACAAAAAUACUUUUUCACUGAGAUAGAUAAUAAGAUAGUUUCGAGUCACGUACCAUGGCUUCGCAGCUUCGCUUUUCUCUUCGAGGCAGAGUUGAGCUUCCCCUGUUGCGCAGGAGACGGCGACUCCUUUCGGAAAGGCUAGAGGCCGGCGACCUCCUUUUGAUGCUGCAGAAGCUAAGACACCUUGAGCAAGAGACGUAUAUAGCUGAAAGUCAGGUUCAAAAGCACUUGUCGCCUCGUGUUCCGUGUAUUGCAAUUGCAAUAUCGAGAUCUGGUCCGUAUUAUAAAUUGCUUGAUUUGCAGGGAGUUUGAUCUCGGAUCUAAUUUCUUUACAGAGACGACAUUAGUUAAACUAGCCCAAUCAGGUCGUGCUUAUGGAGGAAGAACAUGAUGGGCGGUUGAUGAUGUCGAAAAUGUGUAUAUUUUUUUGACUUGACAUGUACCGUCCCAAGCGAGUCCUCAAAGUAUGUUAUCAUCUCACACGGUCGUGCAUCUGAGCUCUUGUUUUCAAUGGUUGAUUGGCACCUGUCUUUGGUUGUUUGUAUCAGUUCCCAAUUGAUGAGUUGAAUAUCGUGAUCGGCAUUUGAAUAUCUCACAACUUGUAAGGUUAAGUUUUUCACACUGUUGACACGACACAACGACCAGAUGUAUACACACUGACACUGGCCGGCUCCCAUGUUAUCGUUACGAGGACUUUUAUUGCAUAUCUCGUGAGCCAAGCUCGAGGAAUCCUUUUGUAUCCCGCGGGACAGGCUCAAUAGCUAGCGCAGGCAACCAAUCAACCUAAAGCUGCAUCCCGAGAGCCUGAUUCGCCUGCCAUGCGGGGAACCAAUCAUCCCCUUAGUGUACUUCUAGCUUCUGCAAGCGAGAGGGACCCUCUCACGUACUGUUCGUUGUUGGCAGUAUGAUGAUUAGCGUGUUUUAGUUCGAUCGAUUUCCAGAACUCACAGUCGAGGAGAUUAGCCCCUGAACUCAGUAAGCUGGUGGACGUUAACCAAACUGCUUUCAUCAAGCAACGGUCUAUUCACGAUAAUUUCAAAUUUGUUGAGCAGGCUGCUAGGACUUUGCACAGAAAAAAGAAACCCUCCUUGCUGAUCAAACUGGAUAUUGCAAAGGCAUUCGACACAAUAAGUUGGCCCUUCUUGCUGCAAGUGUUAGAAUCCAUGAGUUUUGGGCUUAGGUGGAGGAAUUGGAUAUCAAUCCUUAUCUCAUCAGCCUCUACGAGGGUACAGCUCAAUGGAAGACCAGGACCCAUAAUUCAUAAUGCUAGAGGUUUAAGACAGGAUGACCCACUAUCACCAAUGCUCUUUAUUCUCACCAUGGAAGUCCUCAACCGGCUACUGAAGAAAGCUGCCCAGGAUGGUGUCCUUGCCCCACCAGCUGACAAUGCCAUACAUUACCAAUGCUCUAUCUAUGUUGACGAUGUGAUUCUCUUCGCAGCACCAAGUGUUCAGGAUGUCACCACUAUUCAGGAGGUGCUCAGGUUCUUUGGACGAGCAUCUGGACUUCAUACUAACCUGGGCAAGAGCUUGAUAACCCCCAUCUCAUGUUCACAGGAACAGCUCGAUAGAAUUCAGCCUAUCCUACCGAUCCCUAUCUCAGAUUUCCCCAUCCUUUAUCUGGAGCUACCUCUAUCAGUCACGAAACUGAAGAAAUAUCACUUUCAACCUUUGAUUGACAAGGUUUCAGCAAGCAUGCCCGCUUGGAAGGCACCUUUAAUGAAUAAAGCCGGAAGGCUUACCACAGUGAAGGCGGUAAUGAGCUCGAUCACAGUCCAUACCAUCAUCUCUUUGAAAGUUCCAGAAUGGGUAUUGCAGGAAAUCAACAAGAGACGUCGGGGCUUCCUCUGGGCCGGCAAGCCUGCAGCGUAUGGUGGCCAUUGCUUGGUGGCCUGGCCAUAUGUCUGCAGAUCGCUCGCUUAUGGAGGGUUGGGCAUCCCCGACUUGCGCAUCGCAUCGCUAGCCUUGAGAAUGAGGUGGCUAUGGCUGAAGAAAACGGAUCCCGGGCGUCCAUGGAAAUAUAUGCAGCUCGACUUCGAACAGGAUAAUGAUCUGAAAAAACUGUUCCAAGCUUCAAUUCAGGUACAAGUAGGAGAUGGCAACUUAGCGUUGUUUUGGGUCGAUAACUGGAUGGGUCAAGCCUCGCCGUGUACCUUGGCUCCGGAAUUGUGCAACUUGAUCAGGCCACGAAUCAAGAAUCGACGGGCAGUAGCGCAGGGGAUGCACCAAAAGCAAUGGAUUCAUGAUAUUGUCGGACACCUAACAAUAACUGCGUUAACUGAAUACGUCACCUUAUGGCAUCACUUACACCAGGUUCAGUUAAUGCCCGGGGUCGAAGAUUCGGUGACUUGGAAAUGGGAUAUCUCUGGUUCUUACUCCUCUAAAUUGGUAUGCAAGUUCUUCUACAGCACCUCCGUCAAGUUUGCCACAGUGGAACCGAUUUGGAAGGCUUGGGCACCAUUGAAAGUGAAGGUAUUCAUGUGGUUAGCUGUCAAGAAUCGGCUCUGGACAGCUGCUAGGAGGCAGAGGCGAGGAUUGCAAGAUCAUGCGCGUUGUGGCCUGUGUGACCAGGAAUCAGAGACUGCAGAUCACCUCUUCUCCAGGUGCCCAUUCUCUAUGCAAGUGUGGCAUCGAGUCAGUGCAGUACUGAACCUGCACAACGCCAUCCCAGCAAAUGAAGUCGGACUGCUAGACUGGUGGCUCAGCAAGAGAAGCGGUGUCCAUUCCGGACAAAUGAAAGGCUUCAACUCAGUGUUUAUGCUUGUUUCAUGGAAAAUAUGGAAGGAACGCAAUGAAAGGGUGUUUGCAAGAUCACCACCAAAGGAUGCCUCACAACUGCUGUAGGAGAUCAUUCAGGAAGGGCAAAUCUGGUGCGCCUCUGGUGCAAAACACCUAGCUGCCAUAGGCUGGCCGAUACCAUCAGGUGUUUUAGAUCAGCAUUUCUGAUUUCGGCCUUUCUAUGCCAUUUGUGUUGUCGUUGCGGUGGUGUAAUGUAAGCUAAAAUAUGCCUAAACCCGUGUGCAUGCGCCCGGAUAGGCCCGCGAUGUACAAAAACUUUUUUCUUCUUAAUACAAAGAUACGCAGCUCUCCUGCGUAUUCACGAAAAAAAAA